rnacentral:lncRNA from 1 species
CAAUACCUAGGAACAAGAUGAGAACGUGAAAGAGGAAAAACAAGAGUUCAUCUCUUGUUACACUCAGAAAUGUCUUAGAAGGCUGGCAAAGGUAUCUCCUGCAAGAAAAGAAAAUGUUUACAAUCCAAUUGAAUAAGUGAAAAGCAAAUUUUUAGAGAAUCGCAGUAUACCAGCAAAAACUAUUGCUCUGUUUACUAGAUUCUUUCUCCUUCACUUUCACUUACUACUUCACUUUUACUCUGCCAGUCAAGUAUUAUGACUUUAAGUUCUUCAUUUCCCAUGUCUUCUUGUUCUUCUUGAAUUCUCUUAGCAGAUUCUUUGAUAGCUUCGGCGCAGUCAUAUACCUCAAUCAUUAGUAAUGUUGGAAUAUCACGUAAAAUGGGAGGGAUCAUCUUCAAAUGUUUGCAAUAUUUCAAUCCUAGUCGUUGAAGUCUUGGGAAAUGAUCGCUUGAGGUAUUCCAUUCUGCAAGUCCUACAUCAGAGUUUUUCAAGAAUUUAAGUUGUGGAAAUUCACCUUCACUAGUGUCCCAUCAUCCUUCCUCAAAGGAAACACCACGUAAUUUGAGAACCACAAGGUACUCCAAUUUCCCAAUUAUCUUCAUUUGUUCCGGAGAUAUGCGUGCAUCAACUAGAGUCAAUUUUUUGAGAUUUAAGGGAAGACUGAUCAAACUUAAGGAUAAAUUUUUGGUGUCUGAUAUAAGCUUCAGAGAUUCGAGCUAAUUAAGGAAGUCGAAAGAAUAACUGUGUGAAGUUCCAACCUUGCCCUAAAGUCUGUGAAGAUUGGGUGAACAUCUCAAACUUUUCUCAUCUGCUUCAUCGAAAAUUUGAAGGAAAGAAAUACUUCGUAGGUUUUUUUUUAUUUGGAAGCUCAGAUCCUUAAUUGCUUGAUGACGGGAUAGAAUCACUGAAGUAUGCACAGCCCUCGAAAUGCAUGUGUCUCAAACUCAUCAUAUUAAGGAGGACAUCCGGUAUUUCAACAGCAUCUCGGUUGCGUAGAACAAGAAAUUCUAGUUUGUGGAAGCUUUCCAUUGUUGGAAGUAUACGUGAAAGUGCCAAGUACCUCACAUGAACCAGCUGUUCAAUUCCAAUUACAACAAGAUUUUCCCGGUUGUCAAAAUCCAAGACCCUAAGAACUUUGAAGCUGCAUGCAAAUAAUAUGGACAUCCUAAUAUCAAAACAUAAACAAGAACGCACAUGUGGGCCGAAAGGAAGUGAUAAAAUAGAAUUCUUCCCAUAGAUGAUACUCAGACAAUGGUGUUUCUGAUCCAUCACAAAUUCACUGACGUACGGCAAUGGAUAAGAGUCAUCAACAUUACUGGUAAAAAUAUAAUCACUCGUGAUAUGAUCAUCAGAUAUAGUCACGAAUAUUAGUACACCAAAACAAAAAUGUACAAAUAGAGAAGAAAAAAGAAGAGAAAUAGGGAAUUUACAUCUUGACAAUCUUCAAAAAGCUUUUUUCUCCAGAAUUCUCAAGCACAUUUGACGCAAUAGAUCAUGAAUCAUACAAGUUUUGAUUGAACCAUCAAAUCCUUUUUUAGCAACAAGUACCAGGCUCCUAUCAAUUAGUUUCAUCACAUAUUCUAGUGCACAUCCUCUAAACUCUUGUGCUCUUCCUUCUUUAUAUAUCCUUCAGCAACCCAUAAUGAUAUAAACUUUUGUGUGCGGAUUUCCUCGCCCUCUUGGAAUGCUCCAAAGUAAAGAAAACAUGGUUUCAAGUGCAUUGGCAAAUGGUUGUAGCUAAAUUCUAAUAUCUGGAUGUAGUUAUCUAAAUUUUUGGAUAAAUGUGAACUUAAAUUUCUUGCAACUUCUUUCCACAAUUGUUCUUUAUUCUCCAUAUUUGCAAGAACUCCAGCUAUCACGACCACGGCAAAUGGUAGGCCGUGACAUUUUUUUGCAAUCUUCUUCCCAAUGCCUAGCAAUUCUUGUGGACAACUUUUAUCUCUAAGCACUUUCUUUUGUAAUAAAUCCCAGCAUUCAACUUCCGAUAGAAAAGGAAGUGUAUUUAUGACACAAUGAGGCGACACUUUCCAACUUACUUCUUUAUUCCGAGUGGUGAAUAAGAUUCUGCUUCCAGUUCAGUCAUUUGGAAAAAAUCUUUUCAAAUCAUCCCAUAAUUUUGUAUCCCAUAUAUCAUCCAUGACAAUGAGAUAUAGAAUUCCUUUUAAACUUUUGUAAACAUCUUCAGCCAAACUUUCUACGUCCUGGUUUGCAAAUGUUUCUUGCUUAAAAUUUUUUAUCAAGCUCAAAAUGUUAAUCAAAAUAUUUUUCUUAUUAUAUGUUUGAGAAACAACACACCAGGCUCGCUUGUAAAAAUGAUAGACUACAAAUGGAUCAUUAUAUAGUUUAUUUGCUAAAGUCGUCUUACCAAGUCAAGGCGUUCUAGAUAUGGAGAUAAUUUGCAGUUGCUCCAUUCGUCUAACAAGUUGUUUCGUAAUUUCGAGUCCAACAUCUUCAAACCCCACAAUAACAUCUUCCAAGAUGGGAGUUUCUUUAGAUUGUGAGGAUAAUUGUUCAUCCGGAUAUUUUGCAACUUCUGGCAUUCUAGCCACAUCAAUAUCGUUCUUCAUUUCUUUGGUGGCCAUCGUAAUAAGCUGAAUCUUCUCAUUGAGCCGAGGAAGUCUGAGGGUGAGAUACCAAAUAGGGGGAAAUGAGUUGAUAACAUAUUCAACUUCAAAUGCUAUGUCUCUGGUUUUUAUUAUGAGUUCUUCGUGCUCUGCUUCUUGCUGCACAGAUAUACUGGUGAUGGAAGAUCCCAAUAACGAUAGCUUCGUAUGUAGCAUUACAAUUUGAUCGUUCAGACCAACAAUCCUGUCAAACUUGUUAUUUAUCAGUUCCAUAAGAUUAUCAAGAACAGAAUCAACAAUGAAGAGUGAAACCACACCAGUCUUUAGAGCCAUAUCAAUUGGCAUCUUUGAGACUGUGAUGCAGUGCUCCUUGAUCUUUGAUUUCAAGGGCUCGAACUUUGGUAACAAAUUCGAAAGAGCUAGAUCCACUAUUCCACUCUCCGGGACUUGAUCAUUCUUGGUGAAAACUAUGAAAUUCCCUACCUCAUUGGCCAGAGCUUUGAUAUCCGCCAUUGCUUUCUUGGUUUCUUCUACCUCAGUAGUGGUCUGCAAUGACAUGUCCUCAAGAACGUCGAAAAAGCCAGAGUGCAAGAAACUUACUCCAACGUUGAUCACAUCCAGUGGCGGACACAGAAAUUUUGAAUUAGUGGGGCACAAUCCCGAAUAUAGGAGAUUGGGCUGGCCCAGUCCCCUCCCCAGCUCACUUAAUAGUUUUUAGGGCAAAAAAAAAUAAAAUAAUAAUAAUAAUAAAUAAAUAAAUAAGUAAAAAAAAAUUUAUGUGUACAUUUAAUUUUUUUACAUGUUAGCUCAGUUUGUUACGUAUUAGUCUGACUUGUAGUCCGAACCUAGAUCCGUCCCUGACACAAUCAGAAUUGAAAAAUGUUGAUGCUUGAAAAAUAAAAAUAAAAUGUUUGAAAAAAAAAUUAUCGAUAUAUAUGGAUAACCAAAACAUCUUCAUCCGACUACUCUAGAUCAUCACUAUUGAAUUUAGACAUGAAAAAUAAAAUUUUAUGAAAUGAAAUGAAGUUACACAACUUUGAUCAUAAAGACCACUAUCCAAUAUUUUAUUAUUUUACUCCCCCAGAGGCCAAAUCAUUCAAAUAAAACACACGGUUGCAUACUGACUUCUAUGACUUUCUAGUUUAUUCACUCACCACUCUCUCUCUCUCUCCUCUCUUUGUUUCAUCCUUUACCCUCUCUUUCCACUCUCAGUUCUCUCACUUUCUUUUAACAUGAUAAUUACAUACACAAUACAAUACACAUUUUUCUAAACGGCGGACAAAUAAUUUAAUACCUAUGUGUUGACUGUCCAAAAAUCUUUGCCCAAUUCAGUUCCUGAAUUGUGAUAUCACCAAUCACGGACAGAUUCACAAUGGGACUUUUUUUUUUUAAAUACAUACACAAUACACACAAUUAAACACAUUUAUAGUAUGCUAUGUCGGUGGAAGAGUGUUCAUCAACAUAGGAAGAAGAAGAAGAAUGAGUUUUGAUUUUCCAAGGGAAGGGAACUAGGGACGGGUUUCGAUUUUUCCAUUUGGGCACUGGAGUCUUCUUCUGGGUUCUGCUGAAGAGGACUGAAGGCCCAAAAAAAAAAAAUUUAAUUUUUAGAAGUUGGUGGAUCACGUGACGUGACCCUCUAGGACCCAAUGUGGGUCCGCCUCUGAUCACAUCUUCAAUAUCCGUCAAAUUAAGCCUUGUAAAAGCAAUAAAUGUGUCUUCCUUCCGAGUGACCAAGAAUACUACAAAGGUAUAAAACAAGGAAAAAAAGAAAUUUCCUAUUUCAUUAACCACAGCUUCGAUAUCUAGUACUACAUUAUUGGUGGGCUGCCAAUGCAUUGAUGUAUCUCCAAGAAGAGUAAUAAGAAAUCCCAGCUCUGUCCUGAGAUUUUGGAAAGCAAUGUAUUUUGCCUUAAAACAUAGGAUGGAUUCUAACAUUCCGAGUAGAAAGUUGAUGAAGGUUGCAACAACUUCAUUAGGACAUGAAUCACAUGACGAGCUUUGCAGGUUUGGGACAGUGAAGAAUGCCUUAAGCUUUUCCAACAUGACAAUAAUUGUUGGAGACUGUGUCUGAUAUUUUCAAUAACUUUUGAGUUUCUGAGCGGCUCCGGAAAAUGAAACAAAUCGUUUGAUGGGAGCCCAAGUUGGCAAGACAAAAUUGACGAAUACUCGAACACGAUUGCAGCGAAUCCUAGUGGCGCAGUAAACAGUUUAUCCUCGUCUGGUAAAAGGUACUCCUCUUCUGUCCUGUCCUGGCAGUCUAUGCUUGAUUCUCCCACCCCGAUGACAUAGGGAAAGGAUGCACGCAAUUGCAGGGGAAAAAGAAAGACAACCUGUUAAGAUUUUAAAAUUUUUUAAAUGAAUCGUAACUUCCAAUCUGAAUCUAUCCUCCAAAUGGAUGACUAUUAUACAUUGUGAACUCGGACAAAAAAUUUAACAAAGAUAACUCGUCUUAAAAAGUAUCUUGGGGACCAUUUUUGGGCGAAACAACCAAAAAAAUUGACUUUAGAAAAUUGUUUCAUCAAAAGUUAUUUCUUGCAGUUAUCAUUGUGACAACGUCACUACAAUUGCAACACAUUUCAAGCAAUUGAAAAUGUAGGAAAAUAUGUUCAGAGCACAUUAAAAAAAACUUUUUAAAAGUGAAAUGCUAUUUAUAUGAAUGAGUCAAAGUUUAAAAUUAAAUUUUAAAAAAUUUUAUUUUAAUUUUUAAAACAGAGAGUAUGAGCCAAACUCGCUCUCUUUCUGUAUUUUAUCAGAAUCACAUUUAAUAAAAUUGUAAAAUAUCAACUGUCCGCAACUUAAGUUAUUCAUAUUGUAUUGAAUUAUUUAAAAGGAUGAUCCAUUACUACAAACCUGGUUUUUCUACACUGCAAAUAAUGUUGGUAUUCUACUUUUGUUUUCUAUUUUUACCGAAAUUUUAGUAGCUUAUAGCUUUAGAGUUUGUUGAUCCAAAAUUUAAAUCAAAACAAAAGAAGGAAAAAGAGUACUAAUUAUCACUAUUCUAAAAGGCAACACCUAGGUGAGAGGCAAGCACAAAACACCCGCCUCGCACUUUUUCGUGCUUUUUUUCUUUUUUCUUUUUUUCAAGCCUAGAUGAGAUUUUUUUUUUUUUACAAUAUAUUAUUUUAUAAUUUUAUAUGUUUGGCAGGUAUUAUUUUAAAUAAUUUUCAGAUUGAUGUUAAAACAUCUUUUUGACAUGGUGAACUCGAAGAACAAAAUUAUAUGAGUCAAGCAGUUGGUUUCAUAUAUAAAAAUAAAAUCGAUUAUGUGUGCUUACAAAAAAAAAAAUCCUUAUACGUAUCAACACAGUCUCUCUGGCAGUGGAAUAAAUUAUUUGAUUAUCUUUUAUGUUAUCUUUGGACUAAGAGAAGUGAAUUUGAUCAUUGUAUACUUUAAAUCUGAAUUAUCCAAAUUUUUUUUUAUCUAUAUUCUUAUAUACGUGCAUGGUAUGUUACUUACUAGGUCUUUCAUAGUCUUAGUAAGAUUAAGUAUGCAUUGAAUUCAGAAUUUGACACUAAAGACCUUGGAAGUACCAAGAAAAUUCUAGGGUGGAUAUUGUUAGGAUAAGGCUAAUUCAAUUUUGGUUCUUAACUGCACUACAUUGUGGAACUGUCCACUGCUAGAUCCGAUUACGUUGCGCUAACAGAAGCCAUAAAGGAGUUAUCGUGGCAUAAAGGUCUGUUGGGUAAGUAGAGUUUAUUUUCUGCUCCUGUUGUGGUGCACCUGAUGCCUAGUAUGCUGUACUGUUAUUCAAGAAUCCUGUUUUUCAUGGCAGAACAAAAUAUAUAUAGAUGUAAGAAUUUCGUUUCAUUAGAGAUAUAGUGUCCAAAAAUAUGAUUCAAUUGGAUAAAUUCCAUCUCAGUUCAAUCCCUCAGAUAUGGAAACGAAACAUUACAAUUAAGCAAGUUUAAACCUUGCUUACAUCUACUUAACAUAGACACAUGUCAAGAAUAUUGUUAAAUAAGCAUUAGUUUUAGUUUUUUUCUUGCAUAUUUACUAACUUUUGUAUUGUUUUUGCAGGUAUCAGAGAUGAAUGCACAAAAUAGAGAGAAGUGUUGAUUGCACCCUUUUUUCCAAUUCUUGCUGAGAGCAAAGUGAAUAACAGUUGAGUGGUUUGUGAUGAGUUUGUUUCACUCAUGAUUUUCGUACAAUUUUAGCUUGAUUAAAUGCUAGAUUUUAUGAGUGUAGAACGUUUUUGAUGUGUUUGUUAGUGUUGUUUUGAAGAUAAGGAGAAGCAAUGAGAAAAGAAGUAUUAAAGUGGACGAAGAGGCCAAAAACACGGAAUUGAGGCAGAAAGAUGGCGCUUCGGCGCUACACUUAUAGCGCCUAGGAGCUACGAAACGAAGAAAAGAUGAAAAUUGGACCCGAGAGGCAGCGCCUAGGCGCUAUAGCCAGCACCUAGGCGCUAAAGACACAGCGCCCAGGCUCUAUAGUCAGUGCCUAGGCGCUGCGAAUGGCGAUUUAGGGCGCGUUUUUUUGAGCCGUUUUUAAAGUCAUAGAAACCCUACUUUUACAUAAAAACGUGAAGGCACCUAUAAAUACAUCCUCCUCAUACUUUUGAAGGCUUCUUGACAUAUUGGAGAGAAAAAUAACAAGGGAGAUUCAAAGGAGAAAUUUAAGAAGAUUAACACCAAGAAUUGAAGAUUGGAAGCACUCAUUGGAAGAGGAAGGAGAUCUUGGUGCAAGAAUUCCACUUUUUCUUCUACACCUUUAUUUCAAACUCGGUGAUGUAUUCUAAGACAAUCUCCUAUUUUUCUUCCAUUAUUAUGAGUAGUUAAAUUUGAUUUUAGGGCGAACAAUGUAAUCUUUUGGAACCCUUUAUUUCAUGUAAUUGAGAUUUUAGUGCUUUUAUAUUUCAUGUGUUGAUUUUAAUGUUGUUCUUAAUACAUUUAAUUACUUGAUCACUAAUUAGAUGAUUUGUGAACAAUGAAUGCGUAGAGAUGAGGAUUAUUUGUUUAGACCAUAUGUUAAAAUCCGGUAAAUUGAUAUAAUGUGUAGAGCUACCUAUAUUGAUUGACGCGGUCGUGUGUGAAUUCUUAGAACCAAUGUUUCAUUUAAUUAAAUUUAAUUUGCAUAGAGAUAUGGAAUUAAACUAAUUAAAUAGGUUCAAUGAUAACUCGAGAGGAGUAAGUUGAAUACAAUAGAAGAAUAUGACCGAACACUACCUUAGGUUUUAUGAAUCUUGAUUUAUGAAGUAAAGGUGACCAAUAGGUGAAAUUGUUCCGCCCUAACGUCCAUUUAUUGUUUGAAUUCUCAAUCACGUUUCGUUAAAUCCAAUCGCAUUUUUAAGUCUUUAGAAUAAAAAUCACAUUUAAUCAUUGUUUUUUAUUUAUAUUCGUCAAAUAGUAGUUAAAGAAAGAUUAAAUUAAGUGCUAGAAAACAGUCCUUGUGGGAUCGAUAACCAGACUCUUAGGUCGACUAUUACUUGUUACGGGUGGAACACUUGCGAAACAAAAUUAUACAACAAGUUUUUGGCGCCGUUGUCGGGGACUAUUUCUUUUAGUCUUAAUUUAUUUUUUUAUUUUGGCUAUUAUUUGAUUAGUUUAUUUUUCUUUUAUUUACAGAAAAGUGUGUUCGUUGUAUGCUCCGUGCCCAAGGCGACGAUCUUGAACCAUUUGAUUCGGAGAUAGAACGUACCUUCAGACGAAGACGCAAGGAACACAAACAAAAACAGCAACAUAAAAUGGCUGACAAUCAACAAAUCCAUAUCCCUAUUUAGCCGAUUGGGCAAAUGGCCGCAAGAGUGGUGGCACCACCAGAUCAACAGCAUGAACGAAGGGAAAUAAAUGAAGGGGAUUUGCCAGUAUCAAUGUUCCUGACACCUAUAGCAGCACCAAUGCGCUCCAGUAUCUUGUAUCCAGAUUUUGGGGUGAAUAACUUUCAGAUUGGGCCAGAUUGGAUUAACUUGAUGAGCAACACUCCGCAAUUCUACGGGCUACCUCAAGAGAAUCCAAACACGCAUAUUUCUAGAUUUCUCAGAAACUGUCAGAACUUUCAUGCUCCGGGAGUCAAUGAAGAUGCUAUUAAACUACAACUAUUCCCAUUUACAUUGAGAGAUGCUGCAUUGGAGUGGUUAGAUGCUGAGCCUCACGCUAGCAUUACUACAUGGGAAGAACUAAUCAGGAAGUUCUGUAAUAAAUUUUUUCCACCAGCGAGGGUAGCUAAAAUCAGAUUAGAAAUUCAGACUUUUCAACAGAAAGAGGGAGAAAGCUAUUACGAAGCAUGAAAUAGGUUUAAUGAGUUGAUGAGAAAAUGCCCAAACCAUGGAAUUACUAUAGGUAAUCAAGUGCAGUACUUCUACACUGGACUUACACCACUGUCAAAAUCUCAAGUCGAUGCCUCAGCUGGAGGAUCAAUUAUAGGAAAAUCUGUGCAGCAAACCAUGGAACUGUUUGAGUUGAUUGCCACUACACAUUCCAUGUUCUCAUCGGAAAGAGUGGCGCCACCGAAAACAGGAGGAAUGUAUGAGUUAGACAGCGCAGCAGCUACCAACGCCUAAAUAGUGGCAUUGACAAAACAAGUGGAGUUAUUGGUGAAAUCACAAAUGAAAGGAGCACAUGCAGUGACAGCUGGUCCAUCAUGCGAGAAUUGCGGGGCUAAUCAUCUGACAGAAAACUUCACAUCUAUAGGCUAUCCCGACGAGCAGGUCAAUUUCAUUCAGAAUAGGUCUCGAAAUUUUAAUCCAUUUGCUCAAACAUACAACCCAGGAUGGAGACAAUACCCAAAUUUCAAAUGGUCGAAUAAUCAACAAGGGAACAAUUCAAAUAAUGCCCAACAGGAGAAAAAACCAAGUUUAGGGGAGAUGUUCAACCAGCAUAUGCAGAAGACUGACAAGGUGUUUCAGCAGAUUGACACUAAUUUUUAGAAUCAGCAAGCAUCAAUCAAGAAGUUGGAAACACAAAUUGGUCAGAUAGCUCAACAGCUUGCAGAACGCCCACAAGGGAUAUUGUCAGGCAAUACAAUGGUCAAUCCAAAAGAGCAAGUGCAAGCUAUAACUACCAGGAGUGGGGUGCAACUUCCAGAAAUUCAUGUGAAGAGACCUGAGCGAAAAGAGAAGGAAAAAAUGGGUGAAGAGGCUGGGAAAGAAGUAGAGUUUGAACAACCAACUGACAAGGAAAACGAAAGGAAGGAAACACCUGCAGUGAGAGCACCCAGCCCCGUGAAGGCUUAUGUGCCACCAAUUCCAUUCCCUCAAAGGUUACACAGAAAGAAGUUGGAUAAUCAGUUUGCCAAGUUUGUGGAGAUUUUCAAGAAACUGCACAUCAAUAUUCCUUUUGCAGACGCAAUUGCCCAAAUGCCUAGCUAUGCAAAAUUCUUGAAAGAGAUCCUAUCUAACAAAAGGAAGCUGGAAGAACAUGAGACAGUAUGCUUGAACGAGGAGUGCAGUGCAAUACUAUUGAGAAAGCUACCUCCUAAGUUAAAAGACCCAGGGAAUUUCACUAUACCUUGUGAUAAGUGUGUUUUUACACACUUAUUUAGCUCACAAACAUAAUUUAAAUAUGGAAAAAGUAGUUGAAUUAUGACUUAAUCUUGUUAAAUUCAUGCUAUGUAGGUGUUUCUAUGGAAAAGAUGGAAUUCAGAAGAAAAGAGCCGAAAAAGGACCAAAACGGAACAGAGCGAUAGUUCGAGGACCAAGUUGCAAAUAAUCCAUAGAUGAGACGGGAAAUGGAAUGAAGAUUCAAGAGUGUUAAAGUUCAAUCGGAUGAGGAAAGGAGUCAAGAGGUGAAAUAUGGUCGGAGUAUUAUCAAGUAUCAAAUUUCAGGCGAAAAAGUUAUACUCGUGAUUUUGAGUCUCUACUUGAAAUCCAUUUUUGGCGUAGUAAACUUCAGAAUUUGAGGAAGCCUAUUUCUAUCAAAAGUGUAUAUCUUUAAGUUUUCUUCCCAAUUCACUUUGAAUCACUUCAAUCGGAGAUCAGGAGAGAAAGUUAUGACCAAAAUACUGAAAGCUGUUCGGAGGAAAAAAUUUAUAACCAUGCGGCCGCAUGGUUAUAAUUCCUUGCGGCCGCACAGGGUCUAGCAGGGAUCCAAAUGAGCUGAAAAAUUGAACCAUGCGGUCGCAUGGUUUAACACCAUGCGGCCGCAUGGCUUUAAGUUCGAUAAAAAAUUCUGGAAUCCCGUUUUUAAUUGAAACUCUUUCAGGGCUCCGUGGGGACAUGAUAUAAAAGCCAAAAUUCAUCAGAAAUAGGGUAGAACGUCCAGGGAGAAGAAGAAUACAACUUUUGGAGGCAAGGAACACGAACUUGAAGCGGAUUUCACAAGGAUUCAAAGGGGUUUUCAAGGUUUUAUUCAAAAUUUCAGAUUUCAAGAACUUUCAUACGGGUGUUCUUCCUUCUAUUCAUUAAUUUCGUUUUGGUUUCUGUAAUUAUGAAUCUUCCAGGCUAGGGUUUUAAUUACUAGGUGAUCGAUGAACCGUUGUUUGUUAUUUUAAUUCUAUAUUUCAUGAACUUGAUAUAAAGAUUCGUUGGAUAAUUUGAUUGAUUUACAUGCAUUAAUUUUCUUCCGCAAUUAGUGGCUAAUGAUUGUGUGAGUAUUGAUGACUUGUUUCUUUCAUUCGAGAGAAGUGGAAUAGGCUCGAUAAGGUGUAAAUUAACAUAGAGUCCGAUAGGGGAUAGAGAUAUACCCCUAUGCUUUAUGUAAUUCUUAAAUUGUUCACAAAACUACAUGCAUUCUUGUAUGUUUGCAUCAUCCAUAGAGACAUAGGCUAGUGGUGUGCAAGAAUAGGUCUAAUAUAUAUCGAGAGAGUAUAUUGGAUAGAAUUAGGAACAUUGAAUUGGCAAAUUUUCAUCGAAUCAUUAAUUUUAUGAAAUUAGGGUUUUUAUAACUUCAAUUGGGGAUUCGUGAUCCUAGUGACUUCAAUUUGAUUCAUUUUAAUAAAUUAGCUUUUAAACUUGCUUAAUUUCAUUUACUUGAGUGUUUAAGUCGUUUAAUUAGAGAAAUUUCGAAAUUAGGGUAUCUAAUUGAGAAAUUAGGGUUUUUAGUUGAAAUUAGGGUUUUUAAUUGAAAUUAGGGCUUUUUGCAUUUAGACCAUAUUUUCACUCAAUUAGAUUCGGUUAAGGCUAGAUUAUAUAGAAUUGAACUACUCAAUCUCUGAGGGACGAUAUUCGGACUUUUAAACAUCCACUUUAUUACUUGUUACGAACUGUACACUUGUGGUAAUUUUAAAUCAAAAGAAUUAUUUCGUGAACACCUUGUACAAUUGGUUCUAAUUUCUUUGAACAUUCUUUAUGUGAUUUAGGUGCCAGUGUUAAUUUGAUGCCUCUCUCUGUUUACAGGUCUCUUGGAUUAAGAGAAGCAAAACCUACAACAAUCUCUUUGCAAUUGGCCGACAGAUCGAUCAAACAACCAAAGGGAAUUAUUGAAGAUGUGCUGGUUAAAGUCGACAAAUUUAUUUUUCCGGUUGAUUUCAUCAUUUUGGACAUGGAAGAGGACUCAAAUAUUCCUCUGAUCUUGGGAAGACCGUUCUUGGCUACUGGGAGAGCAUUGAUUGAUGUGUAUGGUGGAAAAAUGAUUCUUUGAGUGGAUAAUGAGCAAGUUAUAUUCAACGUGUUCAAGGCAAUGAAACACCCAUUGACUUCCGACACUUACUGCGAAGUUGAUGUUCUUGAAGAGCUUGUGGCGGAUACAUUUGAUAUAGAGCAUCACACAAAUCUUUGUGAGGCAGAAUUUGCACAAUUGGAAGCAACAAAUGCAGGAAAAGUUGAAUGUGUUGUCAACUUAGCCGAGCAACCUAUAGGAAGAAGGCAUUGGUAGUAUGAAUCUCUAAGAGACAACCCUUCUCCCCCGGUACCCUCUGUGGAAAAGGCACCCACUCUUGAACUUAAGUCCUUACCUUCCCAUCUUCCGUAUGCAUAUUUGAGAGAAUCGUCAACACUACCAGUAAUCAUUGCAAAUGAUAUGACAAGGGAAGAUGAGAAUAAAUUGUUGGAGGUACUCAGGAAACACAAAAUGGCAAUUGGAUGGACAAUAGCAGAUAUAAGAAGGAUCAGUCCAACUCUUUGCAUGCACAAGAUUCUAAUGGAGGACGGGUAGAGGGCAUCAGUGGAAGGACAACGCCGAUUGAAUCCAACAUUGAAAGAGGUAGUGCAAAAAGAAGUGCUGAAAUUAUUGAAUGCAGGAAUAAUUUAUCCCAUAUCUGAUAGUUUGUGGGUGAGUCCUAUACAUGUUGUACCUAAAAAGGGUGGAAUCACAGUGGAGAAGAACGAGAACAACGAGCUAAUACCAACACGGUUAGUGACAACGUGGAAGGUUUGCAUAGAUUAUAGAAAGCUAAAUAAUGCAACCAGAAAAGACCAUUUUCCAUUGCCAUUCAUUGAUCAGAUGUUCAAAAGGUUGGCAGGACAUUCUCAUUAUUGCUUUCUGGACGGAUAUUCAGGGUAUUAUCAGAUAGUAAUUGCUCCAGAAGACCAAGAGAAGACAACCUUUACAUGCCCUUAUGGAACGUUUGCGUUUAGAAGAAUGCCUUUUGGUUUAUGCAAUGCACCGGCAACCUUUCAAUGAUGCAUGAUGGCUAUCUUUUCUGACAUGGUAGAAAAGUACAUUGAAGUUUUUAUGGAUGAUUUUUCUGUGUUUGGAGAUUCCUUUGACAAUUGCUUGGAGCGGUUGGCUCUUGUAUUGCAAAGAUGUGAGGAGAAGAACCUUGUGCUUAAUUGAGAAAAAUGUCAUUUUAUGGUAAAGGAAGGAAUAGUACUAGGACAUAGAAUUUCUGCACAGGGGAUUGAAGUGGACAAAGCCAAAAUACAGGUGAUUGAGAAAUUGCAGCCACCUAAUUCAGUAAAGGGGAUCAGGAGUUUUCUGGGACAUGCAGGGUUUUAUAGAAGAUUCAUUCAAGACUUUUCAAAAAUUACAAAACCGUUGUGCAACCUGCUGGAGAAAGAUAUACCUUUUCAAUUUUCUGAGGAGUGUUUGAAAGCCUUCAACAUUUUGAAAGAAAAAUUGACAUCGGCACCUGUGAUAGUGUUUCCAGAUUGGGAAUUGCCUUUUGAGCUCAUGUGUGACGCCAGUGACUUUGCAGUGGGGGCAGUGCUUGGACAACGCAACGGAAAAGUAUUUCAUGUUGUCUACUAUGCUAGCAAAACAUUGAAUGAUGCUCAGAUCAACUAUGCAACAACUGAAAAGGAAUUGCUUGCAGUUGUUUUCGCUUUUGACAAAUUCCAUUCUUAUCUGAUUGGGUCCAAGGUGAUAGUUUAUACAGACCAUGCAGCUCUGAAAUAUUUGUUUGAGAAGAAGGAUGCGAAACCAAGGCUAAUUCGCUGGGUGCUAUUACUACAAGAAUUUGACAUCGAGAUUCGUGAUAAAAAAGGAACAGAAAAUCAGGUAGCAGAUCACUUGUCAAGGAUAGAGCAACAUCAAAAUUCAGAUAAUAUGAAUAUCAAUGAGGUCUUUCCAGAUGAACAGUUACUGCUGGUAAAAAAAGCUCCGUGGUAUGCAGACAUUGUUAAUUACUUAGCCAGUGGCUAUAUGGAUCCGGAUCUCACCUAUCAGCAAAAGAAGAAGCUCAGUCAUGAAGUGAAAUUCUAUUACUGGGAUGAUCCAAAUUUGUAUAGGAGAGAGGCGGACCAGAUCAUUAGAAGAUGUGUGCCCGAGGAUGAAAUGAAACCGAUCCUCUCACGAGUACAUGCUUCGGCUUAUGGAGGGCACUUUGGCCCCACUAAAACAGCAGCAAAGGUGCUCCAAUGUGGUUUCUUUUGGCAUACAUUGUUCAAGGAUUGCCAUAGUUUCUGUAGGUCAUGCGAUAAGUGUCAAAGAACAGGUAACAUAUCAGUGCGUCACGAGAUGCCACUUAACAACAUUUUGGAAGUGGAAAUAUUUGAUGUCUGGGGGGUUGAUUUUAUGGGUCCAUUUCCAUCAUCUUACAACAAUCGGUACAUCCUGGUCGCGGUGGAUUAUGUUUCAAAAUGGGUAGAAGCUAAAGCACUGCCUACAAAUGACGCAAGGGUGGUGGUCGACUUCAUAAAGAAACACAUAUUUAACCGAUAUGGAUCACCUAGGGCAAUUAUAAGUGAUGGUGGAACGCACUUUCGCAAUCGGUUGUUCCAAGCAGUUUUGCAUAAGUACGGAGUACAACAUCGAAUUGCCACUCCUUAUCACCCUCAGACAAGUGGACGGGUGGAAACAUCAAACAGACAAUUGAAAAGAAUUUUGGAGGUCACUGUGAAUGCAUCUCGCAAGGAUUGGUCAAAAAAAUUGGACGAUGCUUUAUGGGCAUAUCGCACAGCUUACAAGACGCCUAUAGGAAUGUCCCCAUAUCGACUAGUCUUUGGGAAAGCAUGCCACCUACCAGUGGAAUUUGAGCACAGAGCGUAUUGGGUAUUGAAGCAAUUAAACAUUGACCUCGAAAAGGCUGGAGAAACAAGAGUACUACAGGUACAUGAGUUGGAGGAAUUCAGAAGAGAGACAUAUGAGAAUGCAUCCAUCUAUGAGGAAAUGACAAAGCAGUGGCACGACAAGAACAUCAGGCAACAAAUUUUCCGAGUAGGGGAUCAAGUGCUAUUAUACAAUUCCCGGCUUAAACUUUUCCCAGGAAAAUUGAAGUCUCGAUGGUCCGGCCCUUUUACGGUCUCUCAGGUGUUUCCCUACGAGACAGUUGAAUUACACCAUCCAACUAAAGGAAAUUUCAAAGUAAAUGGUCAACGCAUCAAGCAUUAUGUGUAAGAUUUUCCCACCGCUAAAGAGAGUCUUGAUCUAGCUGUUCCCGAAUAACUGCGGCACUACGUCCAGCUAAUGACUUAAAAGAAGCGCUUCUUGGGAGGCAACCCAAGCUCUAUUCUUUAUUUGAUUAUUAGUUUAUGCUUUGAUUUUGUUUUCUUCCGUUAAUAAUUUAUAUUAUCGUAGUAACUCUUCUCUUUUGCUUUUGUAGGAGAAUCUAUGAAGGUUACAUAUUGCGAAAUUUGAGCUCUACAAUGAAAAUGAAUGAGUGUGAAAAAGGGUCAGAGGUAAUAAAAAAAAAAAAAAAAAAUUUACAAAACGAGGUAGAAACUCAGCGCCUAGGCACUAGGAUCUGCCUAUUUUGGCAGAAAUGCAGCGCCCAGGCGCUGCGUCUGUGCGUUUUGGGCAGAAAGCGCUGCGAACCUGACCUUCCCCCCCCCCCCUUUUUAUUUUAUUUUUUUCUUCCUUUCUUUUCUAUUUCUUAUACCCAAAACCCCCAUCCCUCCUCAUACGAUUUUCCCUAACCCUCUUUCCCUCUCAUCUCUUCCCUCUCCCCUCUCAUCUUCUUCCCCUAACCCUUGCCUUUACUCUUUUUCAUCUCCCCCUCAACCCCUCCAAGGUACACUCUUCCCCUCUCUUUCUUUUUUUUAGUUUUGUUUUUGGUUAAAUUUAUUUUAUCACCUCUCCCACAUCAUAUUUCUUUCAAUUCCACAUUUUUUUGCCCCCCUCCCACUCCCACUCCCACUCCCCUUUGUUGUUUUUCCACAUCUCUUUGUUGAUAAGUGUGAAUUCAUCCAUCCCAAUUAGUUUCCACAACACCAUUCUAGGUAUCGCUUUUGUAUUUGCUCCUCUUACAUUAUAGUUGUUGCGUUUAUGUGCCUAUUUUUGUUAAUUAUGUUACGAGGAGGGCUUGCCUUGUUGUAGUGUCAAGAACUUUGUGUGUGGUGCGAAUAUUUUGGCAUGAAUUACUCCCAAAUUAUAGGCAAGUUUUUGGUGGAAAUUUGGUGCAUUCAAUGUGUUUGAUGAAUUGUCUAGGUGAACUUAGUUGGGUACAAGGAGCUGUUUUGGCUAUUGUGCUAAUUGAAUUAUGUGGGAAUUGCCAUGUAGAUGAUUAUGAAUUGAAAAUUGGGUUUAGAGUACAUCUAUUACACGUUCGACCAUAGUUUCCUCUUAUGGCUAGAUUUUUAGCCUUGCCUUAUUUUCCUUUAUUACUGUUUUUGCUCAUGGUUUGCUUGUUCUACCCUUGUACAGGUCCAAUGCCGCCUAAAAAGAGAUCUAAAGCCGCAGCCUCCUCUUCUAGCUCAUUUGACAGGAGCAAAUUCAUUAGUGCUGAGGCCGCUGAACGUUAUAAUAGCUUGGUGGUACACAAGACUUGUAUUCCUAAACGUGGUUUUGACAAUUAUAUGACAGAGCAAAUAGGUCGGUGGAAUUGGGAGGUGUUUGCUCGACAACCACGACCGGCGCUAAUUCCGGUUGUUAGGGAGUUCUACGCUAAUGCGAAGGAGCAUCGAGAUUUUCGAGUGUUUGUGCGGGGUAAAUGGAUACCGUUUGAUAGAACCUCCAUCAACAGGUUUUAUCAUUUGUAAGAUAUUGAAAAUGACGAGUACUCUAGACUUCAUGAUGAGGGUGUUGAUCCUGAUGAGGUUAUUCAAGCCUUGACUACAACUGGCACAACAUGGAAACGUUCGGAGACUGAUGUAAUUAACUUCCCUGCUUCUGGUAUGACUUCGGGUUGUAAGGCUUGGCACCACUUCAUUUCUGGUAAACUUAUUCCCAGUAGCAACUUAAGUGAAGUAACAAAGGAACGGGCGACCCUCAAUUAUGCCAUUCAGUGCCGCCUAUCCAUAGAUGUUGGUAAAGUUAUUCACAACAACAUCUUACAUACUUGGAGAGGAUCGACUACCGGUGGUCUAGGGCACCCUUCGUUGAUCUAUGAGCUUUGCUUAGCAGGUGGUGUCGUCACAUACCCGACUGAGGAGGUUGUGCACCCCAAACCGGCUAUUACACGAGUGCGUACUUGGAAAUUCAUACGCCGCUUCGAAUCCACCAGUGCUCCACCCCCUCCUCGGAGCGACCAGCCGCCCCGUUCACGUCGAUCGACACCAGCUAGUGAUCCUACUUCUGCCCUUGCCACUCAGCUUCAUGACAUGCAAUUGCAAAUGAAUUUGAUGUAAAAUACCUUGUGCGAGCAAUUCCAUUAUCAACAUGAGUUCAACGCGGUAUUGGCUUCGAUGUACCCUGAUCGAACAUUUCCUCAGCCGCCUCUCCUACCUGAUCACACUGCCAAUCCUAUUCCGAAUACCUAGGACGACGAUGUCGAGGACGACGAUUAGUCGUCGUCCGUCAGGUAAGUCCCCUCCCCAUUUUGUUUCUAUUUCACAUUGAGGACAAUGUUUCCGUUAAGUUUGGGGGAGUGUGAAUAUUUUGCUUACAUUGUUGAGUUCCUCGAAUGCUUAUGUGUGAUUUGCUUGUUUGAAAGAAUAAAAAAAAACAUUUCGUGUUUUUUUUGCAUGCUUGUGUGUGUUAGAUAACCUUACUGGUAUUGAUAUGUGUAAUUGAGAACAUGCGUUGAUUUAUGAAUUGUGGACGAGUUAUGUGUUUGAGUUAGAGUUUUGCUUAUUCAUGUGAAAUGGAAAUUAUUUUUUGCACGUGAGUUGAUUGUAGCGUUGUACAUGAGGAGGUUGAUUCACGCUUAUAGGUUGAAAUAGAGAACUUAGAUGCUAACCUAAACAACCAUUAAACAUCACAAUAUCUUAAACCAAAUUUAGGAUGUUUGGAUGAUUGCACUGUUGUAGGAAAACUUGAAGACAAAUGUGGAUUUCGUGUGUGUUAAUUUUUGUGUGGACUGUCUGAGACUAAUGGGAUAAAAAUUGGGUGAAAACCUUAAGUUAGAGGUCGAUUUUCGAGGAUAGGUGUUUAAUAAGGGGCAUUGCACUAAUCACCGAAUAAAAAAAAUCCCAAUGAGAACAACUUUAAUAAUCUCAUUGUAAAUCGUCUCUUCGUAGCCUUUAUGACUCGAGUGAUUAAGCCUAUAAGGGUUUAAAAUCUGGUGCCCUGAAGUCAUCUGAUUUGGAAGUCAUCGACCUAAAGCUCACUACAGGGGUCAUUUAGAAAGUUUAAGGGAGAGACGUCCGCACAAAGAGUGAUUAAAGAAUAAAAAUAUAUAUGAAAAUAAAAAAAAGAAGUUAAUUAAGCCCCGAACACUUGUUUUAGAGGAUUAGACCUUUGAUAAGGGGUAAGUAACUUGGUUGAUUCCUAGAGGUUGAAGCAGUCAAAAAUAAGGAGAAUUCUCAUUUGUUGACAUGUGGAACUACAAUCAGUAAAAUCUAACCAAACUUGAGUGGUGUAAGAAAUUAGUAUGGAAAAUUUAACCUUAGGUUACACCCUUGGAAAGAGAAAAUAAAAUAAGUUUGGGGGUGUGUGAAUCCCACGAGCAAAGUAAGGAAAAUUUUGACUUCUAAGGUUGGGAAUUGGGUCAACUUAUUAUUGUACAGCGUUGCACUUGACUCUCCACACACACAUACACCCGUUUUGCAUUGAAUAAGCGAGAAUUUAACUUUUGCAUUAUAGCUUUGAAGUGGUUCAUGGAAUCGAAGUUAUGUUUUUAAUUCUAAGACAUGAAGGCAAGUUAUCUAGCGAAAUUUAUUUUUAGUGAUUUUGUUUGUCUUGAUUGUGCUUGUGUGUCCGUUAAUUAUUCUUAUGGGUUGUAGUGUUUGCUGGAGGACUAGCAAAUGGUUAAGUUUGGGGGUAUUUGAUGAGUUUGUUUCACUCAUGAUUUUCGCACAAUUUUAGCUUGAUUAAAUGCUAAAUUUUAUGAGUAUAGAACGUUUUUGAUGUGCUUGUUAGUGUUGUUUUGAAGAUAAGGAGAAGCAAUGAGAAAAGAAGUAUUAAAGUGGACGAAGAGGCCAAAAACACGGAAUUGGGGCAGAAAGAUGGCGCUUAGGCGCUACGAAACGAAGAAAAAAUGAAAAUUGGACCGGAGAGGCAGCGCCUCGGCGCCACAACCAUAGCGCCUAGGAGCUACCAGCAACGCCCAGGCGCUCAAGACACAGUGCCCAGGCGCUGGAACUCUCUAACUAUCAUUAGAGAGCUCUUAAGAGCCCUUCUAGAAAGGGCUUGCUUUACCUGAAUACUAUCUUAUAGUAUUCACUCUAUAAGCCCCUACGGGGACCGCCGGAGUGAGGGCUGCCUACUCCCUCUGGUUCACCUCCUGGGAGCUUCCAGAAUGGAGAAAUCUAUCAAUUUUCCAUGCGAGACGCACUGAUCAACAACUAAAACAUUGUUUUAGUCGAGUUAGUUGUCUUGUACCGCCUAGGCGCUGCGAAUGGCGAUUUAGGGCGCGUUUUUUUGGACCGUUUUUAAAGCCAUAGAAUCCCUACUUUUACAUAAAAAUGUGGAGGCACCUAUAAAUACAUCCUCCUCAUACUUUUGAAGGCUUCUUGACAUAUUGGAGAGAAAAACAACAAGAAGGGAGAUUCAAAGGAGAAAUUUAAGAAGAUUAAUACCAAGAAUUGAAGAUUGGAAGCACUCAUUGGAAGAGGAAGGAGAUCUUGGUGCAAGAAUUCCACUUUUUCUUCUACACCUUUAUUUCAAACUCGGUGAUGUAUUCUAAGACAAUCUCCUAUGUUUCUUCCAUUAUUAUGAGUAGUUAAAUUUGAUUUUAGGGCGAACAAUGUAAUCUUUUGGAACCCUUUAUUUCAUGCAAUUGAGAUUCUAGUGCUUCUAUAUUUCAUGUGUUGAUUUUAAUGUUGUUCUUAAUACAUUUAAUUACUUGAUCACUAAUUAGAUGAUUUGUGAACAAUGAAUGCGUAGAGAUGCGGAUUAUUUGUUUAGACCACAUGUUAAAAUCCGGUAAAUUGAUAUAAUGUGUAGAGAUACCUAUAUUGAUUGCUGCGGUCGUGUGUGAAUUCUUAGAACCAAUGUUUCAUUUAAUUAAAUUUAAUUUGCAUAGAGAUAUGGAAUUAAACUAAUUAAAUAGGUUCAAUGAAAACUCGAGAGGGGUAAGUUGAAUACAAUAGAAGAAUUUGACCGAACACUACCUUAUGUUUUAUGAAUCUUGAUUUAUGUAGUAAAGGUGACCAAUAGGUGAAAUUGUUCCACCCUAACGUCCAUUUAUUGUUUGAAUUCUCAAUCACUUUUCGUUAAAUCCAAUCUCAUUUUUAAGUCUUUAGAAUAAAAAUCACAUUUAAUCAUUAUUUUUUAUUUAUAUUCGUCAAAUAGUAGUUAAAGAAAGAUUAAAUUAAGUGCUAGAAAAUAGUCCUUGUGGGAUCGAUAACCGGAGUCUUAGGUCCACUAUUACUUGUUACGGGUCGUACACUUGCGAAACAAAAUUAUACAAUAGUUUGGCUCGACAAAUUCUUUUCCCAACUCGGUCUUUGAUAUCAUCGAAGACUCUCUCAACUUAUUAUGAUUUGCUUCAAUUAGAGAACCCCUAUAUGACUAAGAGUCAUUUUGAUUGCUAAAAUGGAAUUUGUGUGGAAAGAAAAUGAAUUGUAGGGAAUUAAAUUACUUAAAACUUGUUUUAUUGCGAAUUCUCAAUUAAUUGUGUUUGAUUAAUAUAAUUUUCCACCUGGAAAAUGUUGAAAUUAAAAUAGUUUUUGGUGUUCGUUUGAUUUUGUUUUUCAUGUAAAUUUCAAUUAAAAUGAUAGAAUUUGUUACGAUUGGAAAUAAAAUUUGUUUUCAUUGCCAAAAAACAAAAAAGAAAAAAAAACCAAGAAAACCAAAAAUCAUUUAUCUUUUGGUAUUCGUUUGGCUUUGUUUUACAUGAAAAUUGUCAAUUAAAAAGAUAUAAUUUUUUACAAUUGUUCCUAGAAUUUGUUCAAUUCCCCAAAGAAAAAAAAAAAUAAAAAAAUGUGGAACCUGGAAAACUAAAAACCACAAGAAGAAAAUCAAUUCCUUAAAAUGGUGGAAAAAGGGGUCACAUGGGGUGUUGCUAAGAAAACCAAAUGCCAAGAAAAAUUGUUCAAUCAAACAAGCAAAAAUGUGGAAAAUAGAUUUUCAUUUCCUACUUCUAUGAAAAAUUUGUACAAUCAAACAGGAACUAAAAGUUCUUCAGGGCCUCGUGAGUACAAUUUCUCCUCACGAAAACUAAGUUAGGUUCACUUGCAGAGAAUGAUGGGGAAAAUGGGGAUAUAUUAAGAAUGAGCCAAUGUAAGAAUGCAAUCCUAUUCUAGAGGUCAUGUGGAUCCCUUAAUAUUUAAUAUUUAUAGAUGUUCGGGCGCACUGGUUUUGAAGAUUUUUUUAUCAUUAAUAACUUUUUGUAUAUUCAUUAUUAUUAACUUAAUAUAUAUAUAUAUACACACACACACAAAAAAUAAAAAAUUUUAAGGAUAGAAAUGUAAACCAAAUUAGGGUAUAUUAGGCCUAUAGCUAAACAUAUAAGAGUAAAAUUGAUAUUCAAAUUAUUAUUAUUACUAUUAUUUUUUAUGGUUUUUGGAACUAUGCCAUCUUAUUAUAUUUGUACAUAAAAUAAUAAUUUACAACAAUUGUCUGUCUUUAAUAACUUUUUAUCUGUAUUAAAUGAUUUCGUUUAAUAGUAUAUAACUGGAAAUCUAUUAUUAACUUAUUAAUGUUUUUAUUUAUUAAUACAUAUGGAAGUUUAAAUGAGGACAGUUGACAAGGAAAAAAAAAUUUAAGGACAAAAUUGUAAACCAAAAUGAGGGUAUAUUGGGCAUAUAAUUAAAUAUAGAAGUUUAAAAGUGGUAUUCAAAAGUUUCUAGUCAAUCUUUCAAUAUUUCAUUUGAAAAUCAACCUGAAAGAUGAGAACCAUAUUUAAUUUAAUAUUAUAAGUUGUAAAAUUAACUUAAUGAAUGAAAAUUAGGAAGAUUAAAAUAGUUGACAAAAAAAUUAAGGACAAAAAAUUAUUAAGCAACUAAGGGCAUAUUGGACUUAACGUGAAUGUAAAAUAUAAAUUUUAGUACCAAGGUGGACAUAAUAAUACAACCUCUCAAUUUUUUCUUGUAAUUCUUUUUGUGAAAUAAUAAUUAUUUUAUAGGAAAUGAGUGUAAUUGGCUAUUGUAAGAUUAAUAACUUAAUGAUGUUAAGGAAAAAAAAAAACUUAAUGGUUUAGGGGAUUAUUGACAAAUUGAAAAGAAAAGUGAUUUUUUAAUUUCAUGUUGAAUAAAUUGAAUUAAUGUUAUUAUUUAAUCAACAACAAAAUUAAAAUUAAAUAAGUGUAUAUUUGAUCAUAUAUCUAAAUAUAUAAAUUGAAUUAAUGUUGUUAAUAAAAAUUAAAGUAAUGUUAAAAAGAUUAAUUUUGGGAAUUAUUGACAAAUGGAAAAAGAAAAGUGAUUUUUAAUUUAAUGUUGAAUAAAUUGAAUUAAUGUUAUUAAUUAAUUAUUAACAAAAUCAAAAUUAAAUAAGUAUAUAUCAGACAUAUAAUUUAAUAUGUAAGGAUAAAAUUGACAGUCAAAAGUUUUUCCUCAAUUCUCAAUUUUAAUGUGUUGUAGAUAGACGUGGAUAGGUCAAUCUAUCUAGUCUUGAAUAGUUUAUAUAUAUAUAUUAUCUCUGCCCUGUACCAACUUAAAAAUAUGAAAAGAUAUCGCCUGGGUGAAGCAGAAGCAUAUCACCUGUACAGUGUUAUGCUUAAACAAUCUUGCCCCACAGUAGGGUUGGUAACAGUUCGGUUAUGGGUCGGUUCGGCCAAAAUCAUAACCGCAUCACCAAUUUUUUGAUCAUACCAUAACCGUACCAUAACCAUAUAAAUCGGUUCGGUUUGGUUCGGUUCGUAUCUUGGUUCGGUACUGUUCGGUUUGGUUAAUAACUACGAAAAUAAAUUAUUUUUUAUAAGUUCAUCCGUCAAAUUGAUAUAAAAUAAUUUAUGAAAAAAGUCAAUGAAAACAAUAACACAAUAUAUUGUAUUCGACCACGCCUCGGAUUUGGCUCAAGUCUAUACUAUAAUCAGCACUGAUUGAAUUUAUCCUCUUUUCGAAAAAAUUUGAAACAAUUUCUGUAUCAAAUCUUGAAAAUGCGUCCCUGGAAUUGGAUAUAAAAUACAAUCAAUUUACAGAUACAACAAAAAUGAUUGAGAUGAAAUUUUUGUUCCAAUAAUCUUGAUUAAGAAGGCCCUCACCUAAGGUCCUAUCUUUUCUUUAAAACUGAAGUCCAAUCUGAUUCAAACUGAAGUCAUGUGGAAAAUUUUCUGGAGGCGACGACGGCUUGGACUGUGGAGGUAGUGGAGCCGUUCGUGAGUUUGUGGUUUGUGGAAAGUAGGGUUUACAGUUAUAUACUGUCAUACUAAUAUUAUUAUUAUGGGAUAAUUGUAAGUGGGCUGGCCGGUUGGAUCAAGUAAAUGUAAUGGAGGAAUUUUGUUUUGGGUUGGAUAGAAAAAUAGUGUAAAGCCCAAUAAUCAAUUCAUUUGUUUUUUUUUUAGCAGGUAAUCGGUUCGGUUUCGAUUCGACGGCGUAAAUAUCAUACCCGCACCACCAUGAACCGGUUCAUUAUAAUCAAAUACCAUAUCCGCUCUAUUGUACCAUGGUUCGAUUUUUUUCGCCCCAUUCGGUUCGGUUAACCGCGAUUUUUGGUUUUGACGGUCUAAAUUGCCAUCCCUACCCCCCACAGGAUUAAUUUGCGCACAUAAUAUUAGGCUAUGAUCUACAAAAAACAUUGUGUUCAUAAAUUGUAGCCCAAAGAAACUCUGCAUUUCUCUUCAAUUAUGAACUUUUUAUUGCAUUCUCUAUUUUAUGUGGAUUCUGGCUUCUAUAUGCAAACCGUUUCGUUCUUCCUCAUUUUUUUUUUUUUUUUUUUUUUUUGGCCGUUCUCACUGGUGUCCUUAUCCUAACAAAUAUUUUGAUCUUAAAUCUUUCUAAACUCUUGUAACUUCUUGAUGGAGAAAAAAUUGUUUUAUGCACCAAAUAAUAAACUGUCACAUAUAUGCUAUACGUAAGACAACUAUCAAUAGUCCUCACUAUAAAUAGCAUAUCUCUUUCCUUAAAUGUAACUAAUCUCAUAAUUGAAUCUAAAUUGUGAAAAUGUUAAAAGUCGUUAGUCAAAUGCUUGUUGAGUAUAUUUAGGUUAUGUUUGAUCCCCAUGUUCUAAAACUCAUUUUCUGUAAAUCAUCUAUUCUGCACAUAUAUCUAUAACUAUUUUCUACUUUUUAAUCACAUAUUCUUAAAAAAAAAAAAAAAUAAUAAUAAUAAACUCUUCUACAAAAUCUAUUAUAAAAACAUCUCCACCAAAAGGGUAUAAUAGUAGUGUCAUGUUUUAUUAUUGAUUCUGCCUUUUUACAUGCUAUCUUCGGAAAGAGAUUAAAAAAAAUUUCAAUUCAUUUUAUAGAUAGCCUGUACAAUUUAAAUAUAAUCCUGACUGAAAUAAAGUUUUCUCUCCCUCAUUGUAAUAUAUAGUAUUCUUAAGUAAUGAUUAAUUUACAUUUUUCAUUAGCUUAAUUAUUGUCCCAAAAUGCAAAACUAGAAAUGGCUUCACUACUGGAAAAAGGAUAUUUUACAACUGACGUUUCAACAACCAAAUCAAUUAGAUUAUUAAAAACUGUUUUCAACUUUUAAAAGAUAAGUUUGGUUGUAGAAAAAUAGAAGGUGAAAAAUCGAAUUUUGAAUUAGUUGAAAAUAUGUUAUAAUGACUAAAAAAUUGGUUGUUAAUCCUAUAUUUUCUCCGACUAAAUUAAAAUUGAUUAUUUAGAGUGGGUGCCAAAUCAAGAAAUAUUUGUUGAUAUUCAAUGACAACGUAAUCAUUUGUUAGAAACACAAAUAAUAUAUUAAAUAUUCAAUGACAUAGUUUCUUGUCAUUAAUAUAAAUAAACUAACAAACUAAUUGUAUCUCAUUGUUGGGAAUAGAGAAAAACUCGACACUCAACAACUAGUAGUUAAUUGUUAUAAAGAGCGAUGUUCAAAGACCAAAUAGUUUUAGUUGUUGAAAGUAGACAACCAUGGAAGGAGCCAUGUGAGGAGCCCGCACUGAAUUUUUAGGCCCAAACAAUUUAUUUUUUAUUUUUUUAUUUUUUAUCCCAUGAUUUUGCUUGAUUUUAGAUAUAUGUUGAUUUGGACUUCACUUGUCAAAAUAUGAAAACUUGCAAGGAACACGUUUAAUUAUAAACUAUGUCAUUUUUAGAUUUUUAUUUAUUUAUUUUUUAUCUUCAUUAAAUUUAUCCCCAAAAUUCAAUGGUCGACGUGUAUUAAAUUAUGCCCGCACUGAACAAAUUUCCUGGCUCCGCCCCAAUGACAACAACCUAGCUAGUUACCAACUCUAAUUUUGUCACCAACAACUCUUUGAAUGCCAACUGAUAUAUUUUUAAUUGUUGAAUAUAUUUGCCAACACCUUUUUGCCAACCAACCAAAGACCAACUAAUUUAGGUCAUUGAAUGUGAUCAAUGAAUAAAAAUGUAUAAUCUACGAUCAUUUAUAUGGUCGUUGAAUGUGAGAUUUUCUAUAUUGUGUCCCUAAACAAAUUUCUUUCAUUUUUUUAGAAACGUGAAAUCACAACCACUUAAGUCCAAAUAAAUUAAAAAAAAAAUCCCGAAAUACUUCAACAAAGCGUACAAGCAAGAAGUAGAAAACCUAGCUUUCACAUAAGACAUGUAUUUACAAGGAUGCCUUCAAUUGAGAUUUUAAUGGAUUUUAUUAAAAUUCAUUAGAAUCUCGAUGUUUCAAACUAAGAUUUUUACUGCAUAAACCUGGAUUUAUAGGCUUUCAUUGAUAAAGGAAUUUCAAAAGAUUUGGAUGAAUUUUCAAGUUAAAAAUACACAUAACAAACAUUUUCGAAUUUCACUAUUUUUAAUAAGAUUCUUAUGAUUCCACGGGGAUAUUAUGUGCAUAAGGUCUCGUGUGCCAAAACAAAAAAGGAAUUUUGAUACAAAUGGCACUAAAUGGUGUAAAAUGACUAUACAUUAUUUAUUUAAAAUUAAAAUGGCAUUCUUACAAUUUACAGUGACAAAAUGACUUGUUCUUUAAUUCCUUAUUUAAAAAGGUCAUUUUUAUGAAUGGGAUUUUUAUGCAGAAAUAGUCAAAAUUGACACUAACAAAAUAAAAAUCAAUAUUAACUCCGUCAAAUAGAGUGAUAAACUGAUAAUACUGUCAAUGGAUCCCUAAAUUUGCUUUUGCUUGGCAUGUUUGACACAAUUGAGGACACUGGAGGCUGCCAAUAGCCGAAGGUUGCAUGACGUUUGAGCUCAAGGGAGAGAAAUGUUAAGUGGUAUAAAGAGUCUCUUUCUCAGUGCUCUUUGUUUUAUCUGUUGGUACUUGGUAGUGCUAAAAUCAUGUCUCAUUUUCCCGAAAUCGUACUUGAAAACAUAUGAAGAAGCAUAAAUAACCUGAAUUAAUUUUCCACACUGUUGGGUGGAAAUGAAUAUAAGCAAAGAGCAAGGUCGAGGUGGAAUUAAAUGCAAAUUAAAGGCUCGUAGAGGUUUGACCAUCAUAUAUUAAACUCUAGUCCUAGUGAGAUAGCAUAGAUGCAUAUUGACAAGUCCACUUACCUUCGUUUUAUUUAAAAUUUGACGUAACAACAAAAACUGUUUAAAUAUAAUUCACCCUUUUAAAUACUUAAAUAGAACAUUUGACCCUUGAUUGACUUUGAUCAAUGCAAUGUUAGUUCUUGUGACUCUCAUCCGUACCAAUUUACUCUGUUCAUGAGUUAUAAGACAUAUGUGUGGAAAAAUUUCAUCAAAGGCUCCUCACCUUUACAGUUUGUGCAAAAUGAUCCCCCAACUUUUAUAUUUUGAGACUUACAUCCUUAACUAUUUACAAUUGGAGCAGGCAUAAUCUUUUUGAACAGAUUCUGUGCAAUUUGUUAUUAAAAAGAUUAAAAUAUGAAGUUUGGGUUGGAAAUGGUUUUAAAUUAGCGAAAUGGUCAACUUUGUUAGGUUUAAUGUAAUUGGGAUUCUGUGAAUGAAAAGAACUAAAUUGAACAUGUGUAAAAGUCAAGGGGUUAAGUGCAAUUUUUUAUAGAUGAGAUAGGUAGGUGAGGGUUGGAGGGAGUAAGGAAGGAAGAGUCGUGCAAUUUCACUCGCCUCUCGCCAAAACAUUGCUCGAGUGACAAAAAUAGAAUGUCCGUUGCUCGCCUGUCACCCGGACUUCGCACAAGUGACAAACCCUUCACUUGCUUGUCACUAUCCCUUCGCUCGAGCGACAAAGGUAUGUGGGAAUAUCAGAUUCGCGUUUUUGGAGAGAGUCCAUACUACCUAAAUACCUCCUACUAUAAAUACCCAAGCCUUGCACGAUUUUCAGUGUAGCUGUUCAUUGUGCCUCUCAUUGAUAAUAUAUUUAUAUUGUGUCAUAAAGAUCCAAAAACAUAUUCAACCCUUGACUCAAUCCAUUCUUUCUUAAGAUCAUACAACCAAAAAUUGGGAAAUGUACUUUCUUAAUUGUAGCUUCAAAGACUACUGAAGAUUGAGGAAGGUUGGAUUAUAAGUGCAAGAAGAAGAACGAGAAUUGGUGAUUCUUGGAUAUCUACUUGGAAGAGACAACUAGAAGAUUGGGAAGCCGGUGGAGUCAGCAGAUCUUGAAAAUUAUAGGAAGUAGAUUCAGAAGUUUAGUGGAAUUAGCUAGGCAACAUCUACUAUAAGGUUCAUUAUCUAUAGUGGAGGUAACUGGUUUAUCUCAAAAUUUUUACUCAGUUGGGUUUCUCCGUCAACAAUCAUUGUGUUCUUUACUGCAUUCCUAUUACAAACUACAAUAUUCAAACAUAGGGAAAUUGACCUGUAUGCUUAAUCAUUUAGAAACUAUUAAAAAGUAAUUUGUUGCUUUUACUAGAAUAAUUUUGUAUGUAAGGUCAAACUAAAUCGGCUAAAGAAGAACUCUCAAACUUUGUGCUUAAAUUUCAAUAGGAUCCAUACUUUGAUUUCAAUGGAACGUUCUGCUCCACGAGAUGAUUAAAGUAAUAUCUUUACUCAUCGAAAGCCAUUUAGAAUUGAAUAAAAUAUUUGAUUGGAAAUCACUACACUUAUCCCACAUAGGAAAGUAAGGAAACUUUGAUAUGGUUUAUAUAAUGGAGUUUGGCAAUUGAGUUUAGGCCCUAAAGAGUACUAAUAAUCUUUGAAAGAAAGGAGAGACUGGUUGAUCUGUACGACACAUGCCCAAGUCCAAUCCAGUUCGUGUAUAGGUGCGGAUAGGUACUUGUCCUGUAUAUCUUUUUGGACAAACUUUAUUUAAAUUUUUGGACCAAAUUGUACUUAAUCAAAUUCUUGGGUACUUAAUGAAAUUAUUAUUCCCUACCCUUGGCUUUUUUGGGUUUUUUUUUUGGGUCAUCUGUUAAUCGACUUAACGACGUUUGGGCUGUCUGUUAACCACUUAGCAUAAGAAGUAUUUUAAUCUGAACAUAAUUGUCUAUUUGGAUUUUGGAAGGCUAUCUGAAUAGUGACGACUGUUCUAAAAAAUCUUGAAGGUUGUUCGGUUUCAAAGGAUCUAUAAAGAGCCUGUCCUGUCGCUAGAAAAUUCAUACUAAUUUCAUUGCUAGUAUUCUCUGAUUCAACGGUAAGCCCUUUUCUGCCUUAUGUUUUAUUCCAUUUGAUGGUGUACAUAUAUAGGAAAAAUAUGUGUCCUAUUUAGGCUAUACACAAUUGGUGCCAAGAAUCAUGGUUGACCCGUUGAUAAUGGGGAUGUACAUUGAUUGGUUGUAUUUCCUAUUUUGGUUUCUAACAGCUCAAACUAGCACUCUCCCUCAAGUUGAUACAUAUAGAUCUUUGAUGUUCAACUUGUCGAGAGAGUUGUGGAACUCUUUACUUGAUACUCCCUUUGUGAGUAUGUUUGUUAGUUGCUCUUUGGACUUCACAAAUGGGAGUCUAAUUAUCUUUGUAUCUAGGUUUUCCUUGACAAUAUGUCAAUCCGCUUACACAUGUUUUGUUAAAUCAUGUUGGAUUGGGUUGUACGCUAUGGUAAUAGUGGCUUUGUAGUCACAAAAUAGAUCAAUCUUGGAUGUAGGGCCAAAGCUAAUUUCUAUAAGCAACCUCUUAAUCCAAACAAGUUCACAAAGUCCUUUUGCUAUUCCAAAAAAUUCAGCUUUGAUGCUUGACAGUACCGCCACUUUUUGUUUCUUACUUCUCAAUAUAACAUGAUUCUCGCCAACAAAAGUAAAAUAACCUGAGGAGGAUUUUUUGUUUGAUAAGUUUCCAGCCUAGUCUGCAUUUAUAUAGCCUUUUACUUGUAAUUGACUUCUCUGUUUUGCAUUUGUAUUCUUUGCGAACAUGAAUCCUUUUCUUGGUAAGGAUUUUAGGUAUUGGAGUAUUCGAGUUAUAGCUCUCAUGUGAUCUUCACUCAAACUGUGCAUGAAUUGACUAACCACACUUAUAGUAUAUGCAAUAUCUGGACGAGUAUGAGAGAGGUAAAUUAGCUUACCAACUAACCUUUGGAACUUCCCUCUAUCCGUUGGAACUUGGUAUGGAUGUUAGUAAGUUGAUGGUAUUGUGCGAUUGGAGUGUCCACCGAUUUGCAUUCCAACAUUCCUACCUCAGAUAAUAGGUCCAACACAUACUUUCUUUGGGAGAGAAAUAUACCUUGUUUCGACCUGGCCACUUCAAUUCCCAAAAAAUAUUUGAGCCCUCCUAAGUUCUUCAUUUCGAACUCAGUUCCCAAUUGUUUCUAAAGUCGAGAUAUUUCUUCUAAAGUCCAGAUAUUUCUUCUUCAUCAUCCCCUGUGAUAAUCAUAUCAUCUACAUAAACUAUUAGUGCAGUUACCUUGACUGAUUUGUACUUUAGAAACAAUGUAUGAUUUGAGUUACUCUGUUUAAAUCCAUAUUUCUUCAUUACCAAAUUGAACCUCCCAAACCACACUCGAGGUGAUUGGUUCAGUCCAUAUAGUGCUCGUUGCAGCUUGCACACCACUUUGGUGCCUGAAGAUGUUGUGUAACCUGGGGAGAGGUCCAUGUAUACUUCUUCUUCGAGGUCACCGUAGAGAAAGGCAUUCUUAACAUCCAGCUAAUGUAAUUGUUAGUUGAGAUUAGCUGCAAGAGAUAAGAAUAUCUUGAUGAUAUUCAAUUUAGCAAUUUGUGAAAAAAAUUCGUGGUAGUCUACCCCACAUAUGAUGUGAUAUGGGUUUCACCAAAACAAACCAAAGCAUUGGAGUUUGAUUGGAAGAAACCUAAACCAAGUUCGCGUCUUCGGGAAGCUAAUACGGGUGGUACAAUUGAUGGAUCAAGGCAUGGAGCAUACUAUGUUGAAGUUCAUGAGCUAAGUGACAACUUUCAUGUUGGGGUCGAAGUCCGAAAGCCUAUGAAACAACGUGAUUCAAUCAGCCGAAGAAGGGACUAAACCAUAACUCCAAGCGACCGCAUCGUGUCGCAGGCAUGCGGUCGCACAGGUGGCUAUUGAAACUCGAGAGGCGGCAAUAUCUUCAACCAUGCAUUCUACCAUGUGGUCGCAUGGGCAAAACUGAAGAGGGGAAUUUCCAAUUUUUGCGAGAAUUUUAAUUUGAUUCAAUUUCUUAUUUUUGGCAAGUUUCAUUAUUUUAGGAUUUUAAAAUUUUGUGGUUUCCUUGUUUCUUAGGGUAGUAUAAAUUAUUUUCUAUCUUUCAUUAUUGAACAGACUUUGAUUUGAGAAUUAAUUCAGAGAGGCGAUUUGCUCCCAAACCUUUAUUCUUCGGGACUUUGAACUUACCAAGGGAUCUGGUUGGGAUUUCUUGUGGCAUUCGGAACCUUGGGUGAGGUUCUUAAAUUGUGUAAUUAUGAGGUCUUCGAUUUAAUAUAUCGUUGGUUGCCUAAUUCAUCAUUUAAGAAUUAAAUUCGUAAACUUCGAAUCAAAUUGGCAUUCUUGGGAUUGGUGUUACUCUCGUGUGGGUUCGAUAGUGUUCAUUGCUAUCCGGGUUUGGUGUUACUCUUCUUGUGUUUGAUGGAGAGUACCCAUUUGCAUCCACUUUUUUCUUUCCAUCAGGUAACGUUACUAGGGUCUAUGUGUUAUUCUGUAGUAAUGCUUCCAUCUCAUCUUUUAUUGCCCAAGUCUAAUUUGAGUUUGACAAAGCUUUUGCAACAAUCAUUGGAAUGUGACUCGAGGAGAGUACAUGCAUAAAGGCCUUUAGGGGUUCUGAUAAUCUCCUGGUGGACACAUAAUUAGCGAUCGGAUACUUCGAUCUUCGUUCAUCAAUUUCUGAAGAAUACUUGUUUGGUGGCAUGCCACGAUUUUGCCUGAAAGGUAAUGUGUAUCGAGUAAUAUUAUCCCAGUCAUUUAUAUUUGAAGGUGUGUUACAAGUGCUUACCACACGGAUAUUCUCAGGAGAUGAGACUGUAGGUAUUGAUAGAGAGGGUGAAUUUGGUUCAACACCUUCGGGAUGAGCCUUUAGACUCGUCAAUUGGCUCUUUAGAGUUGUUAAUCUGUAGUGAAUUUUGCUCUAGUUUUAUUUCAGUGUUCAACCAAUCAAAGUAUACCCAAUUUUUCUCUUCAUUGUUUGUCUCUCCUAAGAAGGAGAAUUGGUAGCAAGCAGGAAGAAAGUAUCAGUUUCCACAAAUGUGAUGUCCAUAGUCACAUAAGUGCAAUUGGUAGAGGGAUCAUAGCAUCGAUAACCCUUCUUAUGUAUACCAUAGCCUAAGAAGAGACAACGGACAGGGAUCAAGUUUCGUUCAUUGACUUUUAUGGAUAUGGACAUAGGCCACGCAACCAAAUACUCGAUGAUGGGACAUUAAUAUAGUGGGUAUGGUUACGUGAUAUGCCAGGACUUGUAAUGGAGUUUUAAAAUUUAGGACUUUGGAGGGCAUCCGAUUAAGUAAAUGUACCGCAAUGGACACUGCGUUAGGCCAGUAGCUAUUUAGGAAUGUGCUCCAUAGAGUAAGGCACGAGUAGUCUGAAGAAUAUGUCGAUUUUUUCGCUCAGCAAUGUCAUUUUGUUAAAGAGUACAGGGGCACGUUGUCUCAUGAAUUAGACCAUGGUGUUCAAAGUAGGUGCGGAGGCGUUGAUUAUCAUAUUCACCACCAUUGUCUGAGAACUGAGUCUGAAUCAUGGCAUGGAAUGGCUGGAACACUUGUAGUACUUUAUCCUUGUGCUUCAUCAAGUAUAGCUAGGUCAUGCAAGUACAAUCAUCGACAAAGAUGACAAACCAUCGAACAUAGAUCCAACUGAGAUAGGUGAUGGACCACACACAUCAAAAUGAAUUAAAGCAAAUGAAAUACUCCUUUUAUUCAUACUUUGUAGAUAAGAAGCACAGUAACUUUUGGCCAAAAUUCAAGUAUUACAUUUGAAGUCAGUAAUCACCACAUUUGAAAAAAGACUAUGUAAUAAAUGUUUCAAAUAGCUAAAUGAAGGAUGUCCCAAGCGACGAUGCCAAAGCCAAAUCUGUCAUUCUUUUUCAUUACUCCAUAUGUGAUGUGCACGUCCAAAACUGAAAUAAUCCAUGUAGUAUAUUCCCCCUCUUUUAGUACUACGCCCAAGUAUCUCCUUCGUGAAAAUAUUUUGAAUAAGACAAAAUGUAGGUUAAAUGAGUACCACACAAUUUAGUUUAGCAGUGACUUGACUAAUAGGCGGUGACUUAUGUUAAAGUGAUGGCACAAGUAAUGUAUGAGAUAAAUGUAAUGACGGAGACAAAGACACAAAGCCGGCUCCUGUAUCUGGGAAAUGACCCCAUUGGCAUUUGCAACACUGGAGUGUCAAGGUAUGGAAUUUUGAGUAAAAUUUUUCACAUCAUAUGUUGUGUGGUCAGUGACUCCAUAGCCAAGUAUCCAAGCACCUCGAUUCUAAGCCCUAGAGGUGGUUGUUAACGUGGAACCAAAAGUACCUAUAGCUAAUGUAGGACCUGCACUUUGAAAACACUCAAUUUUGGGUAAUAGAGACAAUUCUAGUUUAGCGGUCACCACAACCAUCUUGCCUUUACAUCCAUCAGUGCCUCCUACAUCCCUUUUCUUUUUUUUCCUAUAAUUCGUGCCACCAGUCUGGAUACCUACCUAUUAAGUUCAAAACAAUUGUCACGUGUGUGCCUUAUAUUCCCACAGUGUGAGCAUUUAGUCCUUUCAGACUUAAUUUUCCAUUGUUAGUUUCGUGUGUCCUGUUGAGGCCCAUAGACAACGAACCAUCAGAAGAGGCAGUAAUCGGAUCCAACUUAAUUCCUAUGGUGGCUAGAACUGUAAUAGAGGUACCGGAGGUGUUGAUGGGAGCCAUGAUCUCCUGCUUAAGCUCCUUCCUAAGAACAUGGGUGUAGGCUUGUUCUAUGGAAGGAAUGGCUUCAUCCGCAACACGCUGCUACGAAUGCUAUCCAGGUGGUUGUCGAGUCCAUCCAAGAAAGUGUAAACUCGAUCUUCUUGGACCAUCUUGUUAUAGUGUUGAAUAUCGAUGGUGCAUUCCAGUGGAUUAGGGCAGCGAAAGUCAAUCUCACGACACAACCCUUGCAAAUUCGUUUAGUAUUUUUCCAACGAGCCACCCGAUCGUCUCAGUCGAGUAACUCGUCGUCGGAGUUCAUAAACCUGAGAAGCAUCACUUCUGUCAAAAUAGGUCGUGGCAAUGACAUCCCAAACCUGUCUCGCUAUGGGGAAUCAAAUAAAGUUUCCAAUACGGGUUAGGUCCAUGGAGUUAAUUAACCAACUCUUGAUAAUGGCAUUGUAAGUUCACCACUUUCGAAAACUGGGAUUAGUUUUUAGAAGCGAUGAAGAAUCACCUUUCACGUAGCCAAUCUUGUCUUUUCCGGAGAUGUACAUCUACAUAAUUUGGGACCAAAAGGUAUAGUUCGAACUAUCUAGUUUGAUGCCAAUUGAGAUUGAAUUUUCAGUGUUUGGGUUUGGAUGUUCAAAGUAUUCUAUCCUAAAGAAACUAUUGUUAAACUCCUUUAGCACAUUGAAGGGAGCAAAAUCGUCAUAAGGAAAUAUCGUGAAGUCGGUGAGCUCAAAUUAACUUUCAGAUCUUGUUGAUUAUCUUGUGACGCCGUUCAAAUUUGAUUGAGGUAAAUCUAUAAGUAUAUUAUCUCCAGAUUGUUUGAAGGAGGAAUUAAUACAAAUGGAGGAAUAAAAAUAUUCUCUUUAGAGGAUCGAGUUAAAUUUUUUUUUUCUUUAUAUGUUAAUAUCUAUUAAGUAACUGGAUUACCAUCAAUUUUUAUGCUUAUACAAAAACGAGCAUGCAAUAAUAAAAAAAUAUCCAAUACUAUAUUAAUUAUUUUUUAGAACACAUAAUACUAAUUUUUAUUAAUACUUAAAAAUUUUAUUUUAUUGGAAAGUGUGUGAUUAAGAUGCAAAACUUGUAUUUAGUGAGGUGGAUACAAAUAUGAGAAGGGUAAAUAACUCAUAAUUAUUAGGAGUAAGUCAUAAGGUUUCUAAGAUUGAUGGGUAAUUUCUUUCAUCUUCGACUCUUUCCUUCCUAAUUAUUGAUCACAUUUAAGCAAUUUUUUCUUUUCAAUUUAUUUUUCUUUGUAUUUAAAUAAUUAUACUAUCUAUUAUAUUAAUUUAAACGUGCAAUUCAUAAUCUUUGAAUAAAAAUACUGACAAUGUUGUACUAUAUUAUUGUAUUGACUCGUAAAAACGUUGGUCAGCCUGGAAUUGCCCCAUAAAUGGCAUUGAUCAACCGUUGACUGGUGAUACCGUUGGUGGAUAGGUUGUCCCAUCAAUUGAUUUAGCACAACCUCCACUAAAAGAAUAAUAGUGUAAGUAUUACUUUGUUCAAAAUGUCCUUUGCUAGAAGUUGGUUUAGCAAGUCAAAUGGUUCUAGAUCUAGAACUAAUAAUUUCAAUAGUAACUUUCAAGAUAAUGAAGAAAUAGACAAUAAUCAAGAGAUGCUAGAAAUUUUAAACAAUCAAGAAACUCAUAUUGCUCAAAUAGAACAAAGACUUCAUAAUUGAACUAUUCCUAAAAUAAAAAAGAAAACUAUCAAUGAAAUAGGAAGCUUUGAUUUUCAUUAAAAUUAUGCUAUCAAGACUUGUGAAAGAACUUUACCAAUUGCAAAACAAAGUGCUGAAAUAAAGCUACUCUCAAGUGAAGGAAUCAGAAACCAUAGAAAAAAAGUAUAAAUUUCUUCAUAUUGGUAUAGUCCGAAUUGUUGUCAAACCUUUAUUUAGACUAGGCCUAUAUAUACCCAUUCUCUUAAUUUUAAGAGACUAGUCGCUAUUACGUACGUUGUACGAAUUUUGUAUUUAUCGUAUUUUUAUUAGCGUAUGAAUUUUAGUUUUUUUGGAAAGUUUUUGAAGUAAUAUCUAAAAAUAUUUCCAUGAUAUAAGAAAAUAAUUGUAAAUUAUUUUUAUAAUGGCAUAGCAGUAUGUUAUCUAGAAAAAAUAUGCUUGUAUAUUUCAUACUUGAAUAAGAAAUAUACAAACUAUUUUGCUUGUAUUCUUUGAUAGUGUUGAUAUGAUUGAAUUGAAUGUGAAGAUUAUAUUUCUAAAUUUUGUGUAAUUCAAUAUUGUAAAAUUGAAAAACAAGCUCUCCUCACAGUGCGGAGAGAGUUGAACCAAGUGCGGAGUAAAAAUAAAAAAUAAAAAAAGGCGCGGAGAGAAAAAAUUCUUUUCGCACAGUGUGGAGAGAGUUGAACCAUGUGCAGAGAAUUGGCAAACUCUUCGCACAGUGCAGUCUCCGCAAAGUACGGAGAGAUGACAAAUCAACUCUCCGCAUAGUACGGAGAGCAAAAAAAAAACUCUCUGCACUGUGCGGAGAGAGUUAAUCUCUUCGCAUAGUGCGAAGAGUUGGUCCGCACUAUGGUAAAACUCGCCGCACAGUGCGGAGAGAAAAAAACUCUUCGCACAGUACGUAGAGAGUUGAACCAUGUGCGGAGUAAAAAAAAGUGCAGAGAGAAAAAAACAUUUUUGCACAGUGCGAAGAGAGUUGAACCAUGUGUGGAGAGUUGGCAAACUUUUCGCAUAGUGCGGAGUUAAAAAAAAACUCUCCACAUAGUAUAGAGAGUAAAAAACUCUCCGCAUAGUGCGGAAAGUUGUUUUCAAAUUCCUUAAUUACAAUUUAAAUUUCAAGAUUGUAAAUUUUUCGUACAUACAACGAAACAGAGUCGAAAAACAUGGCUCAAAAUCAAUUAUGUCUUCUUUAAAUUCCAGUCACUGCUCAAUUUCUGAGCAUGCAAAUCAUAUUUACAGUAUUGGAAAGGAGUUUUCUCAUGAUUCAUACAAUGAAACAAUAUGUGAGUAAUGCAAAGAAGGAGAUAUUGAUAGUACCAUGUCAUUGCUUUCACAAAUGGAAGCUCUAGGGUACCACCCAAAUUCAAUAUUUUACACUUACUUGAUAACAACUCUUAGAUAUCGGAAGUGGAUACAAUUUUCAAUAAAAUUAUACUUUCGGGUUGUAGGGCAGGAAUUAAAGUGUUCAAUGCAUUGUUCAAAAGUUGUUUGAGAAAAUGCCUCUUGGAACUUGCAGAUAAAGUCUCGAGAAUUUUUAUUUUUCUCUUCACACUGUGCGGAGCGAUAGUUUGCUCUCUCCGCACUUUGCGGAGUUUUUUUUUUCUCAUGUGCGGAGAUUUUUUUUUUGUCUCAUGGAGUUUAUAAAUACUAAAAUUAUUAUUAUUUUUCAUGUUGUUGGCAUGAUGCGUGUGUGUAAGAAUAUUUGUCAAUCACCAUAAACAAAAUUCUUCACAAAAUGUAAAAAAUAAAAAUGCAUAAUAAAUCUUCUUAUUACGCAAAAUCGAGUAAAAUCUACAAUAAUUUUUUUUAACAUAAAAAAAUCAUUUUUAUCUUCAACAAAGAAACACAUUUAAAAAUUAGCAAUUUCGUAACUUUUUUUUUAUUCUUGGAAAUAUAAUUAUAAAAAAGGAAAUAAUAUUGAAUUACAACAUUUAAUACUUAAAAAAUUCAAUAUUAAAUAAAUUUUGUACAUUUAUAACAAAUUAUAAAUUUAUAUAUGCAGUUUACCGUAUUUGCAGGCAACUUACCGUAUAUAAAACUUACCAUAUAUGCUGCCUAUCGUAUUUGUAGUUUACCGUAUUUGCAAAUAACUUACCGUAUAUGCUGCUUACCAUAUUCGCAACUUAUCGUAUUUGUAACCUACCGUAUUUGCAAACUUACCGUAUUUUCACCUUACUGUAUUUGCAGCUUACCGUAUAUGCUGCCUAUCGUAUUUGUAGCUUACUAUAUUUUUAUAUACCGAUUUUUGCACUUAAAAAUAUCGAGAAUGCAGAGCACCGUACAUUCACUUACCAAAUCGAAUUUCAAAAAAAUUUCCAAAAUUUUAUUUUUUCAAGAUAAGCAUAAAUAAAUAUUAAAUAUAUAUGAAACACAAAAUAUAAAUGCAUAUGGAUGUAGUGCUCAAUCUUCAAUUUUUCAAUAUUGAAUUACACAAAAUUUAGAAAUAUAAACUUCAUAUUCAACUCAAUCAUAUCAACACUAUCAAAAAAUACAAGCAAAAUAAUUUGUAUAAUCUCGUAAAUUUUUUAUUCAAGUAUGAAAUAUAUAAGUAUAUUUUUUUUAGAUGACACAAUACUGUUAUGCAAUUGUAAAAAUAAUUUGCAAUUAUUUUCUUAUAUCAUGGAAAUAUUUAUAGAUAUUGCUUCAAAAACUUUCCAAAAAAUUAAAAUUCAUACACUAAUAAAAAUACGAUAAAUGCGAAAUUCGUGCAACGCACGUGACAAUCACUGUGAGGAGAAUUUUUUUUUUUAAUCUUCGCACUGUGCGGAGAGUUGGCGAAGUUUUUUCUAUUUUUUCUUUUUUUACUCCGCACUGGACGGAGAGUUCGCACAGAAUGUCAUAUCUUCGCACAGUGCGGAGAGUUUUGUCAUCUCUUCGCACUGUACGAAGAGAUUUUCUUUUUUCAUGUUUACUUCACACUGUACGGAGAGUUUGCCAACUCUCCGCACAUGGUUUGUCAUCUCUCCGCGCUAUGCAGAGAGUAAUUUUCUUCCUUUUUUAUUUCGCACAUGGUUUGCCAUUUCUUCGCACUGUGCGGAAAGUUUUUUUUUUUUUUUUUUUUUUAUGCUCAUGUGUGAAGAUUUUUUUUUUAGGGCAGUUUAUAUUUACUAAAAUUUUUAUUACUUUUUAAUGCUAGUGGCAUGAUGUGUGGAAGAACAUUUGUUUGGCAUAAUUAUUUUUUUAAUGCUAGUGGGAUGAUGUGUGGAAGAACAUUUUUUUGAUAUAAACAAAAUAAAAAAUAAAAAAUGACAUCAUGCAUAGUAAAAUUGGAUUCAUUUACUAUUACAUGAAUAGUAGACACUCAUUCCCCUUUUUAUUAGAAGUUAGAUAAGAAAUAUCUCAAAUUUGAGAAUUCCCAACUUUCUGUUUUACAGUCAAACUUAGAAAGUGGUCCAGUAUUCUCAAACUGUUGUCCAUAUUAUACUAUUCAUCUGAAUGAUGCUAUAUUAAAUUUUCUCACUCUUCAUAUAGAAAGAAAAUUCUCAAUUUUGAUGAACGUUCGAAAUCAUUUGUUGUGAUAUAUAGAAUAUAUUAUAAAGUAUUGAGCACAAUUAUUCCAAAAAGAAUUCGUUGAAAUAGACUUUCAAGACCUUUAGAAUGGGAUUUUGAGAAGGUCAAUGUUCCAAAAACAGAAAAAACAAAAAGAUAACCCUCAUCAAAUAAUAAAUUAUCCUAAUGGAAAAGUUAAGAUGAUAUUUGAUUAUAUUCCUUCUAGUUCAAAAUAAUAUACUUCUUUUAGAAAUAAUCCUAUCUCUAAAAGAUUUCAUCAACCCUCAAGGCAUUCAACUUCUUCAGAAAAAAUUAAAAGGAGUUGAUUUCAACCCAAAUAUUCCUAAAACUCAAUACGAAGAUGAGCUUGAUUCACAAAGGGCAGAAUCUCCUACUCCUUCUAACAUGCAGCCCCCUCCAUCUGAAAGAUUAGGAGAACAAUUAACUUUCAUUUCUUCCUCUAUAGAUCGAAGAAUAGACUUCAAAACCGAUAAAACACCUCAAAUUAAAGACUUUAGAAAAAAAAUCUGAAAAAGAUGUUUUCUAAGGAAGAAUUAGAAUCAUUUUGGGAAGAAUUGUAUUCUUAUCCAGAAGAUUUAAGGUUUUCCAAUAGGCUGAAAUAAGAGUUUUUGGAAGAGGAAAAGAAAAAUCUGUUAAUAUGACUCAUACCAACAAAGAAAUGGAAAAUCACAAGUGGAGAUACCGUUCAAUCGGAGCAAUCCUCCAAUGAAAGAAAUUGUUUUUUCUCAUGGGAAAAAUGAGGUAAUUGCUUUUCCUGUUAAACAGGUUAUCGAUAGACCAGAAAAUUUUGGUUCCACUAAAAAAAAAAAAAAAAAAAAAUUCUAGCUCAAAAUAAUUAUACAAAUAUCCUGUAACACUCAAUGACAAAUCAAUUAUCUUGAAUUGAAACUGAUUGUUUGAUUAUCCCGCAAGUGAACGAAAUCGUGAGCAAGUAAUAUAGUAGGGUGUAGGGUGUCGAACUCACGAGAACAAUGCAUUUGAUCAAGUUUUCGCUAACACUGCCCUUUAUCGAACAGAAGAAUCGAGUGGUAACUAAAAACUAUUAAAUCUAUCAAUUAACUUAAAAGCAACGUAAAGAAAACUUACCAAAUUCCCAAGAAAUAUUGUUAAGAUGUAGAAUCUACCUUAUUAAUCCAUUUUUAGUUCGACAAUUUAAAUUGACAAUAUGAAAUCGUGCUUGUUGGUCAAUGUUCCUAUUUUAUUUGAAAACAUCUCUCGAUAGUUAUCAAAUAUAUUCCCCUCAUAUGACAUAUCUAUCUCUCGAUGAAAUAUGGGAAUAUGAUAAAUGUAUUAAACGAGUUAGAACAUCUUAUAACAACCAUAUGAAGCAUAGAUGUAUAUCUCUAUUCUCUAUCGAAUUUCACAAUAUUUAUUGUUUUGUGCUAAUGAUCCUAUUGUCUCGCUCAAUAACAACAAAAUCCAUAAACAAUUCAAUCAAUGGCCAAUUAAUUGAAAAGUAUGAAAACAAUAAUAAACAUCCAAACACUCAAACAAAUUUAACGUCAAUUUAAUUAUUUAAACUAAAAGUUGAUAACAAGAGUUCAUCACAUCCUAGCAUAAAGAAAUUAGCCGCGCAUGAUGUUGAAAUUAAACAAAGAAAGGAUAAAAGAUUUCACCAAAAAUAGACGGAACGUGAUUAAUAUCCAAAUUUCUUGUACAAUUUGUUAAUGAAUUAUCGCACAAGGAAAUCUGACAUUAUUUCUUCUACUGCCGUCCAUGCAUGUGUGCCGUCUAUCUCCAGUAUACGUGUCGGCUUCCCACUUUUUAAUUUCCAACAGCCAUAUGUGAAUGUUUUAAUUCCAAAUUCAGCUGCCACUUCCUCCAGAGCUGCCACCAAUUUGUGUUUAUAAGGUAUAUCAAAGAGCCCCUUUUUUUUUUCCCUGCAGCAAUGUUUAUUUUUUUCUCCCUUUCUCUCUCUGUUUGCGUAUAAUCUCCCUCAAAUUUUUCUUCAACAACUGCCUGUGUAUUCCUUCCAAAAAUCCCAACCGGCUGUCCCUUUUUCUCUUCCAAACUAUUACCGUUUUUCUGUGGCUUUUUCUCCCAGCCAACUCUUCGUUCUGCCGUCUAAUGUGUAUGUGUAUAUAUGUGGCAAAUAGGCUUUUUUUCUUCUCUCCCACAGCCGCCGUUUUUUACUCCAAUUUUUAUGAUAUUUCAAUUGCUCCACAUUCUUCUUUUCAACCGGCUGUAGCGUAUAUAAUGGCCAAAUAAUUAAUUUGGUUUCAUUCCAAUUCAAACUCCUAAUUUGAGGCCCAUCAAUAAAUUACUUUUCUCCAAGUCCUCAACUUUUAAAGAAUGCAAGUUAGUCCUUGAUACAAAUAUAUUUGUGCAACCAAUGCCCUCCUCAAAUUCAAACUUGUGGAAUUUAAUCCCAAAUCGUAGAUUUUACUCGAUUUUGCCCUUCUUCCUUUCCAAUCGCUUCAAACGGGUUCGUCGCUAAAAACACAAAGAAAAUUAACAUAAGUAAAAUAGAAAUUAAUAAUUUGACAACUUAAAAGUUUAAUAAUGUGGCCUAAAUAGGUGCACAAAUUGUACUUAUCAAACACCACCAAACUUAAGCAUUUCUUUGUCAUCAAACAAAACUAUAACCUAAAUAGUAACAAAUACACAAGCAUGCAGAAAUAUUUGGUUUGUGUUGAAGAUAUGGAGAAUAUUGUCAAGAUAUUGGAAUAUAUUUUUCCAUUAUUUAAUAUUAUUUCCCAUUUAUGUUAUUUCCUUUUGUUGUCAUUCAUAACCCUAUAAAUAGGGAUCUUUAUAUUGUAAUAUUUACAAGACCAUCAAUAAUAAAAUUCCUAUUAUUAUUCUUAACAUGGUAUCAGAGCGGGUUUGACUUGGUCUUGGAUUAAACUUAUAAGCUUCCGUUCUCCGGUGAGCAGCCUCAUGCCGCUCGUCCGGUCAUAAUUUUUUCCGACCAGUUUUUUACAUAGAAAAGAGUAUUUUUUUUCUCCCUCCAACCAGUUCUUUUGAUUCACACAUAUUCCUAUCUUUUCUUGUUUAUUGAUUCCUCAUCCUAUAAUAUUUCUUCUCUUGCCUCCCCAGCUAUAGGAAGUCUACUCAUUAAAAAAAAGGGACACCGAGUUUUCUAAGGUUUUUUUUUUGUUGGUGAUUUCCUUCAGCGAAUUCAACCUGCGGUUGCAUCGAUUUCAAUUGAAGUGGGCGAUUUUGGUCCAAAUGAAGUUUUGGAGUGGAGGCGGUUUCGGUUGAUUUGGUGAUGAUGUGGAUUGUAUUUGGGUUGCCUUAGUAAAUUCUUUGGAUUGCUUUCUUUAUUGCUUUUAGAGGACUCCACGUCUUUGUUCUUGUUAUCUAAUUUGUAAUAUCACUGCUCCUGAAGUAAACAUCAUCGCUGCCUACUCCGAAGGAACGUCCCCUGCAGUCUACAGAGAAUGCUUUUGGGUAUUUAUCAACUGUAAGCAAAUCUUUCCAUGUUCUCUACAAGCACAAACCUCUCUGGAGGAAUCUUGUUUUGGAACCUUACAAAGGUGGUUCUCGUAUAAUGGGCCUUGAUCUAAGCCCCGCUGCCAGCAAUAUGCACCCGCAAAAACUUCCCCAAUGGAGUAUCCCCCUCUGUAGAUUUUAAGAUCAGAAAAUCCUAGGGAUUUCAUGGGGCCAUGAAGAAACAGUGGGUUUUUCUUGGUUGUAGGCCAAAGAUUGGACUUGAGUUAAAUAUGGGUUUGUUUGUUCUUGUUGGGCCAUAUGGUGUUCUGGACCGAUUGGAUGGGUUACAAAGUGAGUUUGGGCUGCAGUAUUUUUCCUGGGCCGUUGAAAUUAAUUUUAGAUUUGGGCUACUUUCUUGAAUUUUUAUUAGUCCAUACCCAAAUGAGUCCGUUCUCUUUUUAAAUUUUUUAAAAUUGUUUAAAAAAAAUUGUUGUUUCCCCUUUUUCUUGGGAAUUUAAUUUAAACAAAAUUUUUGGAGGAUCGGUACCUUGAAUUUUAUCUUCUCCUCCUGUGCCCCUUAAACAAACUAGGGGUUUUCUGUCUCUUAAACAAAGUAGAGGUUUUAAAAAAAAAAGUUGGAGGGUCGGUACCCUGAAUUUUACCGGCUCUCCCAUUCCCCUUAAACAAACUAGGGGUUUUCUACCUCUUAAACAAACUAGAGGUUUUUAAAAACAAAUUUUUUUUUGGAGGAUCAGUACCUUGAAUUUUACCAGCACUCCCCCUGCCUCUUAAACAGCUUAGAUGUUUUUUCUUAUGUUAAAAAUAAAAAAUUGAAGAUUUGUUUGGAUUGAAGAUUUGAUUGGUCAAACUCAAUAUUCUACACCAUAUUGAGUUUGAGGGGAGGGUGUUGAAGAUAUGGAGAAUAUUGUCAAGAUAUUGGAAUAUAUUUUUCCAUUAUUUAGGAUUAUUUUCAAUUUAUGUUAUUUCCUUUUAUUGUCAUUCAUAACCCUUUAAAUAGGGCUCUUUAUAUUGCAAUAUUUACAAGACCAUCAAUAAUAAAACUCCUAUUAUUAUUCUUAAUAGUUAAAUAGUCUAGCUUUUUACAUCGGGAAUGGAGAUUAUCGUAUUAAAUUUACAAACCACUUCAAAGGCACAAUACCAAACCAAUAUCCACUUCUCCAAUACAAAAUCGACGUGUGUGUGUGGAGAAUUAAGUAAACAUUAAUGACCUCACAAGUUGUUCACAUUCCCGGCCCUCUAUGGUCAAAUUUAUCCUUACAUCUCUCGUGAGAUUUACACACCCCAAAACUUAUUCUUUUUCACUCUUUUCCCAGCGUGUAGUUGAAUUUAUUAUUACCAUCCUCACCCUUCACCAAUUCAGGUAGACGUCACUAGUUGCAAGUAAACACAUCCAUGAACAUGAAUUCUCCAAUUAUUUGAUUGUUUCGACCAUCAGGACUCAACUACGCUAAUUAUUCUUCAUCGAAAGUCAAAUUUCCUCGAACAAGUGUUAGGACUUAACAAGGCAUUUAGUACAUUUACUAUUUUUUUUUCUUUUCUUUUUUUUUCCUUUUUUUUUUUUUUUUUUUUUUUCACUCCCCCUUAAAUUUUUUUUUUUUUUUUUUUGCACUCCGCCUUAAGCUUUCUAGAUGACUCGUGUAGCAGGAUUUAGGCCGAUGACUCCCAAGUCAGACGACUUUAGGGCACCAAGUUUUUAAAUAUUCUUACAGGCUUAAUAACUCGAAUCAAAAAGGUUUUGAAGAGAACAAUUAUUUUUUUUCUUUCACGGGCAACUUCAUCUCUGAUUGCUUUCUAAAUGACCCAUGUAGCGAACUUUAGGCCAAUGACUCCCAAGUCAGAUGACUUUAGGGCAUCAAGUUUUAAGAUACCUUUGCAGGCUUAAUUGCUCGAAUCAUAAAGGCUUCAAAGAGAAGUUUUAAAAUAUAUGUCUUGAUUAGUGCAAUGCCCCUUAUCAUACACCUAUUCAAGAAAAUUGAACUUCAACUCAAGACUCUCGCCCAAUAUUAUCCUGUUCAUCUCAAACAAUCCACACAAAGUUUUUUUUCACACAAGGAAUCCACGUUCACGUCUGCAUCUACCUACAAUAGUAAAAUCAUUCCAAAUUGUGCUAAAUUUGGUCUAAAGAUAAUUAGUUUAAUAUGAUUUGGGUAAAGCAUCUAUGUCCAACUAAAUCAAUCUGUUUAGAGCAUGAAACAACUCACUUCAUCACCAUGUCAAACCCAAUUCUUGUGCGCGUAUAAUAUCAAAUUUUGUAAGUUUAAGUUUCAAUCAAUCUAGCAUGCAACCUAUCCACAAUUUAUAAAUUAACAUCAAAUCUCAAAUUAAAUCAUUAUUGUUAGCUAAACCAUUUAACCCACACAAGCAUACAACUAAAUAAAAGAGAUUUUUUUUUUUUUGAAAAUCUUCAAAAUUUUUCAAUUUUUUUUUUUACUAAGACAAACACACAAAAAUACGAAACAUACGAAAAACAAAAACUAAAAGUUUUUUUCACCUCCAAACUAAAAAAUCGGCAUUUUCCUCAAUGUCAUAAAGCGUAAGUAAGCACAUAAAGGGGUAGGGAAGAAAAGGAAGAAAGCACUCAUCGAAUUUUUUGUUGAAUGUGCGAAGUACUAUGUGUGAUGGUUAGGAAAUUUUUCUCAUCAUGUUUUCCCCUUGGGUCUAUGUUGGUUCAUGACACGACCCGUCCCAAAUCACCCUAGUGGACCCGAAACGUGACGUGCACUGAUGAUAGAUGCUGACUAGAUGUCAGAUCUAUCACCAAAGCUAACUAUGAAUUACUACAAAAUAUACGACAAAAUCAAAUGUUUAUAAAACCGUAGUGCAAUUGGCCCAAAAUUACAUCGUGUUUUAUCAAAUUGACUCAUCAAUAUGUCGUGUAGCUCUAACUCUGAAAUCACUAGGCUCCUCAAGUUAUCAAGGACCAAUAUUACCUGUAAGAAUAAUUUUAGGAAAAUAUGAGUUGACAGCUCAGUGAGUGGAAGAGUUCGAAAAUAAUUAUGCUUUCUCAUUUAAACAUUUUUAUCAAACAUCAAGUUCAUAUCAUUUAAUAUUUCACAUGAUAGACUCAUACGAAUAUAGACAAAAAGUGAGACAUUCUCAUAACUCUAUAAAUAUCAUCUCAUAUCCACGAUAUCGUCAUCAGCUGAUAUCUAUACCAUCAUCUCAUCACAUCACAUGUGUUCCACCAAAAAUGUACAAUCUAACUAAAAUUUGUAAUCCACCCCUCGGGUUAAGAACUUUCGCCAUGGGCCUUUGGCCCCUCCGUGAACAAAAGUUGGUCUCAAAAACCUCUGGUAAUCAAUUCUAAAACACGGCCAAGACCCACUCAGUGAACUAUAUGUACACAGUCACGACCCUUUCAUCCCCAGUCAACCCCUCAGUGUAAGACAGAACACGGCCAAGGCCCACUCAGUAAACUAGAAGAAGUAUGUAAUCAUGGGUAUUUUUCUGGUCGAUCUCAAUAUCACAUGUCUCACAUUCCACAUCACAAAUAUUUUCAUAUCUAAUCUUUGAGUUCCACAAUUAUCAUAAUGAAAGAAUAUUUCCAAAAUAAUCAUGUAAUCGAACACAUAAUUGUAUAUAAUUGCACAUAUUUUGACAAUAUACUUAAUUUAUAAAUACUUUAAAAAUAUUUAUAUUUUUCCACUCACUUGACUAUGUAUCGAACAAAAAGUAAUUCCACUAAAAAGCUUUCCCAGUCUCACUAUCUCCUGAAAAAUGAAUUAUUUAUUCAAAUUAAUAACUAUUGAAUCCAUUUCCUAACCCCAUACAUGGAUAGGAAACCUCAAAAUCUCACCUAUUACUUCUUCAUUUCUUUCUUCCCAUUUUAGUCAAGUGGGCACACAUAUCCAUAUGCCAAUAUAUACACAAUUUCUCAUUUACCGAUUUAUUUAUAGAAUAUCUUUUCCACAUUCAUUUCCCCACUACAUUGGCAUAAUAACAUACUACCUUCCAACAUCUUGAAUUUACACUAUAAAUACUGUCCCUUUUUAUUUGCUCUAUAAUCUUAAAAUUACUAAAUAAAGAACUUACCACAUUUAGGCUAAAUUGAAUUCCAAUUAAAUACAAUUCAUCUCUUCUUCAUCAGUUUACUACUUCCCCACUGGCAUCAAGCUAUGCAAUUAGGUAUGUUCCCUUCUUAAUACUUUCAGCCACUAGACAUAUACGUGUGCCAAACAAUUCAUUAGUUGACCCAAAUCCUCACUUGCCUUUUGGUUUCUUUAUUUAAAUUUCAAUUUUAACCCAAUUACUUCAUGAAUUUUUCAUUCACAAAGUUCCAACCCAAAAAUUUAUAAAUAUUUGAUUCACAUAACUUAAAAGCUUCAAAAAUUGUUUACCCAUACUAAACCAUCAAUAAAUUGAACUUCUUUAUCACUUGUUGGAGCCAAAUAAGAAAUUUAAGUUUGUAUAAAACUUAUCCACUUGUGAUUGUAGAAGAAAUGAGGCUAUGAAAGAAAACCCCAUUCUUGAAGAAGGGCAUCUCACCUCCUACACAUCGUCGGCCAGCAAUUAUUCUUUUUUUUUCUCGGUCUCUCUCUCUUUCUCGAUUAUUCCUGUCCGUCUCCCUGCUCUCUCCUUCUUUGGUGUGUAUAUAUCAUAUGAAAAUGGGAGAUUAGCUAGUAAGUUGCCACUUGUACUCCACCAAUCCAUUUUUGCAAAGAAGUCCCUCUUCUUCAAUUAAAUAUGACAUUUAAUCAUCUAACUUCCAUUAAUAAAAAGUAAAUCCCCAAAAUUUAAUUUUAUCUAUCUAAACCUUCAAGUGGUGUCAAUUUGUAAAAUAAAAUUUCAAAAAUAAUUUGGUCAGUUCACGUCCCACUAAAAUGAUUUACUUCAAUUAAAUCCUUAUUUGACUUUGACUUUAACUUUGACGAGUCAAACAUUUCACUUUGAAUAAAUAAUAUUGACCUUUGACUAAUAUGAAAUGGGUUGUAACAAUCUGACCCCCUUCAAAGAAUUUCGUCCUCGAAAUUCAUUCAGCUAGGAUUCAAACCAAUAAAUAUAUAGCGCUCAGAUUUAAUCUCCCAUAAUGCCUCAUCUUGAUUGAUUUCUCCAAUUCACCUUAAUGACUUAUUUUCCAACUUUUGUCUCAAUAAAUAGGUAUCUCAGUUUCCUUUAAAUAGUAACCAUGUGUUGGUAACAUAUCUUCUGAACUUGUCUUCAUAUUCUCUGGCAUUCUAUUAAAAGGAAUUGAACAAUGUACUUUAGUUCUGUAACUCCCUAUAUUAGCCAAAGAUAGAUACUCGAACUCCACCAUGUAAAUCACUGACUUGUCCAUAAGUAAUUUAUUAACAUAUCUCUUGAACUGAUUGUAUUAUUUUAAAAUAAUCCUGUAACUUUUGUCGAUUUAUCGUCAAUGAUUCAAAUUCAAUUUGUCUCCAUUCUGUGUAUUUGAAACCUCAAAUGAAAAAUAUUUGAGGGUAACAACCUCCAUUCUAAAUUGACAAUAUCUCCAAAAAUUCAAUUGUUCAUAAAUUUUCAAAAUUUCUAGAUAACCCCAGCAAAACAAUUGAGAUAACUCAAUAUGGUGUUCUUUUCCUUAAUUUUAUAUCACCCAAUGAUAAUAUACACACAAUUUUCAUUUCCACAAUUCCUAAUAAAAUAUACUUUAAACUCCGAUAAUAGAUAAAUAUUGAUGUUCCUCGCAAUGUUAUAACACCAAAAUUCCUAAAUUCAACAUCAAUAUACCCAAUUAUAAAUCAUGUUUUAAUCAAGCACCUUCAACAAUCUACAAUAUAAUCCAUAAUUCAUCAUUUUACUUCAGGACACUUUCUAAACCUUAACAUAAUCAUUAUCACAAAUCAAACCUUCAUCAACUUUAGAUACAAGAGUAAAUGUUUCCUCAAAAUAUAAUCUAAUAGCAACGCUUUUUACAUUCUUAAAUUCACACAAUUUUGGUGCUCUUUCUUCCUACGAGGAGACAAUUAUAAUAUUCAAUCCAUAGUAAUUCCAUACUCUUAUUCCAUAAAGAGGCCAUUAGCCUAUUACCAAUGCAUAAACUUUCUUGUAUAUCUCACAAAAACCUUCAAUUAAAAUUAUAACCUAAAGACACUGUUCCACAAUAUGAAUAAAAUUUACAUUUGAUGAUCGUCUUAAACUUUAAACUAUCCAACAUAUCAUCCUUGUGUUCCAUAACAUAUAGAUCUUAAGAAAAAUGGAAUUCUUUAUUUGUGAAAUCCAAGAAUACGAUCAAAAUUAACUCAAAAUUUACAUCACUUAAACUUCAUCAAAUUCAUCUUAAUUUCAAAAUUUAGCUCAAAGCUUCCAGGUUUUAUUAUAACAUAACAAAAUAAUCGAACAAAUGGUCUUGGCAACGCCAAUUAAUUUAAUAACCUAAAUAUAUCAUCCCAUUAUUUCGCUAUAGGACAACCAUUACAUUCAUUUACUUGUUAUUCACCAUAUCAUGUUAUGAUCAUGUAACCUUAUCAUUUAUCACGCGAACCUUUUUACAUAUCAAUAUUCACCAAGAUUUCAUAUUCUAAUUUCUCAAUCUCCAUUAAUUUCAACUCUAUAGUUCUUAAUUCUUUUCUUCUUUUCUUAAUAAUUUACAAAGCAUCACUUCAUUCUUCAAACCAUACAUGCUUAUAUGUGAAAGAUGCUAUACUAAUCACUCCUUUUCAUUUCCUUUACUUCAAUGCAUGAUUCCUUUUCUAUAAUUCAAAAAUGAAAAUCAAUCUGAGUUUCGUAGACUCCCUCCAUUCAUAUCAUUUGUACCCUAUUUACAUAAAUGUACAAAUCCAAUAAUUCUUUUAUUUCAACAACAACUUACCCCGCAAUAAGCAGUCUUUGUGAAAUCUAUCCAUAUCUUUCUCACAUCUCUUAUAAUCAUAUAACCCAUAAAUAAUCAAAAUGAUCGGAGUUACAUGAAUGUCAAUUUCUUCAAUGAAUAAUAUACAUAAUAACACAUUAUUCUUUAUCGAUCAAUAUACUGUAUAAUAUCAUCAUUUAUCCUCCACAAGAUUUCUUAUCAUAUGAAUAGACACAUCACCAAAAUUUUAUCAUCCUUACAUAUGAGUGGCUACAAAUUACCACAAUCUCCGAUGAUGCUAAUGAUCAUUUAGUUUACCAAGAUAAUUAAGAUUCAUCAUAUGAUUGUCAUGGAUUACACAUAAUAUCAAUCCCUUUAUCUAUCACCUCGAAUAUCUAUAUGUGAACAACCUCUGGAACCAUCAAAACUUUCACUUCAAAUUAAUAAUCCGUUCAAUUCUCAAUAGAUUACAUACACCUCUGUAUAAACCCAACAACUUAUAAUAUUUUCAACCAUCAGAUCAUUGCAACUAUCAUAAUUACAUCCUAGUCAUUUCUGGAUCUAUUAAAAAUAAUUUUCUAUCACUUUUGGUUCCAUACCUUCGAGCUUGAGAACCUACCAUCACGAAAUGUGAUCAUACACAUUGAAUAUGCAUGACAUGCCAGUGCAUGUACUAUGAAGACUUUCAAAAUUUUAUAAACCAUGCUCUGAUACCACUUUGACACGACCCAUCCCGAAUCACCCUAGUGGACCCGAAACGUGACGUGUACCGAUGAUAGAUGCUGAUUAGAUGUCAAAUCUAUCACCAAGGCUGACUAUAAAUUACUACAAAAUAUACAACAAAAUCAAAUGUUUAUAAAAAUGUAGUGCAAUGGGCCCAAAAUUACAUCGUGUUUUAUCAAAUUGACUCAUCAAUAUGUCAUGUAGCUCUAACUCUGAAAUCACCUGGCUCCUUAAGCUAUCAAGGACCAAUAUUACCUGUAAGAAUAAUUUUAGGAAAAUAUGAGUUGACAGCUCAGUAAGUGGAAGAGUUCAAAAAUAAUUAUGCUUUCUCAUUUAAACAUUUUUAUCAAACAUCAAGUUCAUAUCAUUUAAUAUUUCACAUGAUAGCCUCACACGAAUAUAAACAAAAAGUGACAUUCUCAUAACUCUGUAAAUAUCAUCUCAUAUACACGAUAUCGUCAUCAACUGAUAUCUAUACAAUCGUCUCAUCACAUCACAUGUGAUCCACCAAAAAUGUACCAUCUGACUAAAAUUUGUAAUCCGUCCCUCGGACUAAGAACUUUCACCACGGGCCUUUGGUCCCUCCGUGAACGAAAGUCGGUCUCAAAAACCUCUGAUAAUCAAUUCUAGAACACGGUCAAAGCCCAUUCAGUGAACUAUAUGUACACAGUCACGACCCUUUCAUCCCCAGUCGACCCCUCAGUGUAAUAUAGAACACAGUCAAGGCCCACUCAGUGAACUAGAAGAAGUAUGUAAACAUGGGUACUUUUCUGGUCGAUCUCAAUAUCACAUAUCUCACAUUCCACAUCACAAAUAUUUUCACAUCUAAUCUUUGAGUUCCACAAAUAUCAUAAUGAAAGAAUAUUUUCAAAAUAUUCAUGUAAUCGAACACAUAAUUGCAAAUAAUUGCACGUACUUUGACAAUAUACUUAAUUUAUAAAUACUUUAAAAAUAUUUAUAUUUUUCCACUCACUGGACUAUGUAUCGAACAAAGAUUAAUUCCACCAACAAGCUUUCCCAGUCUCGCUAUCUCCUGAAAAAUGAAUUAUUUAUUCUAAUUAAUAACUAUUGAAUCCAAUUUCCUAACCCAUACAUGGAUAGGAAACCUCAAAAUCUCAACUAUUACUUCUUCAUUUCUUUCUUCGCAUUUUAGUCAAGUGGGCACACAUAUCCAUAUGCCAAUAUAUACACAAUUUCUCAUUUACCGAUUUAUUUACAGAAUAUCUUUUCCACAUUCAUUUCCCCACUACAUUGGCACAAUAACAUACUACCUUCCAACAUCUUGAAUUUACACUAUAAAUACCGUCCCUUUUUAUUUGUUCUAUAAUAUUAAAAUUACUAAAUAAAGAACUUACCACAUUUAGGCUAAAUUGAAUUCCAAUUAAAUACAAUUCAUCUCUUCUUCAUCAGUUUACUACUUCCCCACUGGCAUCAAGCUAUGCAAUUAGGUAUGUUCCCUUAAUACUUUCAGUCACUAGACAUAUACGUGUGCCAAACAAUUCAUUAGUUGACCCAAAGCCUCACUUGCCUUUUGGUUUCUUUAUUUAAAUUUCAAUUUUAACCCAAUUACUUGCUGAGUUUUUCAUCCACAAAGCUCCAACCUGAAAAUUUAUAAAUAUUUGAUUCACAUAACUUAAAAGCUUCAAAAAUUGUUUACCCAUACUAAACCAUCAAUAAAUUGAACUUCUUUAUCACUUAUUGGAGCCAAAUAAGAAAUUUAAGUUUGUAUAAAACUUACCCACUUGUGAUUGUUGAAGAAAUAAGGCUAUGAAAGAAAACCCCAUACUUGAAGAAGGGCAUCUCACCUCCAACACAUCGUUGGCCAGUAAUUAUUCUUUUUUUUUCUUGGUCUCUCUCUCUUUCUCGAUUAUUCCUACCCGUUUCCCAGCUUUCUCCUUCUCUGGUGUGUAUAUAUCAUAGAGUAAAUUUAACCAAUAAUCACUGAACUUUACACUUGAUUACUACUUGCUCACUUGUCUUUCACAUAUUACCGAAUGCUUACUCAUCUUUUCAUAUAAUUACUCAUUCACCACUCGUCUCUUCAAAUAAUUGGGCUACUUUUACGGCAAAAUUUCGACAACUUCCAACCACAAAGAAUGUCGAAUUUUGAUACCGUUGGAAAGCCCAUGAUGUCCUCUUCAAUUACCACCCAAAAUCUCAUUAUAACUCCAAGGGAUUCGAUCGAAAAAUUGCCUUAAAAGUCGCUCAAAAAUUCUGAAAAUCUGCCCAGAUUUUCAGAUUUUUUGGGCGACUUUUAAGGCAAUUUUUCGGCAACUUUCGACCAUCAAAACUAUCCAAUUUUGAUACCAUUGGAAAGCCCACAAUGUCCUCUUCAAUUACCACCCAAAAUUUCCCAAUAACUCCAAAGGAUUCGGUCGGAAUAAACCCACAAAGUCAGCAUCUUGAAAAGGCGAAAAUCUGGACAAAGUUCGGGAUGCUGACUUUGUGGGUUUAUUCCGACCGAAUCCUUUGGAGUUAUCGGGAAAUUUUGGGUGGUAAUUGAAGAGGACAUUGUGGGCUUUCCAAUGGUAUCAAAAUUAGAUAGUUUUGAUGGUCGAAAGUUGUCGAAAAAUUGCCUUAAAAGUCGCCCAAAAAAUCUGAAAAUCUGGGCAGAUUUUCAGAAUUUUUUGACGACUUUUAAGGCAAUUUUUCAAUCGAAUCUCUUGGAGUUAUAAUGAAAUUUUGGGUGGUAAUUGAAGAGGACAUCGUGGGCUUUCCAACAGUAUCAAAAUUCGACAUUCUUUGUGGUCGGAAGUUGUCGAAAAUUUGCCGUAAAAGUAGUCCAAUUAUUUGAAGAGACGAGUGGUAAAUGAGUAAUUAUAUGAAAAGAUGAGUGAGCAUUCAGUAAUAUGUGAAAGAUGAGUGAGCAAGUAGUAAUCAAGUGUAAAAUUCAGUGAUUAUUGGUUAAAUUUACUCAUAUAUCAUAUGAAAAUGGGAGAUUAGCUAGUAAGUUGCCACUUGUUCUCCACCAAUCCAUUUUUGCGAAGAAGGCCCGCUUCUUCAAUUAAAAUUGACAUUUAGUCAUCUAACUUCCAUUAAUAAAAAGUAAAUCCCGAAAAUUUAAUUUUAUCUAUCUUAAACCUUCAAGUGAUGUCAAUUUGUAAAAUAAACCUUCAAAAAUAAUUUGGUCAGUUCACGUCCCACUAAAAUGAUUUACUUCAAUUAAGUCCUUAUUUGACUUCGACUUUAACCAGUCAAACAUUUGACUUUGAAUAAAUAAUAUUGACCUUUGACUAGUAUGAAAUGGGGUGUAACAGUUUGAGUGUUCCAUGAAGUCAUGUCCCUACACAUAGCAAUCAAGUCAAACAUUAAAAAUCAAGAAAUCUAGAACAUUUGUUACUUAGCCCAAACAAUCAAAAUCCAACAACAAAUCCAAUGGCCUAACGGAAGUAUUAAGGAUGGUGAUACCCUACAAAUUAAAACGUGCCUAAAUCUAAUGCAACCUAGUAAUCAAAAAAAAUCUAUAUGCUAUGCGAUGCAGAAGGCAAAAUAAAUAAAAGAGUUAGAAGAUUGGGUUAUCUCCCAAUAAGCACUUAAUUUAUAGUCUUUAGCUAGACUGUACGGAUGAAUUGAUUACGGUGGCUUAAAUAGGUGUUUUGAGCUUUUGCACUCCUUACAAUUUCCAGCCUUGCAUCCUCGUUUUUUCGUCCAAACCUUGAACUCUCCAUUCUUCUCUCGUCCAACGCUCACUAGAUGUUUAGGCUCCAUCUUUCUCAAGCCUUGUUGCACCUUUGUAGCAAUAUACUUGCACUCUUUCUUAGACUUUUUGCUGAUCUCUUCAUGUAAUGUAUUCUCAAUAGUGUUGUAGAUCUUGAACUUCUUUUGCUUAUCUUCCACUCUCAAUGUCAGUUCGCCAAUUUCAAAGUCUAUGGCAGCUCGGCUUGUUGAUAGAAAGGAUCUGCCCCAAGAUAAGUAACGCUGCAUUCCAUGGCUCCUCUAUAUCUAGGACAACAAAAUCGAUGGGAAAUAUGAAGUUACCCACUUUAAUAAGUACAUUCUCAACCAUUCCUCGUGGGUAUUUAAUUGAUCUGUCUGCCAAUUGAAGGGAGAUAGAUAUGUCAUUUAGCUCUUCCAAUCCUAAUUUCCUGUAUAUAGGGAAAGACAUUAAGUUUAUACUUGCUCCUGAAUCACAUAAGCAAUUAAAAUCUAAAUCUUUUCCUAUUGAGCAAGGUAUUUUGAGACUCUCUGGAUCUUGUCGUUUAUGAGGUAAUUUGCUCUGCAAAAUGGCACUACACUCUUCAUUUAACUUGACGGUCUCAAAAUCUGUAAGCCUUCUCUUUUUGGAUAGGAUCUUCUUCAAAAACUUUGCACAGUUUGGUAUUUGAGAUAUAGUUUCAAUCAAUGGGACUUUGACAUGAAGCGUCUUGAAGAUGUCCAAGAACCUUGCAAAUUGAUCUUCCAAAUUCCUCUUUUGUAAUCUCUGUGAAAAUGGGACUGGAGGCACAUAAGGUUUGAUAGGAACGGUUACCUUGACCUGUAGAUUUUCUAGCUCUUGAGAUGGAACUACUUGGUCUAGUUGUUCAUAUUUAUCCACCUGCACCUCAUCUGUAAAAGUUGCCUGUUUAUUUUCUGUCACCCGUCUGUCAACUGUAAUUUCUGGAAGUUUAACCCUACUACGUGUAUUGAUUGCCUCAAUCUCCUCACUCUCCAUAACUUCUACUGCCAUUACCUGUUGUUUAGGAUUUGUUUCCAUGUUGCUUGGCAGUGUUCUUUGCUGUCUUUUUUAGAGUGCUUUUGCUAUUUGUCCCAUCCGAUUUUCUAAAUUCUUGAUAGCAGCUCCUUGAACUUGUAAAUCUUAUCUGUUCUUUGCAUGUGUUGAGUCGAGAUCUCCGCCAAUUUAGUAACAAGAUCUUAUAAUGAAGACUUAUUUUCGACCUGCUGAAAACCUAGUGGUGCAGUCUGCUGUGGCGCAAUCUGAGUUCCUUGAUUGUUGCUCAAUUGAAAACAUGGGUGAUUUCUCCAGCCUAGGUAGUAGGAGUUAGGAUUCUGAUUGUGUUGUUGUCGUUGAAAAUUUUGAGCAUAAUUUACAUCCUCUAGUGAUUGAGUAAAAGGACUACCCACGGUGCAAUCAACACUUUCAUUAUUUCCUCCACAGUGCUUAGAUUUUUGUCCGGCUGUUUGAAUGGUAUUCAUCUGAUCCACCAUUUUAGCUAAAGCUACCAGCUGCGCUAAGAUUGCUAUUAAUGGAUCCACCUCAUGUAUCCCAGUUACUUUCUUUACACUUGUUCUUUCAGUAAGCCACAGUGCACUAAUGAAUGCUCAAUCCUCCAUGAUUUGAUAUACUUGAUCCACUAUUCUCUUUGUGAUGGAACCAUCGCAUGCGAAGUUAACGUUAGCCCUGCUUAUUGGAUUUAGUCCAAUGUAGAAAUAUUGUACCUGGAGCCAUUUUUGCAAUCCAUGUUGUGGACACUGACAGAACAGCCCCUUGUACCUUUUCCAAGCUUCAUAAUAGUACUCCGAGUCAAGUUGAGUGAAUGUGGUGAUUUCGUCCCUCAACCUGGCAAUCCUUUUAGGUGAGAAAUAUUUAUUUAGGAACUUCUGACUCAAACUAUUCUAAAUGGUGAUGCUGUGUAGAGGAAAAGUAUCCCACCAAUCCCUAGCUGAAUCUCUCAAAGUGUAAGUAAAAAAGCCUCAGCCGAAUUGCUUCGCUUGAAACACCUAGAUAAUCGAUUGUUGCACACAUGUCCAAGAAUCUUGAGAUAUGCGCAUUGGGAUUUUCAGUAGGUUUCCCAAUAAAUUGCAAUGCAUUUUAGAACAUGUUGAUCACAUCUGUCCUCAAGUGAAAAUUUGGUUGACCAAAUGAUGUAUAUACUCUACUAGAUUGACUAUCCACGACCGAUGGAACCAUAUACUCUCCCAUCAACCUAACAUUUUCAUUGGUUGCAAUUUCAUUCGGUUGCGCUACACCCAAAUUAGCACCGAUGGGUAUUUGAUUCGGAUUUUAUUUUGCCAUGAGCUUUGCUUGCUGUUUUUGGUGUGCUUCUAAUUGUUCUCUUGUUCUCGACCUGAACGUUCGCUCGAUUUUCGAAUCAAAUUGAGCAAGAUCUCCGGUUCUCGAACCUUGCAUACAAAGUCCUGAAAAGGAAAAAUAGAAAACACUGUAGUAUUUUUCUAAAUUAAUUAACUAACUAAGAAAACUAAAUUAAAAUUAAAAUUAAAUUCAGAUUAAAGGUAAAUUAGUUAAAACUUAUAAAAAACUAUAGUCUCCGACAACGGCGCCAAAAAUUUGAUCGUUUGAUUAACCGCAAGUGAACGGGAUCGUGAGCAAGUAGUAUAGUAGUGUGUAGAGUGUCGAACCUACAAAGUCUGUGUUUGAUCAAGUUUACGCUAACACUACCCUUAAUCGAACAGCAGAAUUGAGUGGUAACUAAAAACUAUUAAAUAUAUCAACUAACUUAAAAGAAACGUAAAGAAAACUUAUCAAAUUCGCAAGAAAUAUUGCUAAGAUGUAGAAUCCCUCUCAUUAAUUCAUUUUUAGUUCGACAAUUUAAAUUGACAAUUUGAAAUCAUGCUUGUUGGUCAAUGUUCCUAUUUUAUUUGAAAACAUCUCUCAAUAGUUAUCAAAUAUAUUCCCCUCAUACCACAUUCCUAUCUCUCAAUGAAAGAUACGAAUUUGAUAAAUGCAUUAAACGAGUUAGAACAUCUUAUAACAAUCAUAUGAAGCAUAGAUUUAUAUCUCUAUUCUCUAUUGAACUUUACAAUAUUUAUUAUUUUGUGCUAAUGAUCUUAUCGUCUCUCUCGAUAACAACAAAAUUUACAAAUAAUUCAAUCAAUGGCCAAUUAAUUGAAAAGUAUGAAAAACGAUAACAAACAUCCAAACAUUCAAACAAAUUUAACGUCAAUUUAAUUAUUUAAACUAAAAGUUCAUAACAAGAGUUCAUCACUUCCUUGCAAUAAAGAAAUUAGCCACCCAUGAUGUUGAAAUUAAACAAAAAUAAGGAUCAAAGACUUCACCAAAAAUAGACGGAAUGUGAUUAAUAUCCAACUUCUUGCACAAUUUGUUAAUGAAUUAUCACACAAGGAAAUGUGACAUUAUUUCUUCUACUGCCGUCCAUGCGUGUGUGCCGUCUAUCUCCAGUAUACGUGCCUGUUUCCCACUUUUUAAUUUCCAACAGUCAUAUGUGAAUGUUUUAAUUCCAAAUUCAGCUGCCAAAUCCUCCAAAGCUGCCACCAAUUUGUGUUUAUAAGGUAUAUCAAAGAGCCCCUUUUUUCCCAGCAGCAAUGUUUAUUUUUUCUCCCUCUCUCUCUUUGUUUCCGUGUAUAAUCUCCCUCAAAAUUUUCUUCAAUAACUGUCGUGUGUAUUCCUUCCAAAAAUCCUAACCGGCUGCCCCUUUUUUCUUCCAAACUAUUACCGUUUUUCUGUGGUUUUUUCUCCCGGCCAACUCUUCUUUCUGCCGUCUAAUGUGUAUAUGUAUAUAUGUAGCAAAUAGGCAUUUUUCUUCUCUCCCACAGCCGCCGUUUUUUACUCCAAUUUUUGUGAUAUUUCAAUUGCUCCACACUCUUCUUUUCAGCCGGCUGUAGCGUAUAUAAUGGCCAAACAAUUAAUUGGGUUUCAUUCCAAUUCCACACUCCUAAUAUGAGGCCCAUCAAUAAAUUACUUUUUUCCAAGUCCUCAACUUUCAAAAAAUGCAAAUUAGUCCUUGAUACAAAUUUAUUUGUGCAACCAAUGCCCUCCUCAAGUUCAAACUUGUGGAAUUCAAUCCCAAAUCGUAGAUUUUACUCGAUUUUGCCCUUCUUCCUUUUCAAUCACUUCAAAUGGGUUCGUCGCUAAAAACACAAAGAAAACUAACAUAAGUUAAAUAGAAAUUAAAAAUUUGACAACUUAAAAGUUUAAUAGUGUGGCCUAAAUAGGUGUACAAAUUGCAUUUAUCAAAAUCCAACACAGAACCAAAAGAAUCAAGAAGAGAAGAUAAAAGCCCGAUUAGUUCAAUUUUUAAACCAAUAGAGGAAUCCUUAAAAUCAGGUCUAUGAAAACUCUCUACCUAAUCAAGUGUUAUAAGAGAAUUAUCUAAACAACUAUCAAAACUAACUGCAUCAUAUAAUGUUAAUGUAGUUAAAUCGAUUGAAGAACUAAAGAAAAUCAAUUUCUAGAAGAAAAAGUACCCCCUCAAAUUAAUAAAUUAAGAGGUCAAAAUUCAAAAAUGCCUAAUUUUUACCCAAGACCUUCCUUUCCUGAUAUGCAAUAUUAGGAAAGAAUGAAACCUCAUAUCUCUUAUAAUGGAGAUGAGAUAAUGGAAUGGAAUGAAAUAUUGACGAAAUGACUGAACAUCAGGUUAUUCAAGUCAUUGAAAAUAUUGUUAUGUGUUGUUCGGUUUAUCUCUGUUGAUUUAUUUCUAAAGAAACUGCCUUCAACAAUAUUUUACUUGCUUUCCAGGUCAAUUAAAAAGUUAGUGGACUAAUUACCUUAACAAUAAUGAACGUGAUGAAGUAUAUAAUGCUACUAAGCCCUUGUUUAAUCCCUGUUAUUUUCAAAAUAUAUUUUUGUUUCUCUUCUUUUCAACCAUAUAUUCUUCACUAAAAUAAUAUUAUACGCAAAUCCAACCUUUCAUUAUUUUUUGACUACAAAUUCUCUAUCAAUCUAUUAUUUCAAAAUGCAUUCUUACAAUAAAAUGGGGUUCAAAUAGGCUCUAAAUCAAAUGGACAAAAUGACAUCAAAUUAGCAUUUAUGUUUGCUGUUAUCGAGCAUUUUAUUGGAAGCCCUACUUCAUUAUAAGAAAGAUCAUCAGAAAUCUUAAAAGAAUUUAACAUGCUCAAAACUUCAUGAUUUUAGAUGGUAUAAAGAUAUCUUCCUCACUAAAGUUGUGCUUAGGAAAGAUUGUUCUCUUGUUGAUCCCAAAGGUGAUGUAAGAUUGAGAUUUAAUGGCAAUAAUGAAAUAUUCAAGAUCGCACCACGAAAACAAGAUUAAAGUAAAGUUAAAAAGAGAAACUAAGUAGAGGAACGAUGAAUUUUAUUAAAUCCGACAAUAUGGAGAGAAUAAUAAAGGACAACACUAAUGCUUCAUCUAAAACUGACAAAGGAGUCUCUAAUUUUAGGUCACAUCCAUAAACCUAAUGGAGUCCUAAAAGGUAAGAAAAUAUACUAAAAUUAGGUUAAAUCACAUAUAAAAAAAAUCUUGGAUGUAAUUUGAUUUCUUUUCAACUUCAAGCCAAACGUGAUCUUCCAAGAUUUCAACCCAAUUUUGAGGCAUUAAACCUAACAAUCUCCACCUUGACUCAAAAUUUCGAUACAACGAACGAAACUCCAAAAUUUCAAAUCCAUCUGUUUCGAAAUGAACUGACCAAUCUCCUCAACACAAUAACCAAAAUCUCCAUCACCAAACUAUCGUCAUCUGCACGAUGUCCACAAGCGACACCCGAACCCAAAUCCUGGGUUCCCAAAAUUCCAACAAGGAAUUACUGUUGACCAAACAGGUCGAAGCACACCCUGUAGCAGAAACAAUACCACAUGUUGGAUCAGAAGGCCCCUUGCUAGAACUGUCACCUUCAACAUCUCCUAAAGCAUUCCAGAUAUUAUUGACACCACUGUAUCUACGCUCCAUGAGUCUAAAUCUAGCAACUGAACACAGUGUAUCCGCUAAAAUUGGUGACAAAGCGGAAUCACCAAUACUCUCCCUAGAAGUGUUAUUAAUCAACUCAAAGGUCGCCACAAGAGGUAUUGUACCAAACUGAACUUCCGCCACGGUACUGAACUUGUCCAAAUAUCUCUUAACUGGUUCUGCACUUCCCUAUAAUAUGUCAAUUGGGAUCUCUUCCGUCCCUCCAGUACAACCCGGACAUCCCUUCGAACCUUCAAAACUCCACUUCCACCAGAGAAUUUAUAUCCUUUUGCAUCCAAGGUACUCAGCGAUAUGAGAUUCUUUGUCAAGUCCAAAACAUGACGAACCUGAUCAAAUGUCCUCACUGUCCCAUCUUGUAGCCUCAAUCUGAUCUGACCGAUUCCUGCAACCCGACAAGAUUGGUUGUUCCCUAUGACAACUCCACCUUACUACACCGUCUCAUAUGUCUGAAACAAAGCCCUAUUGGGACACAUAUGAUACGAACAUGCAAAAUUCACUCCCCAGGCUUGGAUUCCCCAUCAGAUACAGCCAAAAUUACAUCUCCAUCGUUCGAAAAAUUCUCAACAAUGUUAGUCUUAUUACCUGAUUGCCCCGCAUGAUUUGCAUGUAAAUCACAUUUACCCUGCAACUUGUUGUAAUCUUUCUUAAUGUAUCAUUUCCUCAUGCAGUAAUAACAAUACACAUUGAUGUACCUCACUAUUGAUCUACCCCUCCGUUGUUCACCAUGAGUAACCAGAGCGUCCUCACCCCUGGAUAUAGGAUUUUCAACCAACAGCUUCAUCUUCUCCUUUGAGAAUAGGGCAUCAUAUACCUCCUCAAUGGUCAGCAUGUCAAGACUAUACAAUAUAGUAUCACGAAACGACAAAAAAAAAAAAAAAAAAAAACCUGGGUAGCUAAUACAGAUCCUCUUCAUCAUAUUUUACCUCCAACAUCUUCAAAUCUACAACAAUCUCCUUAAACACGACAAAAUGGUCUUGUAAUGACUCUCCUUCUACCAUGCGAUGGGAAUACAGCUUCUAGUUUAGAGUGAGUUUCCUCAUCAGACUCUUUGUCAUGCACAACAGCUCCAGCUUAAGCCACAAAAUAGCCGUCGUCUUUUCCCUCAAGACAUCCUGCAGAAUAUUGUUGGAUAAGUGAAGAUGAAUCUGCACUAAAGCGUUUCGAUCCUCCAUUGUUUCUCCUCCAUACACAAUUUGUCGACAUCCUCUGAAAAUCCAGCAAAGCAUCGUCAAGAUCCAUCUGCAUCAACAUAGCCCUCACCUUUACUUGUUGCAGUGAAAACCUUGUAUUGCGAUCCAGCAUCGGAAUUUCAUAAUUCAACGAAUUCAUCCUUGAAAAAUCUCAACCAAAUCACGAAGAAUCUGUAACCCAUGCUUUGAUACCACUUGUUGAUCCCAAAGGCGAUGUAAGAUUGAGAUUUAAUGGCAAUAAUGAAAUAUUCAAGAUCGCACAAUGAAAACAAGAUUAAAGUAAAGUAGAAAAAGAGAAACUAAGCAGAGGAAAGAUGAAUUUUAUUAAACUCGACAAUAUGGAGAGAAUAAUACAGGACAACAAUAAUGCUUACUGGCAAAUGAGUCUCUAAUUUAUAGGUCACGUCCAUAAACUUAAUAGAGUCCUAAAAGAUAAGAAAAUACACUAGAAUUAGGUUAAAUCACGUAAAAAGAAAAUAUCUUGGAUGUAAUUUGAUUUCUUUCCAACUUCAAGCCAAACAUGAUCUUCCAAGAUUUCAACCCAAUUUUGAGGCAUUAAACCUAACAUCUCAAUCAUUUUAGAAAGAAAGAUUUAUUUCUGGACUUCUAAAACUUUUUGCCGAACGAGUAAGAAUUGCAAUAAAAAAAUACAAAUAAUGAUACGAUUCCAUAUGGUUCCCUAACUUAUGAUGAAAUUAUAAAUUACAUCAACUAAGAAAGGUUGUCAUUAUGCAAUGGCAUGAAACUCAAAUCAAACUCAAAAGUGAAAGAGCCGAAAGCUGACAAGUACUCGGAUCAUUUUGUGAGCAAUAUGGUUUCGAAAAAGUUUUAACUCCUUCUUCAAAACGUAAAAAACAAAAUAUAUCAUAUCCAAAACAUUUCAGAAAAUUGUUUUAUCAAAGAGAUGAAAAAUAUCAAAAGCCUUAAAAAAGAAAAUUUUAUAAAAGAAAAUGUCAAAAAUUUAACAAAAUUAUAACUUGUUGGAAAUGCUAACAAACAGGUCAUUAUUCUAACAAGUGUCCUAUGAAAGAAAAAAUAAACAACAUUCAAAUAGAUGAAAAGGUAAAGAAUGAACUUUUAAAUUUGAUUACUUCUAGUUGUGAAGAAAAUUUAGGAUCCGAUUAGGAACAAAUUUAUCAAAAUCAAGAAGAUUCACUUAUUGAAGAAAGCUUCAAUUCUUCAAGUUUUAGUAAUGACAAAGAUAUUUGCAGAUGCAAUGAUAGUAGUUGCUACUGCGAAAACAAAUCAAUUAAUGUCCUUACAGUCCUCAAUUAAAAAAGAAAUUCAACCAAUUAUUAACACCACAAGAACAACCAAGAGAACAAUUUAAUAUAUCUCAACUAAUGAUUAGAUUUAAACAAGAAUCCGCAUCCAAAUUUACAAGUUCUGAUUUGAGAUCAGAAAUCAAUGAAAUGAAAAAUCAAAUAUCAAAGCUUGAACAUCUGAUGAAAGACGUAAAAAUGGAAGUUAGUAUUCUAAAGACAACAUCUUUAGAAAAUAAUAAUCCAACAAGUAAAAUAAAAAUUGAAUCGGAAGAAUCUAUCUCAGAAGAAGAGGAGAAAAUUCAAUCAGAAGAAGAAAAAGUUAAUGCAAUCAAUAAAGUCCAACUUCAAAAAUGGCAUUGUAUAGUAAACAACAUAUUCAAGCUAAAAUCUCUAGUCCUUAUUAACUCUGGAGCUUAUCAAAACAGUAUUAGGUAAUGAUUCAUUGUUACAAAAUAUUUUUGAAAAGAUCACUAAGCGACUAUAUGGAGCUAGAGGAAAGAAAUUAUAUAUACGAUAUAAACUUUCAAAAGCUCAUAUUUGUACUUAAAACAUUUGUUUCAAAAACAUUUCUAUUUGGUAAAAGACUUGGAUCAAGAAGUGAUCCUUGGAACACCUUUUAUUGUACAAAUUUAUCAUUUUCAAGCAAAUGCAGAAGCACUAAAAACUACAAGUCCGGGUCAAGAAAUUAUCUUCAAAUUCACUAAUACUCCUUCACACAAAGAUGUGAAUGCUCUCAAACAAGCUUCAAUUUCAAAAAUAAUUAAUAUACUAAUUAUAAAAAAACAACAUAUCAAGUUUAUCAAAGAAGAGAUUAAAUGUAAAUUAAUUAAAGAACAAAUCCGAGAACAUAAAAAUCAAGAAAAAAAUAAAACAAAUUGAAUCAGAAAUAUGUUCUACUAUCCCAAAUGCAUUUUGGUAUAGAAAGAAAUAUAUCGUUUCUUUACCAUAUAUUUCUAAUUUUAAUGAAUCAAGAAUCGCCACAAAAUCAAGACCAAUUCAAAUGAAUAAAGAAUUACUUGAUUAUUGUGUCAGAGAAAAAUUUAAUUCAUCCCAGUAAAUCACCUUGGAGUUGUUCAGCAUUUUAUGUCAACAAUCAAAGUGAAGUAGAAAGGGGUGCUCCAAGAUUAGUUAUUAACUACAAGCCUUUAAACAAAAUUUUUCAAUGGGUUAGACAUUUUUUGUCUCCAUAGAAAAAUUUAUUAAAUAGACUUCUUAAAACACUAAUAAUUUUCAAAAUUUUGAUUUUAAAUCCAGUCUUUAGCAAAUCCAAAUUGCUGAACAUGAUAAAUACAAAACUGUACUCAAUGUUCUAUUUGGACAAUAUGAAUGGAAUGUAACGCUAUUUGGAUUAAAGAGUGCUCUUUCAGAAUUCCAAAAAAUCAUGAAUGAUAUUUUUAAUCCAUAUCAAAUCUUUUUCAAUUGUUUAUAUUGACGAUGUUCUAAUUUAGUCAGAUGGUUUAGAACAACAUUUUAGAUAUUUAAAUGUCUUAUUCAAUAUAAUAAAGUCAAAUGGAUUUGCAAUUUCUACUAAGACAAUAAUUUUUUGUCCAACUAAAAUUAUAUUUUUAGGAUGUGAAAUUUAUCAAGGAACUAUUAUUCCAAUCCAGAGAGGCGUAGAAUUUUCAAAUAAAUUCUAGGUGAUAUUUUGGACAAAACUAGUCUUCAACAAUUUUUAGGAUGUGUCAAUUAUGUGGCCGACUUUGUACAAAACAUUAUGCAAAUAUUUGAACCCCUUUAUCAUAGACAUAGAAAAAUCUCACAAGGUGGAGUCAAGAACAUACAAUAGUAGUCAAGACCAUUAAGGAAGCCGUAAAAACUCUAUGUCUCAGUAUUGUAAAUUCAAAUGCCCUCCUCACCGUAGAAACCAAUGCUUCUUAGACAUAGGAUAUGGAAGAAUUUUCAAACAAGAAACUCAUGAUCAAGAACAAUUACUUCAAUAGCAUUCAAGAAUAUGGAUUGGUGCUCAAAAGAACUAUUCUAUUGUCAAAAAUGAAAUUUUAUCAAUAGUACUAUAUAUUACCAAAUUUCAAGACGAUCUUACCAAUAAAUCAUUUCUUGCCAAAAGGGACUAUAAAGCUUUAAAAGAUUUUUUUGCAAAAAGGUGUGAUGAAACUUAUCUCAAAACAAAUCCUUGUAAGGUGGGAAGCUAUUUUUUCAUGUUUUGAUUUUGAAAUCCAAUUUUACAUGAAAAAUCUAAUGUUUUACCAGAUUUUUGUACAAUAGAAUCCUUGCAAGGUAAGUGUAAGUGUUAUGCCCUAAAUCCAAUCGAUUUAGGUUGUAAACACUUUUAAUAUGUUUAAUGCAUUUAAUUUUGGCAAGAUCUAUUAUUUAUUUAAAUUAAUUUUGUGAUAAAUAAAAUUAAAUAAUAGAAUCCGAAGAUCCAAAUUUAAGUGAUUUGUUAAUCACAAGGAGUUGUGAUUGUGAGAUACAAAUUACAUAUGAUUGGAUCUUGAAUAAAUCGUGGUCAUAAGUAAUGACGAGAUACGGAUAUCGUUAAUACAGUUAGACCAUCACGUGUGGCAUUUCUAACUUGUGAAGUAAGUAGCUGAUCUUACGAGCUAAAGUGUGGUGACACUUAAAUGAACACGUGGAUAUUUUGUUAUAGAACAAAAUAUUGGAGAUCCGCUAGGAGAUUCCACAUAAAUAACUAUCUAAUCAAUGGUUAAUCUCUAACGUUCGGUAGUGGAAUUGGUCCUAUGACUUGAGGUCAUCAUAGUGCCUUGUAUGAAGACAGUCAUACUUUGACGGUGUUGGAUGUUGCUUUGCUAAAUGCCGCUAAUACGACAUCGUUCGGAUAUGUUAAGAACCAUAUGAAGGUUGUGAAUGACCAACAGAGAAUUCGUCACUCUUAGAAAGUAAGAGAUUGUGAUCUGCAUUUCGUUCAAUUAAGUCAAUAACGAAAUCCUUGGCCAAGGUAUACAUAUAAGUCGAAAAGGAGUUUUCGACUCAUAUUGACUUAAUAGUAGAAUGAAAGAUAUAAUCGAUAAUCAGGAUUGAUACACUUCCAUAUCUCAUAGUUGAUUGGAUCAUAUUGAUGAAGGGAUUAUAAUUUCAUGGUAAACGAACAGUUUUGGUUUUGUCAUACCACGUGACAUUUCCCGUCACAUGUGUUGCCCUGAUACAUUGCUAGAUGUCAAUCUGGGAUGGCGAGUGUGAAUUUAUGAUAAAUUAAAAGGGUGUUUAAUUUAUCAGUUUUGAUUAGAUCAAAAUAAUAUUUCACGUCGUUAGGCAUCGUGGUCGAGAACCUAAUGGGUCGCACAUAAAAGAGAAUUGGAAGAUUGCAAACUGUCAAUUAAUUAAUUUGACAAUCUUUGGAUAAAUUAAUUAGUUGGAUUGGUUAUUUAUAUCCCCGAAUUAAUUAAUUGAAUUAAUUAAUUUACGGAGCGGAUUUAAUUAAAUAUUGGACCAGACCGAGCCGAACCCGUUUGGGUUUAUAUAAAUAUAUGGUUAGGGUUUAAGAUCCAUAAGGUUUUCAUCAUUCUUGCUGGCACAAGAGGAAAAAUCCUAGCAGUUGUAGUCUAUUUUCUAUGUGUAUUUCAUUGGAGGCUGGAUAAUUGGACAGCUGUGGGAGGUAGAUUCAAGUUAUUGAAAAAGAAUAACGCAAAGGAGUUUGCAAAAUCAAGAAAAAGGUAUAUUUCUCAUCACAGUUCUUAUCUAAAUACAAAGCUAAAUCCUGAAUGAGAAUUGAAAUUGUUUAAUUUCGCUAUGCAUGUUUAAGUAAAUUCCCAACAGUGGUAUCAAAGCCAACUUUGUAUUUGUUAGGAAUUGAUUUACAUAUUGAUUAAAUUAAAAGUUGAUUUAAUCAUGUUUAUCCAUGAAUCUAGCAAUUGUAGUUUUAAUUUUAUUUCUUCAGAAUCUGAUUUUGAAAAAUCAACAAAAAAAAUUUUUUUUUGGGUCGAACGUUGUGGCAACGGGGGGUAGCGCGGCCACCGCCGUGCUAUAGCGUGACAGGAGCGCGCUGCUGCGCCGGAGCAGAGGCAGCAAUGCUGCUACAACAGCAGCACUAAGGCGCUGCUGGCAGCUCCUUAGCGCUACUUGCAGGGCGGGGGACUACGGCCUGUCCCCUACCAGGUAUUGGACGGGGGCGAAGUCGUCAACAGUAGAAGAAAAAAAAAUUAAUUUCUAGGGUUUUGGUUACAGACGGGGGCCUCAGAUGCAAAUUAUGCAAUUACGGGCCCUUGGUUGCAAUUAUGAAAAUGGGGCAGUUUGCAAAAUUUUAAAAAAGGGACCUGUUCUGCAAUUUUUUAAUUUGGAAGGGUCUGAUUUUAAUUUUCAACUUGGGUCAAUUUUAAAUUUCAAAAUGGUUUUGAAUUUGAUUUUUGAAAUGGUUUUAAAAUUAAAUCUUAAAUGGGUUCGACCAAAUAUUUUAAUUUUGACCCAAAUUUAAAUUUUUUUUAAAAAUUAACGACUUUUAUAUUUUGUUAAAAUUAGAUUUUAACUUAAAUAUUUAAUUUUGACCCUUAAUUGAACUUUUAUUUUAUUUGGGAGUUUUGUCCUAAAUUAAAAUAUUAAUUCAAUUUUAUUAGAGUUGGACUCUAGUAUUAUAUUAAUUAAAAUUUGUUUUGAAUUAAUAUCACUUACCAAUAUAAAUUAAAAUUUAGAGUAUGACUCUAAUUUAAUAAUUAAUUAAAAUUUGAUUUUGAUUAAAUUACUUCGCCCAAUAGUUAUGGAAUUAGAGUUGGACUCUAAUUUGGGAUUUAGUUGAAAUUUGAUUUUAAUUAAAUAGGCCCGCCAAUUAAGUUAAUUAAUUAAUAUGAUUAUUAAUUAUUUAAUUAUUUCGAUCCAAAAUUUUAAAUUAGUUUUGAUGACUAUAAUUUGCUAGAUUUAUGAGAUAUUGCAUAUAAUAUUAGAUAUUAUACAUAGGAAACAUUUAUAUGAUGAAUGUUUAUGGAUGAUUAUAGAUUCGACCACAUGGAUGUGUUGAAUGGUUGAUUUACUUCUUGUUGUUUUAUGGGCCUGCGAGCCCUUAAUUGUUUUGGACCUGCGAGCCCAUUGUUAUUAUUGUUGUUAUGGGUCUGCGAGCUCUUUAUUAUAUUGGACCUGCGAGUCCGUUGUUAUUAUUAUUAUUAUGGACUUGCGAGUCCGAUUUCUUUUAGGCCUGCUGCCAACUAGUAUAGGAUACAUGUUACAGUUUGACUAAUUGAAGGCGCAAGAAGAGGUGGACACCAUGGAGAUGGUGCAUUGGUGUUGAUCCAAUGNNNNNNNNNNNNNNNNNNNNNNNNNNNNNNNNNNNNNNNNNNNNNNNNNNNNNNNNNNNNNNNNNNUAAAAUUUAUCUUUUGUUGAGUACACUCAAGGAGAUAAAUUUUAGAGACAUGUUAAGUUAACACAUUAGAUGUUUGAAGACAAAAGAGUUGUCAGUUUAAUGAUCUGGGAGUUGUAUGGAGAUACAAUUGAUAAUAAUAUCUACCCAAAUAUUUUUAUUAAGAUUUGUUAAGUACACUCAAGAUCUUGAUACAACGAAUAAGAUCCCAACCCAUUGGGAAUCAAAUGUGGAUUCAAAUAAUUUAUGUAUGAGGGUCAUGAAUUUAUUUUAAACAGUGGGAGCACUUUUAAUUAAAGUCCAUAUUGAAUUUGAGCAUAUGUAUUGUAAUACAUAUUAAUUCUAUAUUUUUCAUCAUUUACAGUUUUUGAAUCAUGAGUAAUCAUAUGAAUUUGAGAGGUAUACUGGAUACUAACAAACUGACCGGACCAAAUUUUCUCGAUUGGCACCGUAAUUUGAGAAUCAUUCUCUAACGUGAAAAAAUUGGGUAUGUCCUUGAGCAGCCCUUUCCAGUGGUGCCUAUUGAAAAUUUCACUCAGGAAGAUAUGGCUGCUUACAACAAAUACAGUGAUGACGAUAAUACUACAGCAUGUGUGAUGCUUGCAGCUAUGUCACCUGAGUUGCAGAAGCAACAUGAGUGUAUGGAUGCUUACACUAUGAUUUUUCAUCUCAAGGAAUUGUAUGAUGAACAAUCUCGUGUGAAGAGGUAUGAGACCUCUAAACAACUAUACUGGUGCAAAAUGGCAUAAGGAUCAUCAGUCAGUGUUUAUGUGCUGAAGAUGAUUGGUUUCAUUGAAAAACUGGGUUCAUUGGGUUUUAUCAUGAAUCACGAACUAAGUAUUGACUUGGUUCUGCAAUCUCUGCCAGAUAGUUAUUCACAGUUCAUUAUGAACUUCAAUAUAAAUAAGAUCAAAUGCACACUCCCUGAGUUGCUUAAUAUGCUUAAAACUGUAGAGCUCAAUAUCAAGGCUAGCACUGGGCAUGUCUCAACUAUUCAUUCUUCCAAGGGCACUAAGACGAAAAUCAAAGGAAGUUUUAAAAAAAUAUCUAAAAAGUCUAAGGGCAAUAACAAAGCAAUCAAAGCAGGCAAGGACAAUACCAAAUCUGAUGACCCAUGUUAUCACUGUGGAGUGAAAAGUCAUUGGAAGAGGAACUGCAAGGCUUACCUCGCUAGCUUGAAGGGAAAGAAGUCUUCUGAAGCUUCUACUUCAGGUAUUUUUGUUAUCGAGGUUAAUAUGUCUACUUCAUUAGCUUCUUGGGUAUUAGAUACCUGAUGUGGAUCUCAUAUUUGUAUAAAUAUGCAGGGACUAAAGAGAAGUAGACCACUGCAGAAAAGAGAAGUUGACUUGCGCGUGGAAAAUGGAGCAAGAGUUACUGCAUUAGCUAUAGAGACAUACUUCUUACCACUGCCUUCGGGCUUAGUAUUCGAAUUAGAAAUUUGCUAUUUUGUUCCCGCCAUUACUAAAAACAUUAUUUCUAUUUCAUGUUUGGACAUGAAUGGUUUUUCAAUUCAUAUUAAGAACAAUCGAUGUUCGUUUUAUAAAGAUGAGAUCUUUUAUGGUUGUGGUGUGUUGCAAAAUGGAAUUUUUGUUCUUGAUACUGAGUCAUCUAUUAUGAAUAUAGAAAAUAAAAGGCAUAAAAGUGAUAAUCUAAAUAAUACAUACCUCUGGCAUUGCAGGCUGGGUCAUAUUAACAACAAACGCAUUUCCAAGUUACAUAAAGAUGGAUACUUGGGGUCAACUGAUUUUGAAUCAUUUGACAAAUGCGAGUCGUGCCUGUUAGGCGACCAAGUUCCCUUUUACUGGAAAAGGAGAAAGAACCACAGAACUGCUGGGACUAAUACAUACUGAUGUAUGUAGACCCAUGUCAAUAAUUGCCAAAGGUGGUUUCUCUUACUUCAUCACAUUCACUGAUGAUCAUUCCAGAUAUGGUUAUGUGUAUCUAAUGAAAUUCGAGCAUGAAGCACUUGAAAAGUUCAAGGAAUUCAAACUUGAAGUAGAGAAACAAACUGGUAAAAAUAUUCUCACGCUGAGAUCAGAUCGAGGUGGAGAGUAUUUAAAGGGAGAAUUUUUAGAUUAUCUAAAAGAGAAUGGGAUUCUCUCUCGCAGUGGACUCCGCCAUAUACACCUCAACAUAAUGGUGUAUCUGAACGGAGGAAUCGCACUUUGUUAGACAUGGUGCGAUCUAUAAUGAGCCAUGCAAACAUCCCAAAAUCAUUUUGGGGUCAUGCACUAAUUGCUGCGUGCUACACACUCAAUCAUGUCUCAUCUAAAUCGAUCGACAAAACUCCAAAGGAGCUAUGGAGAGGAAAAAGACCAAACUUAUCUCACAUGAAAGUUUGAGGUUGUGACGCUUAUGUAAAACGAAAUGAAUUAGAUAAGCUUGAGGCUAAAUCUGAUAAAUGCGUAUUUGUGGGAUAUCCAAAAGAGAUAAUUGGAUAUUAGUUUUAUAAUCUCGUUGAGAAGGUGUUCAUCUCAAGACAUGUCAUAUUCCUAGAGAAAGACUUUAUUCUAGGAGAGGGUAGUGGGAGCAAACUAGAACUUGAAGAAGUUCAAGAAUCCACAGAUACUGUUGACCAAUUAGAUGAACCUGAGUCUGAUCCUACACCUGUUGACGGAUAGACUCUUGAUCAGGAUGUAGAGAAUCCUGAGGACACUCCAGCUCAGCGUAAAUCAAGUAGGAUCAUUCGACCUCCCAGAAGGUACAAAUUCACGAUUACUAAUCAAGUUUUAUUAGUCGAGGAUGAUGAACCUACAAAUUACACAGAAGCGAAGUCAAGUGUUGACUCGAAGAGAUGGCAAGAAGCCAUGGAAUCCGAAAUGAAUUCAAUAUAUGAGAACAAGGUUUGGACCUUGGUCGACUUUCCAGGUGGUAUAAAACCGAUAGGUUGUAAAUGGGUUUACAAGAAAAAGGUCGAUGUGGAUGGAAACGUUCAUACAUACAAAGUAAGGCUAGUAGUGAAGCGUUACACACAAAGAUAAGACAUUGACUUUGAUGAAACCUUUUCACUUGUAGCCAUGCUAAAGUCCAUUCGGAUUUUACUUGCAAUAACUGCAUACCAUGAUUAUGAGGUAUGGCAAAUGGAUGUCAAAACUGCUUUCCUUAAUGGAAACUUACAAGAGGAGGUGUACAUGACACAGCCUAAAGGUUUUGAAUCCAAAGGAGCCAACAAAGUAUGUAAACUAAAUCGAUCCAUUUAUGGAUUAAAGCAAACCUCUAGGAGCCGGAAUCUUCAUUUUGAUGAGACAAUUAAGAGGUUUGAUUUUAUCAAAAAUGAAGAAGAACCGUGUGUUUACAAGAAGACAAGUGGGAGCGUGGUCGUAUUCCUAAUAUUAUAUGUGGAUGACAUAUUAUUAAUAGGAAACGACAUCCCAAUACUUCAAUCGGUAAAAUUAUGGUUGUCAAAAAAUUUCUCCAUGAAAGAUAUGGGAGAGGCAGCAUAUAUCUUGGGAAUCAAGAUCUAUAGAGAUAGAUCUAAAAGAUUACUAGGCUUAUCCCAAUCUUCGUACAUAGAUAAAAUCUUGAGAAGAUUUAAUAUGGAAGAGUCUAAAAGAGGUUUAUGUCCCAUGUCACAUGGGAUUUACCUCUCAAAAUAUAUGUAUCCUAAAACAUAUGAUGAAAGGAGUCGCAUGGAUAAGAUUUCUUAUGCUUUGGCGAUAGGAUCUAUCAUGUAUGCGAUGCUAUGUACGAGACCAAAUGUUUCAUAUGCUCUAAGUGUUACGAGCAGGUUUCAAGCAAACCCUGGUAAGAAACACUGGAUAGCGGUUAAGAACAUUCUUAAGUACUUGAGAAGGACUAAAGAUGUGUUCUUGAUCUAUGGAGGAAAUAAACUGAAGAUUCAUGGGUAUACUGAUGCCAGCUUUCAAACUGACAAAGAUGAUAGCAAGUCUCAAUCAAGAUAUAUGUUUACUCUCAACAAUUGAAUGGUUAGUUGGAAAAGUUCCAAAUAGGAGACAACCGCUGAUUCAACAACAGAAGCCGAGUACAUUGCUGAUUCUGAAACAGCGGAGGAAGCUGUUUGGAUCAAGAAGUUCAUUAAUGAACUUGGAGUAGUUCCUAGCAUUGUUAAUCCCAUACCUUUAUAUUGUGAUAACAAUGGAGCCAUCGCACAAGCGAAGGAACCGAGGUCUCAUCAACGAUCCAAACAUGUGCUAAGGCGAUAUCAUCUCAUCAGGGAGAUUAUACAAUGAAAUGAUGUAAUGAUAGAGCGAGUUCCUACAGAUGACAAUAUUGCUGAUCCAUUGACAAAGCCGUUGUCACAACAGAAACAUGAUCGUCAUGUGGACGCUUAUGGUAUUAGAUACAUGAGUGAUUGGAUCUAGUGCAAGUGGGAGUUUGUAAGUGUUAUUCCCUAGAUCCAAUUGAUUUAGGUUAUAAACACUUUUAAUAUGUUUAAUGCAUUUAAUUUUGGCAAGAUCUAUUAUUUAUUUAAAUCAAUUUUAUGAUAAAUAAAAUUAAAUAAUAGAAUUUGAAGAUCCAAGUUUAAGUGAUUUGUUAAUUACAAGGAGUUGUGAUUGUGAGAUACAAAUUAUACAUGAUUGGAUCUUGAAUAAACCUUGGUCGUAAGUAAUGACGAGAUACGGAUAUCGUUAAUACAGUUAGACAAUCACGUGUGGCAUUUGUUACUUGUGCAGUAAGUAGUUGAUCUCACGAGCUAAAGUGUGGUGACACUUAAAUGAACACUGAAUAUUUUCUUAUAGAACAAAACAUUGGAGACCCGCUAAGAGAUUCCACAUGGAUAACUAUCUGAGUGUCAGUGUUUAAUCUCUAACGUUCAGUAGUGGAACUGGUCCUAUAACUUGAGGUCAUCAUAGUGCCUUGUAUGAAGACAGUCAUACUUUGACGAUGUUGGAUGUUGCUCUGCUAAGGGCCGCUAAUACAACAUUGUUCAGGUAUGUCAAGAAUCAUAUGAAGGUUGCGAAUGACCAAUAGAGGAUUCGUCACUCCUAGAUAGUAAGAGAUUGUGAUCUGCAUUUCGUUCAAUUAAGUCACCAAGGUAUACAUAUAAGUCGAAAAGGAGUUUUCGACUCAUAUUGACUUAAUAGUAGAAUGAAAAAUAUGAUCGAUAAUCGAGAUUAACAGACUUCCAUUUCUCGUAGUUGAUCGGAUCAUAUUGAUGAAGGGAUUAUAAUUUCAUGGUAAACGAACAGUUUUGGUUUUGUCAUACCACGUGACAUUUUUCGUCACAUGUGUUGCCCUGAUACAUUGCUAGAUGUCAAUCUGGGACGACGAGUAUGAAUUUGUGAUAAAUUAAAAGGGUGUUUAAUUUAUCAGUUUUGAUUAGAUUAAAAUAAUAUUUCACGUAGUUGGGCAUCGUGGUCAGAAAUCUAAUGGGUCGCACACAAAAGAGAAUUGGAAGAUUGCAAAUUGUCAAUUAAUUAAUUUGACAAUCGUUGGAUAAAUUAAUUAAUUGAAUUGGUUAUUUAUAUCCCCGAAUUAAUUAAUUGGAUUAAUUAAUUCACGGACCGAAUUUAAUUAAAUUGAUUAAUUAAAUAUUGGACCAAAUCGGGCCGAGCCCGUUUGGGUUUAUAUAAAUACAUGGCUAGAAUUUAAGAUCCAUAAGGUUUUCAUUAUUCUUGCUGGUACAAGAGGAAAAACCCUAACAGUUACAGUCUAUUCUCUGCGUGGAUUUCAUUGGAGGCUGAACAAUUGGACAGCUGUGGGAGGCAAAUUCAAGUUGUUGGAAAAGAUUAACGCAAAGGAGUUUGCAAAAUCAAGAAAAAUGUAUAUUUCUCAUCACAGUUUUUAUCUAAAUACAAAGCUGAAUCCUGAAUGGGAAUUGAAAUUGUUUAAUUCCGCUGUGCAUGUUUAAGUAAAUUCCCAACAGUAAGAAAUAAAACUCUAUAAAUGGAGAGAGAGCCCGAGAAAAAAAGAAAGGAAAAAAAAAAUUAAGUGCUAAAGGAAAGAGUAAGAAAACUUUUGAUCAAGUUUUGUUACAAAGUGCCAACUCAAGAACAGCUUCAAUGUUUUCGCAAAAACAACUCAAGCAUCUAUACAUUCAAAUUCUCAAGCCUUAUCAAAUUUCCAAUACUUUCCAAGUCUUAGGAAGUUCUCCAAGACAAAAGAUUUCCUAGCUCAAUUUGGACUCUCUUUCAAGCCAGUAAAAUCAUUUGAUAUAUUUCCUCCAAAACCCUCUCAAAUUUCUCAAACAUCAAAAUAAACCAAUUUCAAAAGAGCAGUUUAAACAUGAUCUGAAAAAUUGCUUGUCAUAAUCAGCCUAAAAAAACCCAAAAUUUUCAAUAUUAUACAAAACCAAGAUUUUUACCAAUGAUAGAAAUGGAAGGAACAAGUUUAUUCUCAAAUAUACAAAUUCAGUCAAAAUUACUCAUAACCCAAGCCCUUAAGAAAUAAAUUUUCUAAAAUCAAGAUUAUUUAAGUUUUAACUUAUGAAGAGUCGAGACAGCAUCCAUGGUAAAAUAAGAAGGUUGAUAUUCAAGAAAUGUUUCACCUUCAAGGUUCAAUUAUUUUGAUCAUAUAAUGGCAUGGUACUAAGUGUUUUAUAUUAGAACAGUUUCCCACUCCUAGUUUAUUAUGUUCGAUCAUAAAUGCCGAAGUUCUUUUCAAAAUUGGUGUCAAGAUUGGUUCAUAUUCAUUGGACUUGAAGAAGAGAUACUUACCAAUCUCUUUUCUCAAGGUUUCAAAUAUUUCAAAGAAAACAGAACAAAAUUUUGCCAAAUUCAAGAAUAGCUCCUUUCCAAUUUUCAAUAACUUUUAAAUUAUCAUGGACAUUCUGCUGGGAUUUUCAAAUUGCAAAAGAAGCUGCUUCUGACUAUGCUCCAAAGAAAAUAGUUAAACGUCUCAAGAUCAAGUGGUAGGAAAGUUCUCAAAAACUGAUGUCUGCUCGAAAGCAGUUCAAACAUUGCUUGAUGGUUACGAAUAUUGACAAAAAGAGAUAAACAAGUUUUCUCCAAAGUCAAGAAAAGCAAGCUAAUUUUUUAACAGAAAAAGGAAGCUUAAGUCAAUGUUAGUUCAAUGCAAAAAUAUAAAGGAAUUCACUUAUGUAGCACAACAAUUAGCUGUUUUAGCAUAUUCGGCCUCAAAUGCCACUAAAGCCUCCAAAGCCUGCAAAUUAAGCUCAAGGUCACAAACUAAAGACUAUGCCCAAGACAAUGGAGAAGAUGAUUUUGUUGAUGAUCAAUAAUUCAAAAAUAUCAAAAAACAAUGGAGUAAGAAAUAAUUGUCCUUCAAACUUUACAGCAAGUGGAGAAGACAGCUGUACUUUUAAGUACUUUAAAAGUAGCUUAUUCAAAAAGGCAAGUGACAGAUGUAAUUGUCCUUCAUCCUUCAAAAUCAAAUUGCCAACAACUCUUUUGAAAAGAAGAUGGUCAACCAUCCUUUCAAGAUUCCUUCAAAAAAUUAAUAAAAUUUUCAAGUCCUGAACACCCGAAGACCUCUGUAAGAGGAGAGAAACUCUUCAAGAAGAAAAUCAGAGUGUAAUUUUUAAAAUUUUUCUCUAUGUUGUGUCAUCAGUUCAACAUUUUAGAUUUUCGAUUACUAUUCUUGAUCUUUAUUUAAAGAAUAUUUCAAGAAAAAUUGUAACCGUUCAAGUUGUUACUAUUCAAAAGUCAAAAUUAUUGUUCACUAUUCAGCAAUAUAUGUAAAUUACAUAUGAAAUAAUACUAUAAUAUAUUAAAGGUUGCAUUAAUGAUAGAUAAAUUAUAAGUUAAUUUUAUGUAGCCUCCUUUUAAGUCUAGGGUUCAUUAAUUAAAAUAUAAAAUAAUAUUUAUUACGAUUUUAAUAUAAUUACUCCAAUAUAAAACAAUGACCAUUAUCCUUAAAUGGAUAUUAAAUGAAGAUAAAUUAUAUUAAAUGGUACUAUAUAUAAGAGUAGAAUUGACAUAUAGUUUAAUAUAUAAUGGUAAAAUUGGUAUUCAAAAGUCCUUGUCUAUUCUCACUUUUAAUUUCUAACACGACCUUUUAAGCAGAAACCUCAAAUUAGAAAUCCAUCCAUGGUGGAGCCGUAGUUGCUAACUAGGUAAUAAUAUCAUGAAUUUUCUGAUGGAUGAAUAUCCAAUUAAAAUACACGACAUAAUAUUAACAUUGGCUUACUUAGUUCGAUUGAUUUCAAGGAGAUCAAUAGUCUAAAGGAUAUAUGAAUAAGCAUUUCUUCUUUAAAUAUCAUAGAAUUUCUUCAAAUACAGUUUCAUCUGUUGGUUUUGAUUAUGUGCAAGGAUUGAAAAUGAGGAAAACAAGUGGAUCCUCUGUUAGAAUGCUCAAGGCUCAUGUUAGUGCUUCCUCAUGAUGUGUUCCAAACUAUGGUUUAUAAAUAUUAUAUAAACUCUAAACUAUCAAAAAGGUUGCCACAAAGGUUAUGAGUAAUGGUACUUAUCGUCAUGACGUUAAAUCACUGAUGAUGUGACAACUCAUUAUCCCUCACAUUUCUAUUUCUCUCCUCCCCCUCUCUCUCUCAUAUAAAUUGAACUAUUCAAUCUCAUUAUUACACAUAGACUAUCACAUCAUCAUGAUGAUAAACAACAUUAUUUAAAUGUUAUAGUAAGACGUUUGCUAUUAGCUAAUACUUUUUAAGUUUUUUUAUGUUUGUUUAUGUUGAUUGUAAGUUAAAAUGAGCUAAGAUUUAAGGAUGUAUUGAAAAUCCAAGUAUGGGAAAUAAUUGUCUAACUUCCAUUUACAAAGUAAUGUAAGUACAAGUAGGUCUUCACAUGGUAUAAAACAAUUCUUUACAAGGUCUUAAGUAGUGCUCGAAAAGGUUUUCAAUGUCGAAUGCUAACUUAAAUAGAACAAAACGGAAAACUCAUGUCUUGAGUGAGUUUGUUAUUUGUGCAUAGAGUCAUUUAGUGAGCUCGAUUAUCAUGGUUUUGGGCAAUCACUUGGGUUGGAACAAAUUAUCAUGAUUAUACUUAUUCGACAUUACUAGAAAAAGUUUAGUGAAUAUUGAAAUAUAAUCCCAUAUUAUGGAGAUGAUAUUUUACUCUCUACAAGAAAAUAAUGUUAUUCAUUAUAAGCAAUAAUUAUUAUCGGUUUAGGUAGUUAUACACCUCUAGAUUUAUUGUAUUCAUGAUCACAACUAAUGGUGAAAUAUAGUAAUUCCUAGAAGGCAAAAAUAGAGUUCAGCUUAGUAUCAAAACAAAGCAAACAUAAGAUAGAAGUUAUUUGAUGUUUUAUUUAAUAGUGCACACAAUACCUAGUAACAAGAUGAGAAUGUGAAAGAGAAAAAAACAAGAGAUCAUCUCUUAUUACGCUCACAAUGUUGGAAUAAUUCCAUAUGUGGGCUUCACAUUCGAUUGCAAAUUUUACAGGUUAGAUGUAUGGCUCAUAAUGAUAUUGUGUUUGGGCCAAAUUUAUUAAGUGAUCAAUUGGGUCUUUUACACCUUACGAGUUGUAAUUAAUUUGAUGUGGUAAUUUUAAGUAUGUGAGCCGGAAAUAAAUCCUAAUUAAAAUUCUAGUCGUAAUGGGACGGCUCAAAUUAUUUCCUAUAUAUAAAGGCUAGUUCAUCUCUCCUCUUCAUAUGUUUUAUUGACUUGCCCCAUUGAUAACUGAUAUUUUGUGAGGAGCAAGGAGUAGAAUAUCUUGACUGCUAUUACAAAUAUCAUUCAUAUCAACAAUGGCUUCCGCAUGUAUGAAUUAGUAUUUAUAAAUUUAUUGGAAUGUGAUUAUCAAUUCUUAACAUGGUUAAAACUAAAUUAAACAAUUGGUAUCAGAGCAGCAUAUUAAGAUCGAAAUCCUUAAUGAUUUUUUUUCUUAUCUCACGUUGAAAAACGUCUUCUGUGCAUACAUUAAAAUUAUAUGUAUAAUGUAUAGUUCAUUGUAUAACACGUACGUAGAUUUACGGUUACCAAUGUGUCAUUGGAUUAAUUCCUAUUUCCUUCACGUGGUUGAGUAACCCACAAGCAGGAACAAUAAAUGCUUAUAGUGUCCCUCUCUCUCCUCCUUUUAUAUAAAUGUGUGUGUGUGUGUGUAUAUAUAUAUAUANNNNNNNNNNNNNNNNNNNNNNNNNNNNNNNNNNNNNNNNNNNNNNNNNNNNNNNNNNNNNNNNNNNNNNNNNNNNNNNNNNNNNNNNNNNNNNNNNNNNNNNNNNNNNNNNNNNNNNNNNNNNNNNNNNNNNNNNNNNNNNNNNNNNNNNNNNNNNNNNNNNNNNNNNNNNNNNNNNNNNNNNNNNNAUUUAUAGACAUACAUAUAUAUAUGUAUAUACACAUAUAUAUGUAUAUAUACACACGUAUAUAUAUGUGUGUCUAUUUAUAACCAUGCUAAUUUGAAUCUUCAAUUGAAUUUGUGUGUGAGUUUUUGUCUAUGAUGAUUAUCAAGAAUACAAAAAAAUGAAUAAAAAAUAAAUAAAUAUUUGGUUGAUCAGCGGCAGCAUGUUGCUGCCGCACGGGUUGCAUCGCCAGCAGGAAAGGUAGAUGGGGGCUUCUGUCGUAAAUAAGUAAUCGUCAAACCCCUGUUUACAAUUAUAAAUUGGGGGUUAGGUUUUGUAAAUAAUAAAAUGAGGGCCUAUCAUGUAAUUUAUAUAGUUGAAGGACCUGUUAAGCAAUUUUGGGUACUGGGGACCUGAUUUUAGUUUGAAUUUAGGGUUAAAAUGUAAUUUUCAAUAAGGGGCUCUUAAUUUGAACAUUUAAAGUUUUGACCCUAAAUUUUAAUUUUGACCCAGUUAAAAAUUUUAUUCAGUAAUUGACUCAAUUGAAAUUUAUUAAAUAGUACUAAUAAUUUAAUUGACAACUUUUGUAUUAUUUCAUGCAUUUAAAUGUUGACAUUAUUUGCGCGCUUAAAUUUCAAUUUUUAUAUGCUGACAUAUUGAAAUUUGUUGCCCUGUUUUGUCUUCAAAUCACAUAUAAAUUUUGCCGUUUAUCGAUUAAUGAUUAUGAUUUGUUACAUAAUUAUUGUUUUGUGAUUGUAUUUUUCAUGGACAUUGAGAUGAUUCUUAUUUUCCCAUUGAGAGGGAAAUAUUUUGAAAUAAAAAUGGGCGGUAGCGACAAAAAUGGCACACUCAUUAUUAUUUAUUGGAUUUUCUCUGCAAUAAAUAAAUAUAUAUUUUUGCGCACCAAUUUUGAUUUAUUGCAUAUAAUAUCUUGCCCAAAGGUGUUAUUAAAUGUAAUAUUUUUUGGAAAUGGUAUAAGGCGGUUAACGAAUUUACCUUGGUCUAGAAAUUUCCUUCUGCCCAAAAGUGUUGGUGUUUCAAAAAUCAGUGUAAUUUUGUUAAUUGGCUACAUGAUGUGUUUUAAGAGUACCUUAUAGCAUGUUGUAUUGUCGCCCCAAAGGUGACUUUAUAAUGAUGCAUCUAGGCUCUUACCGUAAUAAAAUUCAUAUGUUUCGAUUUAAAUUACGGAUUAUCUAAUUAAUAGCCCAUAUUAGUUAGUUGGAUAUUACAUCAUCCAUUUGAUUGCAUGCAUUACAUUUGGAUGAUAUUAAGAGUAAUAUUUUAUGUUUCCACAGUUUAUAAUGAUUCAUCUCUUUCGAAUCAAUUGUCUGCUAUUGAAACCUUGAGUGGGAAUAACUAUGUGAUAUGGAAACGAGACGUAGAAAUAAUACUUGGUCUUUUAGGCUUGGAUUUUACAAUGGAGAAAAAGCUUGAGAAACCCACAGAUAUGAAUACUGUUGAAUCUGUAGCCGAGCAUGAAAAGUGGGAAAGGGCUAACAAACAAACUUUGCUCGAAAAUCAUUUAGCGAUCAAUAUCUGAUUCCAUUCUAGGUGCCAUCCCCCGAUAAUGAAAAUGCCAAAAGUUUUAUGGAUGCCAUAGGAGAAAAAUUUAUUGAGUCUGAUAAAGCCCAAACUGGAGAUCUGAUGGAUAAACUAAUGAACAUGAAAUAUGAUGGUACAAGUGGUGUUAGAGAGCAUGUCAUGAAAAUGAUAAAUAUAUCAUCGAACCUAAAAGCUCUUGACAUUCCCAUUGUGGAGCCUUUCCUAGUUUAUCAUGUUUUGAAUAGCCUUCCUAGCAAGUUUAAUCGGCUUUAGGUUGCUUACAAUGCUUAGCGGGAUAAAUGAAAUUUGAAUGAUCUCAUAACAGUGUGUGCCCAAGAAGAGUAUAGGAUGUACCAUGAAACUGUUGAAACUGUGCAAUUAGCCUUUCAGCCAUUGCAGAAUAAGGAGCCUUCUCAUAACCAUAAAUCUAAGUUUCGUAAGGGUAAUAAGUCCCAUCAAAGUGAACAGAAUAAAAAUUUUAGUGGUCCCAAAGGAGUAUAAAGAAAAAUGAUUAAUGCAAGUUUUGUAAAAAGAAUGGUCACUGGCAGAAAGACUGUUUUAAGUUCAAGACUUGGUUAGAAAAGAAGAAGAGUUCUCGAGGUAUUCCCUUGGCCUUAGUUUGUUUUGAGUCUUCUUUAGUAGAUGUGCUUUUGAAUUCUUGGUGGUUAGAAUCGGGAGCUAGUAUUCAUAUUGUGAAUCCCUUGCAGGGAUUCACAAGCAAAUGGAGGCCAAGUGAGAAUGAAGUAAGCUUGAGCGUUGCAAAUGGAGUUCAAGUGAAGGUUGAAUUCAUAGGAGCAGUGAAGUUGACUUUAGAGUCUGGUUUUUAUCUUGUUUUGGAAAAUACAGUUUAUGUACUGCAGAUGAGACGAAAUUUAAUUUCUAUACCGAAACUUGAUGCUUGUGGUUUUAUAUUUAAUUUUGGUAAUGGAAUGGUUAAGUUAUUUAAUGAUUCUCGUUUGAUUAGGAAUGACAUUUUAUGUGAUGGUUUAUAUAAAUUAUCUUUGACUCAUUUUGGUGAUGUCUCGUGUGUUACAAAUGUAUCAAAGAAAAGGACUUUAAUUCGUGAAUCAUCCUCUAUGUUGUGGCAUAAGCGUUUGGAUCAUAUUUCUAAGGAUAAAAUGGAAAGAUUAGUAAAAGAUGAGAUACUUCCCUCUUUAGACUUCUCUAAUUUUGAAACAUGUGUGGAUUGUAUAAGAGGAAAGCUAACUAAAUCUACAAACAAGGGUUCGACUAGGAGUAAUGAAAUUUUGGACUUAAUUCACAUUGAUAUCAGUGAACCUUUGCCUUCCACCAUAUGUGGGAACAAAUAUUUUAUAACCUUUAUUGAUGAUUUCUCACGACAUGGAUUUGUUUACUUGAUUAACGAUAAAUCACAGGCACUUGAGAAAUUCAAAGUUUUCAAACUAGAAGUAGAGAAACAAUAUGGAAAAAGUAUCAAAGAUGUAAGGUCUGACUGUGGUAGUGAGUACUAUGGGAAAUAUAACGAGUCUGGUCAAAAUAUGGGUGAUUUUGCAAAGUUUUUACAAAAGUGUGGAAUAGUGCCCCAAUAUACCAUGACAGGGACACCUGAGCAGAAUGGUGUUUCUGAAAGACGUAAUCGAACCCUAAAAUAUAUGGUUAGAAGUAUGAUGAGUAGAACAAAUUUGCUUGAAUAUUCGUAGGGUGAAGCUUUGAAAACUACUAUGUAUAUUUUGAACAGAGUUCCAAAAAAAGUUGUUGCAAAGACACCUUUUGAAUUAUGGACAGGACGUAAGCUAAGUUUGACUCACUUUAAAGUUUGGAGAUGUCCAGCUGAGGUUAGGAUUUAUAAUCCAUUUGAAAAGAAAUUAGACCCUAAAUUAACUCCUGGCUACUUUAUUGGGUAUCCGGAUAGAUCAAAGGGAUAUAAGUUUUACUGUCCAAAUCGCGGCACUAGAAUUGUGGAGUCCAUUACUGCUAAGUUUCUGGAGAAUGAUUUUGGAGAUAAUGGGAGUUCCACGUUGAGAGAAAUUCUUGUUGAACCUAAUCAAGUUCUUGUUCCAGUUCCUAUUAUAUAUGAAAGAGUUGGUUCUCAACUAAUUGAAGUUGUUAAUGAGAAACAGAGGAACCAGGAGGAACCUCCAAUUCCUCAAACAAUGAUUGAAUUGUUUUCUGAGCCACAAGUUAGGAGGUCACAAAGGAAAAGAAAAUCUGCAUUGCCCAGUGAUUAUAUUACAUAUUUAUUGGAGAGCGAUUUUAAUAUUGGGCAUAUUGUUGAUCCUGUAACUUAUAACCAAGCAUUGACAAAUCUUGAGGCAGAUAAAUAGAUAGCUGCCAUGAAAGAUGAAAUGAAUUCCAUGGAAAAGGAAUAAAGUUUGGGAUCUUGUUGAACUUCCUCCAGAUACUAAGGCUAUAGAUAACGAGUGGAUUUUCAAAAGUAAAUUAGAUUCAAAAGGAAAUGUUGAAUGAAAGAAAGCAAGAUUGGUUGCAAAAUGUUUCACUCAGCGAGAGAGCAUUUAUUAUGUUGAAACAUUCUCCCCUGUUUCGUCGAAAGAUUCUUUUCGAAUUAUCAUGGCUCUUAUAGCACACUACAAUUUGGAGUUUUAUCAAAUGGAUGUUAAGACAAUAUUUUUGAAUGGAGAUCUUUCUGAAAUGGUUUAUAUAAAACAACCUAAAGGAUUUGUUGUUAAAGGAAAAGAAAACUAUCUUAAAACCAGUGGAAGAAAUUUUAUUUUCCUUAUAAUAUAUGUUGAUAACAUUUUGCUUGCUAGCAGUAACUUAGGGCUGCUUCAUGAGACAAAGAAAAUGUUGUCUGCUAAUUUUGAGAUGAAAGAUCUUGGAGAAGCUUCCUAUGUACUUGGCAUUGAAAUACAUCGUGAUAGAAAUCAUGGCUUAUUGGGACUUUCUCAGAAAGAUUAUAUACGACGUGUUCUAGAAAUGUUUAAUAUGCAAAAAUGUGCACCUGGUGAUGUACCUAUCAUAAAAGGAGAUAAGUUUAACAAAACUCAAUGUCCAAGGAAUGAGCUAGAAAGGGAGUCUAUGAAGAUGAUUCCAUAUGCUAGUGUUGUGGGGAGCUUGAUGUAUGCUCAAGUUUGCACUAAUCUAGUCUAAUCUACAACAAGAGCAUUGGAAAGCAGCUAAGAAAGUUAUGAGAUAUUUGAAGAAAACUGAAGGUUAUAUGCUUACAUUACAGCGUACAAAUCAUCUUGAGGUGGUAGGAUAUUCAGAUUCUGAUUUUGCUGGAUGUUAAGAUGAUUUGAAUCAACCUCAUGUUAUAUUUUUACAUUAGCUGGUGGUGCCAUUUCUUAGAAAAGUGCUAAACAGACUCUAGUGGCAUCUUCUACUAUGCAAGCUGAAUUUGUGGCAUGUUAUGGGGCUACACUCCAAGCCGUUUGGUUAAGAAAUUCUAUCUCUGGCUUGAAAGUUGUUGAUUCCAUCUCAAGACCGAUCACCAUCUACUGUGAUAAUAGUAUAGCAGUAUUCUUUUCAAAGAAUAAUAAAAGUUCUGGUGGAUCAAAACAUAUUGACAUCAAAUAUUUGGUUGUUAGAGACAGAGUCAAAGAAUGGCAGACGAAAAUAGAGCAUAUCAAUACAGAGGCGAUGAUUGCAGAUCCCUUGAUUAAGGGAUUUGCUCCAAAAGUCUUUAAGACACAUGUUACUAAUAUGGGUAUUGUGGAAACAUUUGAUAUUUUUAGUUAGUGGAAGUUAUUUAUGUAAAGAACUACGUUUUGGGCUUGAUCCCUUUGCGGGGUACGUAGGCAACCCAUAUGUUUUCGAGUACAGCUCCUUUUGACAAUAGAAUAUUUUUUCCCUAUUCAUGGACUAUUUUGAGCAUGUAUUUGACUUAUGUUUUUUAUUAUAAUAUUAUUAUGAUCUUGAGAUAUGACAUGUAAAGGCAUAAGAUGUGUCUCUUUUGGAGACAUGUGGCUUCAUUUUGAUGAAAAGUAUUAUGAGGACCGAUAUGAAUUAGCACAGUUUUGAUCACAUUUGGUGCUAAGUUCAUACCACAUACUACCACAUUGGUUGGAGGAUGGGAAUCCAUGUCGAUAAGGAUGUUGACAUUUGUAGCUGUGGAAUGAUCUUACAUCGCUUAAUUGGUGUAAUAACUUCUAUGUUCGGUGUUUAUAUUCUUGUUGGAUCGGAUCAUGUUACGUAAGGUUACAUCAUUGGAGUCAUACUUUUGUAGCCACCUAUGUAGUCUAACUCGGGUGUUAAAACUUUGUUAUAGCAAUCAAAUAUUUGCCGAAGUGAGAGAAUGUUGGAAUAAUUCUAUAUGUGGGUUUCACAUUUGGUUGCAAAUUUUACAGGUUAGAUGUAUGGCUCAUAAUGAUAUUGUGUUUAGGUCCAAUUUAUUAAGUGAUCAAUUGGGCAUUUUACACCUUACGAGUUGUAAUUAAUUUGAUGUGGUAAUUUUAAGUAUGUGGGCCGGAAAUAAACAUUAAUUAGAAUUCUAGUCGUAAUUGGAUUACUCAAAUUAUUUCCUAUAUAUAAAUGCUAGGUCCCCUCUCCUCUCCAUAUGUUUUAUUGGCUUGCCCCAUUGAUAGCUGAUAUUUUGUGAGGAGUAAAGAGGGGAAAACCUUGGCUGCUAUUACAACUAUCAUUCAUAUCAACAAUGACUUUCACAGAUAUGAAUUCGUUUUUAUAAAUUUAUUCGAAUGUGAUUAUCGAUUCUUAAUAUGUUAAAACUAAAUUAAACACACAAAUGUCUCAGAAGGCUGACAAAGUAUCUCCUGCUAGAAAAGAAAAUGUUUACAAUCCAAUUGAAUAAGUGAAAAGCAAAUUUUUAGAGAAGCGUAGUAUACCAGCAACAACUAUUGCUCUGUUUACUAGUUUCUAUAAAGUUCCAAAAUUUUCACAAAAUAAAAUUAAUUAUUUUAUAUGCUAUAUAUUUAAUACUUUGGAAAUUUGGGGGCGUGGGGGGGGGACUAAAGUGACAUAUGAAUUAAUUCAAUUUUAUUUGGAUCAAAUAUUUAGAUUUCAAUAGGGCGAAGAUAAGUAUAUUAAUAUUGGAUUAGUUGGAUAGCUCGUAGUUAAUUAUCUAUUUUAAGCCCAAAAAAAGUUUGAUUCGAAUACGUCAGUCCCAAAUUAUUUAAGUUUAAAGAAAUUAUUUGCUUAGUAUUUGAACAAAAUUUGGUUUCCUAACUGUGAAGGACGGCAACCACGUGUGUAUAUGGUUCAAAAGGGGUAAUUGAAAAAGUAGUUUCCUUUUAACUUUCCUUUUCAUGUCCUAUUGAAUAUUUUCAUAUACUAAUCAUUUUCCUCUACUCCUCACAAUUUAGAAUGAAUCGUUAGUUGGCGGGCGAUGAUGUAUAGUUGUAGUCUCAUGAUUUAUGGAACUCAAUAAAAAAAUUAAUUAAAUAUGGUGUAACGUGUCUAUGGUUUUUAUUUUUAGCAUUAUUCAAGUUUUAUUUUUAUGUGAAGUUUGUUAUUUAGGAUUUGGAAUAUAUUUUAUUUGAUUAUGCUUUCUAUAUGUUUUAUUUAAUAUUGGUAUGUUUGAUUUAUUUAUUUACGAUAUGAAUAAGAUAUGGCGUAGGAAAAUUUUUGUUCUUUCCUUUUUAUAAAUGCAUAUAUAAAAUUUUCUGUAAGAAUUUGAGUAAAUUACAGUUACAAAUUUUGUAGAUAUUGCAUGUCAUGUUAUUUAAAGUUUGAAUGAAACUUUUGGUAACGAUUUAAAUGUCUUAAAAAUUAGCUCGUUACAGUUUAAUAUCAUAGCCCAGAUUUUACUUUUUCUUAGACCAUAUAAAUUCUAAAAGUUCAAACUAUGUGUGUCAAGAAAAAAAUCAUUUCGUGAGUAGUGCACGUCAGUGUUCGUUGAACACUGUUCGUGUGAACAGUGAAAAAUGAUUAAAAAAUUUUAUUUUAAAUGAUUAUUUAAUGUAGAUGUGUGUGUGUGCAUGUAUGUGAGUGCGUGUAUCCAAAAUUUAAAAAGAAUGUUAAGGAUGUCGCCUGCAAGUUUUUAAUGCUAUUGUUGUACCAAAAACCAUCAGUUCCCAGCUUCAGACUUCCAAAAAGAUUUGCCCAAUCAAAUGUUUUUUUUUUCGACUGGCCCAUCUACAGCCUCUUUAUAAUUAAAAGCCCACUUAAUAAAAAUUUUCAAAUUCUAGAAGUUAGAAUGUUAGAUUGUAUACCUCAUUUCUUUAAAGAGUUAAAACAUAUAUAUAAUUGAUUAAUUUAAAUUGUCACACGUCUAGUCUAACUUUGCGUGGUAUUUGUUAAAAAAAUAGUUAAUAUAUAUAUAGUAUACCUCAUUUCUUUAAAGAGCUAAAACAUAUAUAUAAUUGAUUAAUUUAAAUUGUCACGCGUUUAGUCUAACUUUGCGUGGUAUUUGUUAAUAAAUAUAUAUAUAUAUAUAUAUAUAUAUAUANNNNNNNNNNNNNNNNNNNNNNNNNNNNNNNNNNNNNNNNNNNNNNNNNNNNNNNNNNNNNNNNNNNNNNNNNNNNNNNNNNNNNNNNNNNNNNNNNNNNNNNNNNNNNNNNNNNNNNNNNNNNNNNNNNNNNNNNNNUCUUAAAUAUAUAAGAAAUUGAAAGACUUUUGGCACUCAACGACCACUAAUUGAGCACCUUCCGACAACUCCAAGCUAUGUAAAGGGGUAAGAAGAGGAGUUUAUUUAAACCUUUACAUAACUUAAAUCUUUUAAUUGCUUGUUUUUACAUUUUGUUAAGACAUGCAAGUUUGUUUUCUAGCUAAAAUUUAUGAUAUUUAUUAUGAGAAUAUAUCUAUAACAUGUUAAACUUAGUACUAGUAUGUGACGGGUGGCUUAAUCUUAAAUUUUAGGAAAUGACACGACUACCCACACGAAUUUGAUGCAUGAUUUAUUGUGAGUAGUACAAGAGCUAAGCAGGCAGAAUCAAGCACCCCACCACAAAAUGCAUCGCCACAGCAGAAUGCACAUCCCUUUGUCCCUGAAGCUGUUUCAGUGGUUGAGCAGUUUCUAACCACCGACUGCCAAGGAGUAGUUAAGAGGUCUGGAGCGCAUAUUUUGACACGUCGCUUGUACGGAUGUACAUGAGGUAUUAUCCAUAGAAUUCAUGUUUGUUGGAGCAGCCAAUCGGUGGUGGGAAUCUGUCUCUCGUACUCGGACUGAAAAACAGUAGCGCAACAUGACUUGGGAGCAGUUAACGAUAAAGUGAUAGUAAAGUAUUUUCCACAGGCUUUGAGAGACUUCAAAGAAUCAGAGUUUCAGCAACUCAGGGAGGUAGACAUGUCACUUCCUGAUUACAAGAGACAGCUUGAGUAGCUCUCAAGAUAUUCCUUGCACUUGGUAGAUACCGAAGUUAAAAAAGAUCAGGACGUUUGAAAAUGGACUGUGACUGGAGAUCAGCAUGAUCAUAAUGUCUUAUCGUUUUACUUCAUAUCAUGAAAUGUUGGAGAUAGCUCAUGCUAUUUCAUAUCAAAUAACUACAUUUAACUAGUAUGCCGAGCAAGACAAGGAGUCAUUGGGAAAAAGAAACUACUACUCCUGUACGGUCAUCAUAAAGGACUCUCCAGUGAAAAUGUCUCCUAUCGGUAUGCUACCACUGAAGAUCGACCCAUCUGAAACACUCAUCUUUUGAAUUGACAGUGAAUAACAGUAGUACGCGCAUUUGAUCAUGUUCGACUGUAUUUGAUUAUGUGAAUUUCUAUGUAUGAAAUUCUAAAAGUUCCUCCUCUAUUUUAUAAGAUGUCCGUCAAUAAUAUUGAAUUGAACAUUAUUUUUCAAUUUUCUAUUUAAUUGUAUUUUGUUUUUCUUAUGUCGACACAUUAUGUCUUGGUGCUAUUUUCAUUCAACGAGCAACUACUGCAGCAUGGCCCUGUUCAUGCAAUUGAAGCCUUAUGGCUUGCUGGGAGAUCAAACAAACCUGAAAAAGUUUAACAUGUGAGGCUUGCUUUUUCUUUGGCUUUCCAAAGAGGUUUAUUUCAAUACUUUGCCAACUAGUACACUAUAUCUCAGAAUCGGUAGCUUCUGUUGGUAAUGUUAAGUAGCUAUAUUGGAGGUCAAAGUGAAAUUUUAGUUGUAAUUUCUACUCUUUCUCAGUUCUUCCGCAUACACGGUGUAAGGCAAGAGCUAAAGCAAAAGUUAAAACAGGUUAGGUAGUAGACUUCUGUCAACACGCAAUUAGCAAUGUUCAUUCAAAUCAUUCCAUAAUUUAUUGAAGCAUUCUCUUUUUAAAGUCACCAGUUAUUUUUAAUGAAGUAGGUCAUUGUGUACUGUAGUUACACUUCAAUUGGCAAAAAAAUUGAAAAUUAUAUGUUUAAAAUAAAAAUCCAAGAAUUACAUAAAUAAAGAUAAAAUAAGUUUGGUAAUAAUUGUAUUUCAUUGAAGUGACAAACUCUUUGUGUUGCGAAAUAAAUUUAAAUACAAGCACAUCUAGUAUUGUAAAUCUAUUGUCAUAAAAUAAUUUAUGCAAUAAUUUUAUAUGUUGUAAAAUAAAAUAUUUGACAUAUAUAAAUAAUCACGAAAUAAAUUAUCCAAUAACUAUAUAUAAUAAUGACGCAACAAACUCUUUAUAUUGCGAAAUAAAUUUAAUUAGAAAAAUCACUUGUUACAUAAUAAAUUUUACUACAAGUAUUGAAUAUCUGAAAAUAAAUUAUAUGUCAUAUCAAAGAAAUUGUAAAUCAUAUUUCAUGACAAACAUGACUUGUUAUUAAAAAUAUAUCACUACAAGCAUGUGUUGUUGCAAAAUAGAAUAGAUAACAAAAGUUAUAUCUUUAACAUAAUAUUCACAACAAACAUUUUCUCACAAAAACAUUUCUGGAAUAAUAAUUGCGACAAACUAACUUGUCGCUAUCUUUAUUUUUCGCGACCUAUAUGCUUUGUAACGACAUUAUAUAUGGCGACAAAUUACUUGGUGCUAUUUUGUAUUUUUGCUUCAAACAAAUAGUGUUUCGAGUUUGUUAAUGUGAUGAAUCAACAAAAGAUUUUGUAAAAAAUAUUUUAUGACUCAUAUAGCACGACAACGUUUGCAACAAAUAUAUCAUCGUCGCAAAAUUAUUUUUGCAACAAAAUAUCUAUUUAUGUGACAACAUUUUUUUGUAGUGAUUUCGGUAUGUUGUUUUAGUGGAUGAAUGCUAAUUUGGGAAGAACAUGUGUUUUGAGUGUGGUAAAUCAGGACACAUUGCUCUCAACUAUACAAAGCCUCUAAAGAGAAAUGAUGAUGAUUAGGAUAAGAACAAGAAAUGGAAGACUCGAGUUUUUGCAUUAAAUCAGCAUGAGACGGAGCAGGAUGCGAAUGUGAUAGCAGGUAUUUUAUUAUUAUUUGAAGCACUUGUCUAUGUUCUUGAUUUUACAUCCUAAGUCGCUAACUCUAACACUAUAGUUACGAAAACAUGUAUUUUAUUAAUGUCUGAUACACUUGUUUAUGUACUUCUUGACUUUGAGACCACAAAUUCUUUUAUCUCGACAUCCUUCGUCGCUAAGUCCAACAUUGCAUGUGCUGCUGGUGAACUUAUACCUUUUAAAGAUGAAAGAUCUUGAUAUUAUUUUAAGCAUGGACUGUCUGAGACACAAUCCAUUAACCAUUCGAUGUCACGAGAAAGAAGUGUUGUUUCAUUGACCAGGAGAGAAAGAGUUUUGUUUCUUUGAAGCAAAGUGCAAGACUCUACCUCGCCUUGUAUCGGCUUUUCAAAUGGAGAAGAUGUUGAGAAAAGAGUCAUGUCAAGGAUUCUUAGUUAAUAUCAUCGGUUUCAAACCUAUAGAAACAACCGUUGAUGAUAUUAUGUUGUCCUAGACUUUGCAGACGUAUUCUGAAAAGAUCUACAGGCAUUCCACAAGAUAGUCAAAUAGAAUUUACAAUUGACUUGGUUUUCGGAGCGGCACCAAUAUCUAAGGACCCAUACCGAAUGACACCAAAAGAACUUCAAGAAAUGAAAUUACAGUUGGAAAAGUUGUUGGAAAAAGGUUUCAUUCAACCGAGUAUAUCUCCUUGAGGUGCUCCACUAUUUUUUGUGAAGAUGAGAGAUGAGAGUAUGAGGAUGUGCAUUGACUAUCAAUAAUUUAACUAUCUGACUAUUAAAAAUAGGUACCCUCUGCUAAGAAUAGAAGAUUUAUUCAACCAAUUAAGGGGUACAACAGUGUUUUCAAAUAUUGACUUGAGAUCGGGGUAUCAUCAUCUAAAGGUCAAGGCAAGCGAUAUACCGAAAACUGCUUUCAAAACUCGUUGCGGACGUUAUGUAUUCACUUUCAUGCCUUUCAGCUUGACCAAUGCUCCAACUAUAUUUAUUGAUCAAAUGAACUGAGUGUUCCAUCGGUACUUAGACCAGUUCGUCAUAGUCUAUAGUCUAUAUACUUGUGUAUUCUAAAGAUAAGAAGCAGCAUGAGGAACAAUUCUGAAUAGUACUCGAAACUUUGAGGAAAGAGAAAUUAUAUGCCAAAUUCAAGAAGUAUUGAUCCCCUCUCCAUUGGAAUGAGGUCGGAAAGACCUGAAAUCAUUGAACGAACAGUUGAGGUUGUCGAUAAGAUUAGAGCAAGAAUAACGACAGUAGAAGAUUGACAGAAAAUUUAUGCUGAUGGUAAAAGAAAGGAUUUGGAAUUUUAAGUAGGGGACAAAGUUUUUCUAAAAAUAGCAUCAUUGAAGGGUGUAUUGAGAUUUAGAAAGAAAGGGUAGUUGAGAUCGCGGUUCAUUGGACCUUUCCAAAUUUUUUAAAGAAUUGGUAAUGUGGCUUAAUGACUUGUCUUACCACCUGAACUCACAAAAGUCCAUAUAGUAUUCCAUGUUUCGAUGCUCAAAAAAUAUGUCUAUGAUCCAAUUAUGUGGUAAGUUAUUAGACAUUGGAGGUACAAAAAGACUUGUCAUAAAAAGAAAUCUCGAUGAUGGUUUUGGAUAGAGAAGUGCACCAAUUAAGAUAUAAACAGGUUCCAUUGGUAAAAGUUUAAUGGCAAAAUCAUGAACUGACAAGUCAACUUGGGAGAAAGAAGAGGAGUUUAAAACCAAGACUUAGAACUUUUUGGUUAGACAAGAUAAUUUUCGAGGACGGGUAUAUUUAAGGAUGGGAGAUUGUAAAAUCCCAAAAUUUUCAUAAAAUAGAAUUAAUUAUUUUAUAUGCUAUACAUUUACUUCUUUGAAAAUUUGGGGGACUAAAGUGAUAUAUGGGUUAAUUCAAUUUUAUUUGCGUCAAAUAUUUAGCAAAAUUUGGAAGCGUGAUUUUUUCAAGUUUCUAUCUUUCAAGAAUUUAUUUGAUCUAACGAGAUAGGAUAACAAGGUACGAUUUUUUUCUCGUUUAAAUUAUUUUUUCAUGUUGUUGAAUUAUUAUAUUUAUGAAAGUUAAAUAUAUGAUAUGAUAUGUCAAUCUAAUACCAAAGAUAUGAUAUGUUUUGAGAUCUUACUAGUCCCCAAGGAUUAUGACUGUAUGAUAUUUAUAACACGUGAUUUAAAUAUUUUUAUUCAGGAUUGUACAAUUAUUUUUGUGUCAUAUUGUUUCCUUUACUCCUCACAGGUUAGAAUGUGUUGUUGGUUAGCGGACGAUGAAAUGCAAUUGUAGUGCCAUGAUUUAUGUAACUCAAUAAAAAAAAAAAUUAAUUAAAUCUGGUGUAACAUGUCUACAGAUUUUAUUUGUAGCAUCAUUUGAGUUUUUUUAUUUCGUGGAAAUUGUUAUUUAUGAUUUGGGACAUAUUUUAUUUGAUUAUGCUUUCUAUAUGUUUUAUUUAAUAUUGGUGGAAUAAAAAAUUUCAUGUGGUGAUGUUUGAUUUAUUUAUUUAAUUAUGAUAUGAAUAAGAAAUGGCGUAGGAAAAUCUUGGUUAUUUCCUCUUUAUAAACGUAUAUAUAAAAUUUUCUACAUGAACUUGAGAAAAUUACCAUUACAAAAUUGUGUACAUAUUGCAUGUCAUGUUAUUUGAAUUUUAAAUGAAACUUUUGGUGCCAUAUUAAAUAUCUUAAAUAGGUCGGUAAUGUUUGUUUCUUCUUCACUUUCUUCUUCAAGUUCACUUUCUUCUUCAGGUUCACUUUCUGCUUCACUUUUACUCUGCCAGUCAAAUAUUAUGACUUUAAGUUCUUCAUUUCCCAUGUCUUCUUGUUCUUCUUGAAUUCUCUUAGCAGAUUCUUUGAUAGCUUCCACGCAGUGAUAUACCUCAAUCAUUAGUAAUGUUGGAAUGUCGCCUAAACUGGUUGGGAUCAUCUUCAAAUGUUUGCAAUAUCUCAAUUCUAGUCGUUGAAGUCUUGGGAAAUGAUCUCUUGUGGUAUUCCACUCUGCAAGUCUUACAUUAGAGAGUUUCAAGAAUUUAAGUUGUGGAAAUUCACCUUCACCAGUGUCCCAUCGUCGUCCAUCAAAGGAAACAUCACGUAAU